rnacentral:lncRNA from 1 species
CUUAAAUGAAUUCAGUUAACCUCUCUCUGGAGAUAACAAUACUUCCUGCCUCAUAGAGUGGCUGUGAUGAACAGUUUAAAUGGAUAAUUCAUUUUUAUUUUAUUUUUAAAAUUUUUUUAAUGUUUGUUUAUUUUUGAAGGAGAGAGACAGAGCAUGAGCGGGAGGGAAGAGCAGAGAGAGAGAGAGACACACACAGAAUCCGAAACAGGCUCCAGGCUCCGAGCUGUCAGCACAGAGUCUGGUGUGGGGCUCGAACUCACAAACUGUGAGAUCAUGACCUGAGCUGAAGUUGGAUGCUUAACCGACUGAGCCACCCGGGCAUCCCUGGAUAAUUCAUUUUUAAAUGCCUGUCUCAGUGCCUGGCUAGUUCAAAAUGGUUGGAUAGUUGGAGGGUUGGAUAGAUACCCAGACCUCACAUAGUUCAAGAUGGAAGUCAUUGGUGGCUUUAACAAGAGCAGUUUUAGGUCAGCAGUGGGGACAAAGGCCUGAUUAGAACGGGUUCAAGUGAGGAUGGGAGGAAAGAAUUGGAGACUGCAGAUAUAGUCAGCUCUUUUGAGUAUUCCUAUAAAAUUGGAUUGGAGAAAUGGGAGUUUAUUCAUUGGAAUGUGGGGUCAAGAGAGAGGUCUUUUUCUGUCUCCCUUUCAGACUGUUUAUAUGUUGAAGGGAGUCAUCCCUUGUAGAGGGGACCAUUGAUGAUACAGUUGGAUUUAGGAUUGUGAGGUGUUUUGGCCAUAGAUAACAAGUUGACUCCGCUAACCAGAAUGUCCUUUGUCUCCUUACUUUCUCCUUCUCAGUCUUUUAUUCGUUCGUUCACCAGAUAUUUAGUGAAGGCUCACAAGGUGGCAAGGACCGUGCCAGGUGCUGGGUAAAGACUGAAGAUGAAGGGGUGAAUCCUGAAGAUUUUACUGUCUGGUGGAGAUGGGCUUUCCAAAAGCACACAAAUAAGUCAAUACAGAUUUUGAUGAACACUCUGUAGGAAAAGUACGAGUCCUUUUUGGGAGAGAAUACCAUGGGGUAACUUAGGUUGGGGGCAUUAGGAGACUCUGCGACUUGAAGCGUGGCCACGACCGAGAAAAGCAUUCUGAGCCAAAGGAACAGAGCAGGCAGAGGCCCUGGGGCAGGGAAGGCCUGCUGCUUUUGAGGAUUUGAGAGGUUGGAAGGGACCAGGUCUCCCUGUUAAGGUUUUGGAUUAUGUCCAAGGAGCAGUGGGAGCCAUUGAAAAGUUUUAAGUCGGGAAGUGACACGAUGAGGUUUGCAUUGGGCAAGAAAAUCCCCUGUGGGGCUGUGUGUCAAGGUGAAUGGACUGGAGGGGGUAAGAGUGCAAGAAGGGAUACCAGUUUAGGCCAAAAGAUAGUAUCUGUGAAAAUCUUUAGACCUAAAUACUGAACAGUUGUGGUGUGAAAUGAACAGAAUUGAGAAUAUCCUCUGGCAGAAUUUUCUUUGAGCAGAAUUAGCAGCUGUGAAGAGAGCAUUUCUUGUUAAAAAUAAUAUCAACACAGGAGAGUCAGACAAUGUCAGUGAUUUCAGGUUAUUUAACAUAAAAUGAAACUUUGAAAAAGACUUUGGCAACGGUGAACGAUUGAGAAAUAAUACCAUGUCAGCCUUUUUUCUUAGCAACAGUACCAGUGACACGGUAUGAGAGAUAGACUCUAUUAAGUAAACAGAUUGAAGGACAUGCAUAUGUACCAAGAAUGAUUAAUCUGCCUGUGGUAUUUUAAGCGUUCAUGUAAUGUAAAUAAGCCUUUAAUUUUUUGCUUUAAUGUGGUGGAUGUAAAUUAUUUUUAUUUUUUUUGGAAUAUAAACCAAUAUAAUAAAGACCAUUUAUUAGUUAAUAAAUAAAUAUUUCCAAAGUUCCUCUUUUCACUCUCAGAAGUGUCUUAGUUUUGCACCAUGAUUAUAGAAUGAGGAUCUACCGGUUGAAGGGUCGGGCCGGUAAAAGGGUGACCAGGUGAUAGUCCAGGAUGCAUGCAUUAUUAAACUGAGUUAGGUUUCUCCCCAGAGAGAGUUCUUAAAACAGAGGGUGGUUAGAACGCAAAGUAUUGCUCUCUCUGCUCACCCACAAUUCCAGGGCCAUGAAUUAACGUGUUCUGAGCCCUCACUUAAAGAGAAAAGAAAGAAAAGAAGCAAGUUAUUUCCUAUCUAGACAAGACACUCACAAGAAUUCUCUCUUGGUUGUAACUCCAUUUUUUUAUUUUCCUCACACAGGCAUUUUAUUAAUGCCUUUGAAGGUUAGAAGAUAUUUUACCUUCUGGAGUUUCUCUGACUCACCGAUGAUCUCAGCUCAAACCUGCCAGUUCAGGGGAGAUGAUCGAUAACACCCUCAGAUGAUCGACAUCUGAGUAAGUAGAUACUGCUGUGUAUUGUGUUUAACUGCUUUAAAAAAAAUUAAAUUUUGUAACUUUAAAGGCUUAAAGUAUUAUGCAUUUUAAUGGGGUUCUUUAAAUUUUGUUGUUGAAUAAUGAUGGCAAUUAUUGUAAUUCCUAUAAGUGAAUAUUUAUAAAUAAUGGGUUUCCAGAAGUUAAUCCCCUAAUGAUAAAAAAAAGUUAGUGAAAACAUUUUCCGUGCAUAAUACUUUACCUUUUAAGAAACAUAUUGAAGACCUAAAUGCAUAUAUUAAAAAUUUAAAAGCAUUCUCCUUAGUGCUUUAUUUUACUUUCAUAUUAAGAAAUGCAAAAUUAUUAGUAAGACUGUUAACUGUAAAUGAAUUUUAAAAAUGCAAUUAUAUUCUUACAGAAAUUGUCUUUUAACAUAGAAUGUAUUUUGGUUAACUUGAAAUAAAUACUGGUUUGUUUUGUGGAAGUAGAAUUUUAAUAGCUCUUUCUAUUUGAAAAUAAUGAUGUUUUUUCCUGCUAACGUAGACAAGAACAUAGAAUCUCUCUGUAUUUAACUUUCGUUUUUAAUUGAGGAGACUAAGAAAGAAGAGCAUGCAUGCUUUCUAAUCAAAACAUCUGAAUGAAAUGUAAAGAGUUCGGCCAGUAGUCUUGACAUAAAUUAUUUCUCAGAAUGAAAGCUGUUAUUCGUCUUGUUAUAUCAUUUGAAACUGUUUUAACAAAACUAGGAAACCAUGAGGUUGUCCCAUGGUCUUGUUUUGGAAUGUGAAGUUCAAAACAAUUAAUAAAUAUACAAGAUGUUCCCCUCUUCGAUGGGGUUAUUUAAAUUAGGUCUAUGUCUGUGCUGUCCCAUAUGGUAGCCACUGGCCACAUGUAGCUACUGACAUUUAAAAUGUGGCUAGCCCCAACGGAGAUGUGUUAUGCAUAAAAUACACACCACAUUGCAAAGACUUAGUCUGAAAAAAAGGCUGUGAAAUAUUUUAUUAAUAAUUUUGUAUGAAUCACAUGUUGGAAUAAUAGUUGUUCAGAUCUGUUGGGUUAAGUAAGCCACUUAAUGUUUUCUUUUACUUUCCUAUGUGACUGAUUGCUAGAAAAUUCUAAAUUACUUGUGGAUUACGUUAUAUUUCCAAAGGGCAGAGGUAGCCCGUGUCAUCGUAUAUGAUUAACAAUUCUUAGUUACCCAUUAUGCGGUAUUCUUUAGGCUUGAACCUUCUGGUGUGUGCAUGGAUAAAUGAAUAUAAAUCUGUAUUCUUUUUAGAAUAGGAUUCUUUGAUUUAUCAGAUAUUUAUUAGUGCUUACAUGUGCCAGACAGUAGUCUAGGCACUGGUGAUACAGUCGGGAACAAAAUAAAACUUGCUGCCUUCAUGGAGUUAACUUUCUCAUAGAGACUAAAAACAGGCUAAGAUAAGUAAGAAAAAAAUACAUAAUCUGUUAGAGAGCCAUAAGUGCUUUCAAGGAAAGCCUCACUGCACGGGUGAUGUUCGAGCAAAGAGUUGAGGAAGGUGAGAGAAAGACCCUCCGGAUAUUUGGGGCAGAGCGGUCCAGGCAGAAGGAAUAGCAACACAAAGACGUCGUGGCAGGAGCUCUCCUGUUUGUUGGCAUGGGGAAAGGAGGCGUGGUGAUGGUUUGGAGAGAGUGAGGACGAGAUGAAAGGGAGUGCGUGGGCACAUCAGGCGAACACUUGCAAGGAUUUUGGCUUCGAGUAAGGUGGAAAGCAGUCGGUGGGUUUCGAGAUGAGAAGUGACAGGAUCUUUCUGUGGAAGCUGUUUUGACAAAAUGCUCGGGGGUGAGGGUGGGAGCGUUCGCAAGAGUGGAAGCAGAGAGCCCCGGUUCAGGGCUACCGCAGUGACCCAGGCGAGAGAGCCCAUAAACGAGGAGAGUGACGAGAAGUGGUGGAAUUAAUUAAUUACCCAUUACUGUGGACUUAUGUGGAAAGAGAGAGAAAGAGAUAUGUCAAGCUGUUCCACCUUAACAGCUGAGGAAUGGAGUGGAGUUGCCUUUGGUUGAGAUCGGGAGGAACAGAUUGACGGGGAGGGGGUGCUUAGUUUGCGACACAUUAACUCUGGGAAGCCUCUGUAGACAUCUAAGUGGAAAGGUCAGGUAGGCAGAGCCUGGAGUUCAACGAGAGGUCGGGGCUGAAGAGGCAAAUCGGAAAUCAUAAGCAAUUAUCAUUACUUAAAGCCCAAAGAAGAGUUGAAGCCACCGAGGCGGUGAGCACAGAUGGAAAAGAGGAGAGGAAACAGACCGUAAUUCCGUAGCAUCAUCCACACUCAAAGAUGCCCAUCGGACGAUGUUACUGAAUUAGUUUUCUCAGGUGUGGCAAUGAUGCUGGAGUUACAUAGGAGGUGUUCUUAUUUCUGGAAGAUGCAUACUUAGCUAUUUAGGAGUGAAAUGUCCUACAUCUAUUUUCCCCUUUCGGAUGGUCUGGCAGAAAGGAAUUACAGAAAAAGGUGGAGGAAGCAUGGUGAAAUGUCAGCAGUAGGCCUUUAGUAGGUAUUCAGGCAUGACUACCCGAGUACUUUCAACUUUUCUGUAAGUUCAAAAGUUUCUUUACAAGUGCCUCCGAAGAGGGACAGAUGUGAGGAUGGUGGGCUGCCGUUUUUCAUAAGCCCUUGAUGAGUAUUUGACUCUAUAAACUGCAUACAUGUUUAAGUUUGAUAAGAAUAAAAAGCAAUAAAAUAAGUCAAAUCUAAUAAGGGGAAACAUUAUAAUCUUGAGUAAUGUUAUGUAAUAAUCAAGUCAGUUCUUUGGAAAUUAGUACUUUUUAAAUAUGGCCGUUGAGUCUUAGGACUGGAAUUUACCUUGGAGACCUCUCAGCCUGCCUCCUCUACCCUAGAGAUUAAUAAAGUGAGUUUCAGGGGAAUUAAGGGACUUGCACAAGGUCACAUGCCUGUGUAGCAGCAGAGCCAGGACUAGAAGCCGGAUCUUUGUACUGCUGUUCCAUUAGUUAAAAAAAAAGGAAGCAGAGAGGUCUAGGACCCAAACAAAGGACCACGGCAACAAUCAGAGCUCGGGAGUCUCAACAAGAAGCGUGAGGAAGAGACGGGAAGGUAGACAUUGGGAUAUUCAAGUCACCAAGGGGAGAAAGUGUCUCUGGAAGCAAGAAUAACCAGCACUGUCAAAUGCUCCUGAUGGGUUAGGUAAGACUCGAGCUGAAAAUCGAUCCUUGACUCUAGCACCGAGGAGGUUGUUAGUGACCUUGACAAGAGGAGGAGGUUUUAGUGAAGUCAGAGGGAAACAGAUUCGAGGGAAAGCUUGGAGGAAAUGCCUGGAAGAGGGUGAGUGGAGACCCUCUUCUGAGGAACUGUGGAGGCAAAAGGGAGUCAGGGUUUUGGUUUUGUAGACGAAAGAAAUUACCUCAUUUCUCCCAAUGUGUGCGUUAGGAGAGAUUUCAAGGUACUCUUCUAAAAUGAUCCACCAGAUUUGUGGCAUUUAAGACCAUCACCUUGUGUAUGUGUGUAUGGGUAGGGUUACUGUUUCCCUCCCAGAAGGAUUUCAUAGAACAGUGUUUGGUAGGGGGGGGGGGGAGUGUGUGUGUGUGUGUGUGUGUAGAGGUUGGCAUUGUGUUAAAGGUUGCUUUUAUAAUUGUUACAGAUUUGACUUCAUUUCUUCUUGCUCAGGGUCUGUAUUCUCAUAGCUAUAAUUAAAAUUUUUAAGGAAAUAAAUGCUGAGCCUAUUCUCAACUGAAAGUGUUGAGAAGGCUAUUGCUUGGGGGCGGUAAUCUGUUUUCCUUGCCUUUAAAGAAGUUACCAAAAUGUUGGAAGAGAUGGCUGCAAAGACACGCCCAAGGUCACAAGACAAAAUGUCGCCAGCAUAACUGGAUCUUAGAUCUGAUUCACCUGCCACGUGGAAUACUUAACCCCUGUGUAUUUCACUUCCAACAGGUAUAAAAUGAGGAUAAGAUUUGCUCCACCUCCUGCAUGAGGUUUUCGUGUGUCAGCUACAAAGCCUUCUAUACACACGAGUCACAGUGCUAAAGGCAAGUUAGGCUUGAGGGUUUUCUGAAUAACUGGGGAGAAAAUGUGUUACAAAAUGUGGAUUGAGACGACUUACAACAAUACUAAUGGAAUCUGCAAGAGUUUGCUUUUGCCCCUGUCAGGCAUUGUUAAUAACACCACAAAAUCCGUCGUCUUUGGGCCCGUCAUAGAGUUUUGUGGUUAAGAGCCACGGCUGAGAUCCAAGCAGUCAAUCAAUUAAUCCCCUAGGAACUCAAAAUUACUGAACAACUGACUGUUCUAGUACUUUUAAUAUAAUGUUAGUUUGCUGGCACUGUGUGGCAGGGCUCUUAAAUGGAAAAUGACGCAGGCUAUGAUGAUAAAUUUUAUGUCAGACUCGGAAAGCAGUUCUGCAUUUGAUACUUGAAGUGGAAUUAUAGUCAUACUAUAUUUUUAAGAGGUUUACGUUAUGGGAGGUUGAGAGAUUAAAAAUGGAUAGAUAGCCAAGGUCACUCCCAUUAAUGAUGAUGUAAAGAGAUCGGGUGGUCCUUUCUUAAUAAAACAAGUAUAAAAUUGGACAAGAUUGACAAAAGCAAUAAUAAUUUCUGGCACUGGAGAUAGACUGGAAAGGCAGACAAUAAUCACACUGGAACGUUGGGUGACGAGUGGGAGUUCUGUGGCCUUUCUUGCCGGGGCCCCUCCCCCGCCUCUUAUCUCACUUGGUGAGAACUGCAGUUUUACCAGCGGGCACUUCUUACCAGAAGUGAUGGAUGCAGUUUGGUGGGGUUGGCAGUAAAAACCCACAGCUUUGCUGGUUAAAAGUGGCACACUCAGUUCAUAAUGGACAGGGAGAACCUACAGCUUUGCUACCUUGGUUUUGCAGUCUUGGGUUGGGGCCACCAGCCAGGAAUUUAACGGGGAGAUCCCUGAAAUGAGAGAGCCAUUAGGGCUGACAUCAGCUCUCCGCGCAGUCAUGGCUGAGGGCUGAACUUUGCAUGCCUUAGGGGAUAGAGACUCAAGACAGCCCAGCAAAAAGCGAAAGUCAGGGAGUUCCUUGAGAGUUGGAGACAACUUCGAAUGCUUUUCAACCCACAUAUAGCUUCCUCAGUGGAGGGGGGAAGCCUUACAGGUACAAUGUAUUUGGGCACAGCCUCUCCCCAAAUCACCGUGGCCUGUGGCUAACCAGGACACUAUGAAGACACAGAGGUAGCCUGGAGGGAACCAGGCCAUAGAACAGAAAUAUGAAUUUAAAAAGUAAGUAGGGGUGCCUGGCUGGCUCAGUCGGUGGAGCGUGCGACUCUUGAUCUCAGGGUUGCGAGUUCGAGCCCCACGUUGGGUGUAGAGAUUACUUCAAGACAAAGCAAAACAAAAAACUAAGACAACAGGGGCCACAUUCAUGGAAGAGGCAGAUUCUGCCGUAGAAGUACAAGCAGAUUUCUAAGAGGACCGCCACCCCUUGGAAAACUGAGGUCUGUCAGCUGAUAAGUGGAUGACUAAAACAUGGUGUAUUCAUAUAGUGGAAUACCAUUAGGCAGUAAAAAGGAAUGGUGUACUGACACAGGCUAUAAUGUGGGUGAACCUUAAAAACAUUAUACUAAGUGAAAGAAGAUAGCUCCAUUUAUAUGAAAUGUCAAGAAUAGAGAAAUCCAUUCAUAAUAGCAUCAAAAAGACCAAAAUACAUAUAAAUGAAUUCAGUGAGAGUUUAAUCAAAGGUAGUAAGUAUACCCAAAUAGGGAGGAACAUAUUGCCAUGUUUAUAGGUUGGAAGACUUAAUAUAGUUAAUGUGGCAGUUUCCCCCAAAUUAAUCUAUAGGUUCAACAACGUUGUCAAAAUCUCAGAAAGGAUUUUUAGAGAAGUAUCUAUAGAGAAAACAGAGUCUAAAAUUCUUAUGGAAAUGCAGAGAAUCUAGAAUAAUCAAAGUGACUUUAAAAAAGAAGUAAGUUGGGGGAUGUGUAGUACCUGGUUUCACAACCUACCGUAAAGCUACAGAAGCAAAGACUUUGGUAUUUGCAUAGGGAUAGACAUAUAGAUCAGUGGAACAGAAUGUCUAGAAAUAGUUGUAUUUCCUGUGUGGUCCACUGCUUUUCAACAGAGGUACUGAUGUCAUUCAGUAGGGACACCAUGGUCUUCUCAGGAAACAGUACUGCCACAAUUGGAUACCCAUGUGAACUAAAAUGUGCUUGACUUUUACUUUACAACACACACAAAAAUAAACUUGAAAUGGAUCAUAGGAAAUAUAAAGAAGGAAACAUAGCAGGAGGUUUUCUUGUCUUGAGUUAGAGACUUAGUAAAUAAGAUCUAAAAAGCAUGAGGUAUAUAAAAGAAAAAAUGAUAAACUGGACUUCAUCAAAAUUGCAGUUUUCUUUUCAGAAGACACCACUGUUAAGAAAAUGAAAAGGCAGGCCACAUAUUGGGAGAAAAUAUUUAUAAAACAGAUAAUCUGAUAAAGGAUUUGUGUCUUGAAAAUGUAUAAAGAGCUCUCUUAAAACUCAAUCAUAAGAGAGUAACCUAAUUUAAAAAUGUGCAAAAGAUUUGGAUAGACAUUUUACCAGAGAAGGUACAUGAAUGGUAGGUAAAUGCACACAUGAAGAGAUUUUCAAUAUCAUUAAUCAUUAGGGAAACGCAAAUUCAAGCCGUAAGAUACUGCUGUGCACCCACUCUACUGGCUAAAACUAAAAAAGACGGACAGUCCAUGUGUUGGCAAGGAUGUAAAAACAAACAAACACAAAAAAACCCAGAAUACUCACACAUUGGUAGUGGGAAUAUAAAAUGGUACAGCCAUUGUUGGAAAACGUUUGUUAAAAAGUUCAGCAUACACUUAACAUAUGACCCAGCAAUUCUGUCCCUAGGUAGGCCAUCAGGAGAAGUAACAGCAUAUAUCUAGACAAAAACUUAUAUACAGUGUUCAUAACAGCUUUAUCUAUGGUUGUCAAAAAUUAGAAAUUGUGUAAAUGCCCAUCAGCAGAUGGGUGGAUAAGCAAAUUGUUACACAGUAAAGGAAAGCAAUGGACUGCUGAUAUAUACAACAGCAUGUAUGAAUCUCAAAGUGAUUAUACUGCAUGAAAAAAGCUGGCACUCCCCCCUCCCCACCCCAGAGUAACAAUACAGUCUGAUUCCAUUUAGGUGAAAUUAUACAAAAUGCAAACUAACUGAUUGUGACAGAGCAGAUCAUUGGUUGCCUGAGGAUGGCUUAGGGGAGGAGGGAGAAACGGAUUCUCAAGGGAGGGGUACAGUGAAGCAUUGGGGUGAUUAUAGAUUCAUUAUCUUGAUUAUGCAUGAUAGUUUCAUGGGUGUGCACAUAUGUAAAAGUUCAUCAAAUUGCAUAUUUUAAACAUGUGCAAUUUAUUAUAUAGGAGUCCUACCCCAAUUAGGUUAUAAAAAUUGUGCCCAUUCAAAAAGCAAGCAGAUGUUCAUAGCAGCAUUAUUUGCGAUAGAUAAAAACUAAAAACAAUCCAGUUUGUCAACUGGUGAAUAGAUGAGGAAAAUGGUCAUACAGUGGAGUAUUAUUUAGCCACGAAAAAGAAGGAAACACUAGUUCACACUACUGAUAGAUGCUACAACACGGAUAAACCUCAAAAACAUUGUGGCAGCUGAAUGAAAUCAGAAACCGAGAACUGUGUAUUGUAUGAUACCAUUCAUAUGAAAAUUUCAGAAAAGGCAAAGCCAUGGGUAGAUCCGUGGUUGUCUGGGGCCAGAGGUGGGAGCCGAGACUAGCCAUAAACAGGUACAAGGGAACUGUUGUGUCAGUGGAACUAUUCUUGGUGAUAGUUGUGCUGCAGUUGAAUAAAUUUACAAAGCAUGUCUAACUGUACCCUUAAAAUGGAUGACUUCCGUGGCCUGUAGAUUAUACCUUAAUAAAGCCAUUAAAAGGUGAUUAACCACUCAACAUUUUAAAUUCUCUUUAAGAUGACCAUUCAAGAAAUUGGACUAGAUUGCUGAUUUCAUUGUUAUCUAUUGCUUUGGCAUACUUUGGUGAGACCAAUUAAACUGAUGUUCUAUGCCAAGUACUUUUUGAGAUUCUAAUUGUAAAACAGAAAUCAUUAUUAGUUGUCUUUCAUGGAAUUUAGUGGCUACUAACCACUGUUUUUCCCUUGCACAUGAACACUGAUUUUAUGUUUAAUAAUUGUUACCCCCCCCUCCCCCGCCGCUGGAAGAAAUGGUGGCUUCUUAGAUUAAUAUUCUGUUCGUGUAAAGCAGUUCCAACAUGUGGAGGGUAGGUUAUCAGGAAGGAAUUUGAUGAUGGAGUAAUACUUUUGCAUUUAAAAUUUUUUAAUGUUUAUCGAUUUUGAGAAAGAGCGAGCGCAUGCACGUGGGAAGGGCAGCGGGAGAGGGAGCAGCCUCCACGCCCAGUAUGGAGCCCAGUGAGGGCCUGGAUGUCAAGACUGUGACAUCCUGACCUGAGUUGAUAUCAAGAGUUGGAUGCUCAACCGACUGAGCCCCCAGGAGCCCCCCACCUUUGCAGGUUUUAGAUAGAGAAAAGCACACCUUUCUAGGUGUUGGGUGUCCACCCACGUGUCUCCAGCCCCAUGUUUGUGGAGAUGUCAGGUAAUCUGGGCAUGAGAUCCUUUGGGUGUGGGGAUGGGGAAACUGCAAACAAGAGAAUUCCUUCCAGAGCCCUUUUUUGGCUGGGUCUGGCCAUGUUCUGUACCAGACUAGGAGUCAGGAUCUCCGGGGUUAGUGACUUCAUGCCUGCCUUCACCUCCAUGUCUUCAUAUAUAAAAUUGGAAAUUGAGGUUUGCUUUUUUAGGUAAAAGUGAGUCUCUUUCUAUUAGAAAGUUGCCUAAUUUUGAUGAAAAAUCAAGAAUCCUGGAACAUUUUGCCCACGAUUCUGCCUCAUUCUAUGCAAAUUAGAGUAAUUUAUUUUGAAAACAACCAGAGUCAUUUGGUUUGACUGAACCAAAUGACUGAAAGUCGUUAAUUCAUUUUCCCAAAUAAAGUAAUUCUACUUUUCCCCGUUUUUCCUUCCCCCCAAACAAAUCCUUUAUUCAGCAAAGAUUUAUAGGCACUCUGAAGUUGAGAUAAACCUGCAAAAAUAACGGAAGCAUGGGGGUGGGGUAGGGGCUGAUAUCUAACCUGCCUUCAGUAGGGGUACGGGGGCUGUACAGAGAGGGGCUGGGAAAGCUCUGGGGAAGGGCAUGUGGAGAGCUGAGUUUUGAAGGGUAUAUAGGACUUGGCUGUUAUCCAGGUGGUGGGGACGGGGGGAGUUUGCUGGAGACUUGAAAGCUGUGGCAUUGGCUUUAAAGAAGAGAGAAGAGGGUGAAGAGCUUCGGUGAGUGGGGGUGACUUUUGACUUUGUGACUGGCAGAAUUUGAAGGAUUAAGGGAGAAAAGAAAGGAGUCAAGGGUAAGUUCAGCCUCAGCCUCAGCUGUCUUAAGCAAGUGGAGUCAAGAUAAGUUCAAGCUCAGCCGUCUUAAGCAAGUGGUGGUAUCAUUCAUUGACCUGGGAACAGAAGGCCCCCAAAAUUAGUUUUGCUUGUUGUUUUGGGAAGACAAGAAUUCACUUUGGAGGUUUUAUCAGAGGAGUGCAGCUAUUCGCACACACUCGAUUGAACCUAAAAGAUGAUGCUCUGACCCCUUGUCCAGCUUUGUCAGGACACCCAUGGAGCAUUAGGGACAAGAGUGAAAACUUGACAUGGUCUUGGUGGUCUGUGUUUGUGCAGCAUCACAGGCUGUCGAGUCUGUCACAUGUGCACAGGUAAAAUCCCCCUUGAAAAUGGCAGUCACAGAGUGCAGAAAUUCUGGCACAUGAAAACCUAUCACAUUUAAGAGUUUAGUAGUUCCUUUGGUUACUCUUUUCUCCCUGAUCUCUCCUCUCUGGAUUUUUAUCAUUUGUAAAGUAUAUACUUUGUACUUCUUUCCUAUAAAAAAGAUGAAAAUGGGUGAAGUUUAGAAAAGACCGCUCAACCUUUCACGUGCAUCAGGUCAUUUAGCUUUUAAAACAACCUGGUAAAGGAGGUACUUUUCAUCGUACUGGUUCACGAUAAAGAUUUAUAGUAAAGAUGUUUGGAAAUCAACAGGUUUAAAGUUUUUGACAUGCCAUUAGCACAAAAUAUAAAUUCUUAUUCAGGUCUGUUGACUUUAGCAUGUAAACAAGGGUGGCAAUUUAUUUUGGAAAUUCUAUUUAUUUCUGCCUUGUCCUUCUUUUGAAAGCACUUUGGUAACAAGUAGAUUCAUGAUCCAUAAAAUAAUACCCUACUUUAUACUUUCUGAGAAUAUUUUCUAAGAAUCAUUUGGAAAAUAACUUUCUCAUGAAAACGUUUGCCAGUUAUUUACUUUUCUUUUUUUUUUUAAUAAUCACGAAUAUAUGUUAAACCAAAGAUGCUAUGUAAGCAGUUGCUUUAAAACUACAUCAAAACAGAAGUUAAAAUUAGGUUCUACCUAUGGCUUCAGAUUUAUCUUUUAGUAAUAUGUGGUCAGAUCUUGCUUUAAAUGUAUUCUUGAUUGAAAUACCUUGAGGAAGUAAGUUGGUGGACCUCAGGCUGUUCCCUUGUCUAUAAGAUGAAGACCAGGAAAUACCUGCUCCAGUGAUGUAAAAAUAACUUCUUGGGUUUAGUUUAAGUGUGUGUACACAGGCGGUUCCCUUUUGUACCACAAGAGGGAGUGCCUGCGUUGUCGCUAACCUGAGCUGAGCUCUGAAGUCCUUUCUAAAAUGUGGUUGCAAAGUUCCAAAUGAGUGGAUUGCUGGGAAAAUGAGAAGGGAAAAGAUUGUUUUGACAGUGUCACGGGAAGGAGGUACUCAAAACACAGUUAUGAAAAGGAAGGGAUUGAAUUUUAAGAUACGAAGGCUUUUGCUGACAUACAUCAUUACAGAUUUCCAUUCCCAGUCAACAACCCUUCUUCUUUGCUUGUAUCCUCCGAGAAUUUUGAUUUAUUUUGUUUUCUUCCUUCUUUGCAACUGUAUCUAUAAAUCUUUUGUAUCAAACAAAUACAGAACCCAAAGUUUAGUUUCUCAGUAGUGGUCCUGAACAAUGAAUAUUGGUUAAAGAUAAAUUGGAUUGUUUAUGCUCUAAGCCUUCGACAUGUACAACAUCUGUUUGUUUGCCUUAAAUUGGCAAAUCAGAAAGAUUUGAACGUUUUCAUCCUGCCUUUCUCCCUUCAUACUUUUUUUUCUUUGUUCAUGCUUCUGAAUUCUUUUAUGUGAUGUUUUCCUGUCAUACAUAGCUCAGAAGAUUGGGUGUGGACAAGGAAAAACAUUGUUCUGUGGGUGAACCCCUAGGGACAUGGAAGUAAUUAUAUUAUACAGUGAAAUUUAAAAAUUUGAGACCAAGAUCAAAGCCAAACAAAAAAAGUGAAUUUGGCAAUUGUGGAAUUAUUCCAGUAAAUUUGGGUUAAUAAUUCAGUUUUAUCUCAGCUGUGUGAAUAUUUCAUGUCAAUGUUGGUUUUUUAAUUUAAAUCAUCCCUUUAUGAUAUAAAGAUAAUCCCUUUAUUUUGCUAAUGUUUGUAUUAUAAAUACAAAAGUCAUGAGCCCAUCGUGUUUUAUGUAACGGUAAUUAUACUGUUAACGCUUUUUGUAUUAGAAAAUUUUCUGAAUUUAGAAAAACAACAAUCCCAGGCAUCUGGGAUUAUUACUCUGAACCUUGCUUUUAGAAGAUUUCUCUGGAGCUUGUUUCUAGUAAUAAAUUUGUCCAAGUUUGGGGUCAGACUGUUCUGGUUCAAGUAUGGAACCACUGUGUUUGAAACUUGACAAAAGCACACUUAUCCCUAUAAUUUCAUUUUCACUUGUUUGAAAUCUGGUAAUUUCUUGAGCAGGAAAAACAGAAGUGGAAUUACUAUAGAAAUUAUGCCCAUUUUAUCUGUAUAGCAGCCAGUUUAAAAAACGAUCAUUGCUGGGACCCUGUAAAGAGUUAUAAAACUUAUAAAUACCUUUGAGAUUGCAACAUUCAAAAGAGAAAACAUGAAAGGAAAAACUCUGUAGCUCUAUUUUCUUUGCUUCUACUGCAAAAUUUGUUCUUGUUUCCAAAUGUGGGCACACCCAUGGUAAUCUGUUGUUCACAUGGAUGUCAUCCGUCUUGUUUUGGUAAAAAGAAGGUAGAGAACAGUUGAGACAGGGGCAAGCUGUUCCUUUUAUUAAAAAAAUGUUUUUUAAGUUUAUUUAUUUUGGGAGAGAGAGAAAAAAAAAUGAGUGCACGUGAACAGGGAAGGAAGGGAAGAGAGAGAAUCCCAAGCAGGCUCCGUGUUGUGAGCGCAGAGCCCAGUGCAGGGCUCGAUCCCACGACCGUGAGAUCAUGACCUGAGCCGAAAUCGAGUCGGAUGCUUAACUGACUGAGCCAUCUGUUCCUUUUCUUUUAAAGUUACUUUAAAAAUUAAAGAAUAUUUCAGGCAUAGGAAGGAAGUAUAAGGAAUAUUAAAGAAUUGAAGUGUUAUGUGUUAUGUAGUUAUUAAAACAUGGUAUGUAUCGUUCCAUAAGCCUGACCCUCUUCCUGCCUUACAGAGGUGUAAUGUCCUGAAUUUGGUGUUUAUCAUUCUCAUGCAUAUUUUUACACUUUUCUAAGUACAGAUUUAUUCCUAAACCUAAAUAGAAGGUACGUGAUUUUUACCCUUUUAACCAGUUUCUGAAUGUACAUUAUUGUUAACCGUAGGCACAGUGUUGGACAGCGUAUCUCUAGGAAUUUUCCAUCUGGCACUACUGAAACUUUCUAUACACUGAACAGCAAUCCCUCAUUUCCCCUAAAAACCAUCUUUCUCCUUUGAGCUUUUAUGAGUUUGACUGUUUCGGAUACCUCAUAUAAAUGGAAAUCAUGCAGUAUUUAUCCUUCUGUGACAGGCUUGUGUCACUUGGUGUGAUGGCCUCAGGGUCCUUCCGUGUUGUCACGUACAGCAAGAUUUCCACCUUUUUAAAGGCUGAUUAAUACUCCCUUGUUUGUAUGUGUCACAUUUUCUUUCAUUCAUCUGUUGAUGGACAUUGAGGUUGUUUCCACCUCUUUGCUGUUGUGACUAAUGCUGCAGUAAACGUGCAAGUGCAAAUAUCUCUUUGAGAUCCUGGUGUCCUAUGUUUUAGAUAAAUAUCCAGAGGUGGAAUUGUUGGAUCAUAUUAUAGUUCUAUUUUUAAUAUUUUAAGGAGCUUCCAUACUGUUUUCUGUAGUAGCUGAACCAUUUUAAAUUCCCAUCAGCAGUGCACAAAGGCCUCUAUUUCUUCACAUCCUUGCCAGCUUUUGUUACUUUUUUUUGUGUUUCUUUUUUUAAAGAUUUUUUUUUAAUUUUCUAAUUUUUUAAAAGUAAUCUCUCCACUCAACAUGGAGCUUGAACUCGCAACCCUGAGAUCAGCAAUUGCACAUUCUGCUGACUGAGCCAGCCGGGUGCCUGUUGUUUUUGUUUUUGUUUUUGUUUUUGUUUUGUUUAUAAUAGCCAUUCUAACAGGUGCGGGGUGAUAACCUCAUGGUUUUAUUUGCAUUUUCCUGAUGAUUGGUGAUGCUCAGCAUCUUUUUAUAAUACCUGUUGCCCGUUUGUAUGUCCUUUUUGGAAAAAUGUCUAUUCAAGUCCUUUGUGCAUUUUUUAAUCGUGUUCAUCUGUCUAUCUUUAUCUAUUUUUGCUGUUGAGUUGUAGAGGUCCCUAUAUAUUAUGGAUAUUAAUUCCUUACCGGAUAUGUGGCUUGCAAAUAUUUCCUUCCAUUCUCUAGGUUUCCUUUCACUUUGUGGAUUGUUUCCUUUGCUGUGCAAAAUCUUUUUAGUUUGGUGUAGUCCCACGUGUCUGUUUUUGCUUUUGUUGCAAGACCAGGGUCAUGAAGCUUUUCCCCAUUUUUUUUUUUUUUGGCACUAGAACCGUUUUAAUAUAUGAUACGUAUCUGCCAGAGAAGAGGUUUAUGCGUGUACAACUUUAUCAGUUAACAUCUGCAAGCAUACAUGACAGUGAUCUCAAUUUAUAAAUUCAUCAGGGUCAGAGCAAUGGACCAGUGUCUCUUUACUGCCCUGCUUACCAGCUGUAAAUUACAGAUGCAUUAGUGUCCUUUUGUUGCUCUUCUUUGACUCUCCUUGUCCAGAGACAUUUUGUUGUCAAGUUUCAGUGCAGCUCACCUCCAGCCAAAGGUAAUCUUUUUAGAUAAGUGCUCAGUUGCUACGAAUUUUGCUUAUAAUUAUAACCUAUUUAAUCACAGAAGAAGCUCUGCAGACGUGAAGUUCAAGGUUGCAUACGAUAACAGAUCACAGUUUUGAAGUCGAGCACAGAUUAAAAACCACAGAUGUACCACUUAUGUAAGACACACACCAGUCAUCUUUUAAGCUGCACAGUGACUCCGUAUGAACAUUAUUUUUUUUUAAGUUUAUUUAUUUAUUUUGAGAGAGAUGGAGAGGGAGAGAAUCCCAAGCAGGCUCCACACUGUUAGUGAGGAGUCCUAUGUGGGGCUCUAACUCCCGAACUGUGAGAGUAUGACCUGAGCUGAAGUCGGAUGCUUAACUGACUGAGCCUCUCAGGCGCCCCUUUGUGAACAUUAUGUUUUAUUUUUUGUGUAUUUUUUUAUUAUUUUUUUAAUGUUUAUUUACUUUUGAGAGAGAGGGACACAGAGCGUGAGCGGGGGAGGGUCAGAGAGAGAGGGAGACACAGAAUGUAAAGCAGGCUCCAGGUUCUGAGUUGUCAGCACAGAGCCCGUGCAGGGCUCGAACUCACAAACUGCGAGAUCAUGACCUGAGCUGAAGUUGGAUGCUUAACGGACUGAGCCACACAGGCUCCCCUUUAUGAACAUUAUUAUUAUUAUUAUUAUUAUUAUUAUUAUUUUUAAAGUGCAUCUAUGACAAUCAGUCACACAAAGUUUUUCAGUGCCAAGUACCAGUUGGUCAUGAAACGUGAGUGAGCUUGAGGCACUGUCCAUUCCUAAGGUUCAGCCAGAGAUUGGCCAGAACAUUGGAACACCUCUGCUUAGGAAGGCUGUUUCCCUCCCUCCUUUCCCUCACCUUUUCGUUUGGUGUUUGGCUGCACAUGGCUGGAAUGCUUUUGAUUGUUUUGCAAAUCAGGAGAACCAGUGAUCUAAAACUAUGCCAGGAUCCUAAGUAGUCCUGUCUGUCCAUUUCAGGCUGCUGGUUGGUAGGUCCCUCUCAGGGCCUUCAUUCCUCCUCCUGUGACUCCCAGAACGUUGAUCAGAAGGUCAGAGCAUCAUCACCUCUAACUCUUUGAACUAAUGCCUGGCUGACACUGGAACGUGCAGCCUGGUCUCUUUGAAAAUCACUCACAAAAAGAGCUUCUGCAGGGCUUCAUAAAACCUGGAAUUGCUAUGAAGAUGUCUGAUCUUUAUAAUCCAGGCAGUGAGCAUUGAAGGGAAGCUUCCAAGAGGCAGUUGGGUGCUUACAAUCCAAGCAAUCAGUGGUUGAAUUAAAACGCAAGCUUGAAGCUCCAUAACCCUGGGUGGAAAGAGAAGCUAAGGACGGGUUGAGAUAGCUGGUGGCUGCACCGGUACCCAUAGGGCUGAGUGUGUCCCCCGGUCCAGGAAGCUGGUGACACAUGGGGGUCAGGUAACAUCCUUGGCCCGUGCCCCCAAGUAGGAAGCUGAGCAGCAUAUCCUUGACCGUCAUCUGAAGCCUGUGUAUGGAUCACAGGAUAGGACCUGUGUAUGCAGGAAGAGGAGGGGGACAAGGAAUACGACAGUGGGGAGACAGAAUCUGGAGUCCAGAUAGACUCGAGAGCACUGCUUCUGGAAAUGGUGGGCACUGAGGUGCUAGAGAAGGGAGCGAAUUGGCCGCUUGUUCCACUCUGUGAACUCGGUUCCUGAUCUGGAGAUUUCUUCAUUUUGGCUUUGUUUGACUUGGUUUUGACCUCCCUUCUGUUGUUGCUGCUGCUACUGGCAGCACUUAGCCCAUUGAUUCUUAAGCCUGGUUCUUUUUCCUGGACCUGGACAAGCUGAUUUUCAGCACCACCUCCACGGCAUGAAGAUGUCAGGGUACCAGGUCUUAGCAGACAGCACUUCGAGCGUGUCUGGCUGCACCUGGGUGAACGUUGUCCUCUCCUGACUCUGUUUGGGUGGUGGGGGGUGGCCAGGUGGCCCACUGAGGGGCGCAGCAGGUACAUGCCCGAGGUGGUCAGACUCAGCCCAUUGACUGUGUAAGGCGGUUGCUUAAGAUACCCUGCUAACGUUUGGGCGUGCAACGUGCAGUGUUUGGAAGUACCCUCUCAAUUGGGGGUACCCAGCUAGAAGGUCUGUCUUCUCCUGGGGUGGGCAGGUUCUGGGUCCUUGGUAGGUGGGUUUGCAGUGAUGGAGCUAAGGGCAAGGCAGACAGACAGAGGUGCUGUUCUGUAGGCAUCCUCUUCCUAUGUUUUCUUCUAGAAGUCGUCCAGCUUCAGGCCUUAGGAUUCAGUCUCUAACCCACUUUGAGUUGACUUCUGCAUGUGGUGUGAGAUCAGGGUCCAGUUUCAUUCCUUUGCAUGAGGAUAGCCAGUUUUUCUGAUUAUUUAUUGAAGACAUUAUCCUUUCCCUUUUGUGUCCUCUUCCUCCUGGCACUCUUAUUGAAGAUCACUUGCGGGGUGUACGUGUGGGUGUAUUUUUGGGCUCCCUCUUUGGUUCCAUUCGUCUCUCCAUGUCGGUCUUUACGCCAGGACCAGUUUGAGAAGAAUUCACUUUAGUGCCUUUUAAAAUAUUUGGUAGAAUUCACCAGGGAAGCUGUUGGUCCCGUGCUUUUCUUUGUUGGGGCGCCUUGGAUUACUGAUUGAACUUCCUUACUAGUUAGAGAUCUGUUCAAAUUUUCUGUUUCUUCUUAAUUUGGUCUCUGCAGGUUGUGUAUUUCUAGGAUUUUUUUCCAUUUCUUUUCCAUUUCCAUUUUUUUCCAUUUUCCAGUUUGUUAACCUUGUUUGAUCCUUUUAGUUUCUGUGGCAUCAGUUACAUUGUCUCUUCUUUCAUUGCUGAUUUUAUUUAUUUGAGCAUUCUUUUUUCUCUUAGUCUAGCUAAAGGCUUGCCAAUUCUGUUGCUCUUUUAAAAAAAAAACAAGUUUUAGCCUUUUUGUCCCCUAUUUGCUCUCUUUUUUAAUUUAUGCUCUAAUCUUUAUUCUUUCCUUCUUGCUGCUAACUUUAGACUUCAGUUUGCUCUUUUUCAAGUUCCUUGAGGUAUAAGGUUAGCUUAUUUAUUUGGGAAUCUUUCCUCUUUCUUAACGUGGGUGUUUAUCACCAGGAACUUCCCUCUCAGUAUUGCUUCUGUCAUAUCCCAGAAGUUUUAAUAUGUUGUGUUUUCAUUUUCGUUUUUUUUCCAAGAUAUUUUCUAACUUUCCUUUUGAUUUCGUCCGUGACCCAUUGGUUGUUCAAGAGCGUGUCAGUUAAUUUUCACAUGCUUGUGAGUUUUCCCAGUUUUCCUUCUGCUUUUGAUUUCUGGUUUCAUUCCACUGUGGUCAGAAAAUAUACUUGGUAUGAUUUCAGCCUUCCUAAAUUUGCUAUGGCGCAUGUUUUCAAACAAGAUAUAAAUUGUAUCUGUUGAAAGAAAGUAGAGUUCCAAGGAACGCAGACUCUGAGAAGCAGAUAAACACGCAGGAAGUUUACUAAGGAAGUUUUAGGAUUAACGCCCGCGAAAGAGACGGAAGCAGGACUGGGCAGAGAGAGAGACUGGGCUGCGGUGCAGUCACAAGGAAGCCCUCAGCCCAUCCCAAGGGGAGUGGAGAGGCGGGCUAGCCCUUCAGAAUUGCCCCAGCUCUGGGUGAGGGGUCAGGCACUGAGCUGCCCCUGGAGAGGGGACAUGACUUGGGCGAGGUGACCCUGCUCAGCUGAGAACUGUCAGCCUGCAGCACUCCCAGUGGCUGGGGGAGGAAGCCCUUCAGCGCUAAAGGAGACCUAGCGGCACAAAGAUCUCAGGGUUCGCCGCGGUGCAUGUUGUGUGUUCUGUUCUUGCCUUCUUGGCCCAAUACUAUUUUAUUUAAGGUUUGCUUAUUUUAUUUUGAGAAAGAGCGUGAGCAGGGGUGGAGCAGAGAGAGAGAGAGAGAAAGAGAGAAAGAAAUUCGAGCAGGUUUCACACUAAGCCAGAUGCAGGGCUCCAUGUCACAACCGGGAGAUUGUGACUUGAGUCGAAGUCAAGACUUGGCCGCUUAACCGACUGAGUUACCCAGGUGCCUCUCAAUUUUACGUUUUUUGAGAUUUGUUCAUAUUAAUGUCCGUAGCUGUAGUCACCCAUAUUAAUGGUCUUACAAUAUUCAGUUUUUUUCCUAAAUAUUUACUUAGUUUUGAGAGAGAGAGGGAGAGAGAUAGAGUCUGAGUGGGGGAGGGGUAGAGAGGGAGGGAGAGACAGAAGCAAGAAGCAGGUUCCAGGCUCCGAGCUGUCAGCACAGAGCCUGACGCGGGACUCGAAGCCAUGAACUUUGAGAUCAUGAUGUGAGCUGAAGUUGGAUGCUUAACUGACUGAGCCACCCAGGCGCCCCUACGGUAUUCAGUUUUAUAAAUAUGUCAUAAUUUUUAAAUAGAUUUCCCUGUUGACUGACAUUGAAGUUUUGCAGUGUUUCACUGUUAAAAAAAAAUGUGGCUAUGAACAUUUUUUAUAUAUCUCCUUAAUGUAUGUACUUAGUUCAUCAGGGUUAUGUAACCAGAAAAUUCCUGGGUCUUAGGAUAUGGACAACUUCAACUUUCAUAACUACACUGUAAUGAAGUUUCUCACUGAAGUGGUUUUACCUUGCUUUAUACCCUUAAGACACUUGUCAUUGUCAGACUAAUUUUUCCAGUUUCAUGGAUAUGAAAUGGUAUCUCAGUGUGGUUUUAAUUAGAAUUUUGUUGAAUUCUGGUGAGAUUGAGAAUUUAUGUGUUUGUUAGCUCCUGGGGUUUCUACUGUGAAGUGUGAAUUCCAAUUACGUGCCCAUUUUCCUAUUUUUUAUUUUAUUUUAUUUUAUUUAUUUUAUGCUUUUUAAACAGUGUUUGAAAUUUAUUUUUAGAGACAGCAAGAGGGCAGGGGGGAGAGAGAGAGAGAGAGAGAGAGAGAGAGAGAAUCCCAAGCAGUCUCUGCACUGUCAAUGCAGAGCCUGACAUGGGGCUUGAACCCACAAGCCAUGAGAUCAUGACCUGGACUGAGAUUGAGAGCUGGACGCUUAACUGACUGAGUCAUCCAGGUGUCUCUCUCUCUUUUUUUUUUUUUUUUAAGUUAAUUUGUAGACAGUCUUUAUAUAUUUUUCUUAUCCAUUCUUUGUUAUCUCUGUGUGUAUACUUUCCUCCUGGAUUGGGGCUUAAUUGUUCACUUUUGAAAUAAUACAUUUCGCUGAAUAAGAGUUUCCUUUAGAUGCAGUCAGAUUUAACUAGUCCUUUUCUUUGGCAUUCUUUGUGUCUUAUUUUUAAAAUUCUUCCUUAGGCUAGGUCGUAUAGAAAUAUUCUCCUCCGUUUUCUACUACAAGUUUUGAAAGUUUUGCUUUCCAUGGUUUCACCUGCAACCCAUUUAAAAUGGAGUUAUGUGUCUGUUGGGAGGUCUAGAAACCUCAUGUUAUUUUUCUCUGGACAGCAGGUUUUCCUGGCAAUGCUCGUGAACCGGUUCAUCUUGGAUGCACCACAGUGCGGUGCGGUUCGGUGCUGUGGUCCAUUUGUGGAGACCUUUUGGGGGUUAUCUUAUGCUCUGGUCUACUUGUUUUUUUCCCCCGCUCCAAUUUCACACUUUCUUUAUUGUCUUUAUUUCUGUGUUGUGUUGUUUUUUGGUAGAACCAAUCCUCCCCUCUCUUUGUUCUUCUUUAAAACUGUUGUUACUUUUUGUCUUUUGAUCUCUGAUACGCAUUUUAGAGUUGCGUCCAAUGAAAAACCUUCCUUUGAUUGAGUUCAUGCGCUGAAUUUAUAGAUUAAUUUGAGGAGAAUUGGCAUCUUUGUAGAACAGUGGGUGUUUCCCAGUGUUUUCUUUUUUUUACUGUUUAUUUUGAGAGAGCAAGCACGAGCGGGGGAGGGGCAGAGAGAGAGAGAGAGAGAGAGAGAGAGUCCCCAAGCAGGCUCCACGGUGUCAGCCCAGAGUCCGGUGGACACUUAAGUCGGGCGCCCGGGUGGCUCGAGUCGGUUGAGCGUCUGGCUCUUGCUCUUGGCUCAGGUCAGGAUCUCACAGUUCAUGAAAUUGAGCCCCAUGUGGGCUCUGUGCUGACAGUGUGGAGGGAGCCUACUUGGGAUUCUCUAUCUCCUCUCUCUCUGCCCCUCCCCCAUUCUCUCUCUCUCUCAAAAGUAAUAAAUAAACAUUAAAAAAAGAGCGAGACGCAUAACCGACUGAGCCCACCCAGGCGCCCCUCACUGUUUUCUUUAAUACCCACAUGUAGGUCCUCUUACUGUACACAACAUUUUUGUAACUUACCUUUCUACUUGAAUACACUUUCAUGUUAAUAAAUAAAUGUCUCCACCAACAAUUUAACAACUACACGAUAAUCCACGUGGCUAGAGAGUCAUUUAUUUAAUCGUGACCGUAUUGACAUUUAGAUGAACAUGUUUCACAGUGAUUAUUCUGGAACUCCAUCUUUCUCAUGACAAAAUUAUACAUGCAGCUACGUUUUAUUCUAGUACUGCUGGGAUAUUGUAUAUAAUUAAGUAUUUAUCUGAGAUGUGUUCAGGUGUAAGGUGCGAGAAAAGUAUCUAACUGAUUUCCUCCCCAUAUGGUUAACCAGUUUUCGUGUACUUUGUCCUUUUGGUUUGACUGUCUUUGCCUGUUUUGUGUCACCACCCAGCAGCCAUCAACAGUGCACACCGUAAAUGUUUGAGUAAGUGAACCAGUUUUUAAUGUUUGCUUUAUUUUCAGAGGUGUUUUCUUCUGUGUUGACCUGUCGGUUCAAGCCAGUACCACACUGUUGGAAUGAUCAGAGCCACUGGAAUAAGACUCCCCUCUCCUCCUCCUUCUCCUCCUCCUCCUCCUUCUCCUUCUUCAUCAUCAUCAUCAUCACACUUUUUCAGAUUUUCCUAGGCUAUUUCUGCACCACUUUUUCCCCCCCUGAACUUUAACUAAUUGGCCACUGUCCCUUUAAAACGGUUAUAAUUUCGAUUGACAGUAUAUUCAUUUUCUGAAGAAAUUUGAAGAUGUUUAUAUGUAAAGUUUCUGGCCUAAUAAGUACUGCAUGUUCCUCUAGUUUGUAGAUUCUGAAAUUGUUGGGUUAGAGAAGAUAAAUCCCCAGAUUUCCUUUUCGAUUGAAAUUCAGGGCAAUUAAAGAAAUUCGUUGCAGCCAACAGAAUCCUAGCACAUGUUUAUUCUGUAAAGACAAAACGUUUUUCUAUAUUGAGCUGCACUUCAACGGCUUUGCCUCCUUCUUAAAAAACACGGCUCACAUGGUACCACACGCUCCCUGUCCGGACAGAUACUUGCAAAUAGGUAACAACUGACGUGCUGUUUGGUCAAAGACCUGGUUUUUCUUUAAUAUGGCCUACCCUCUCCCCUUUCUCCCACCAACCCUUAAAGGAAUUCUGUGCCCCUACUUCUCUGGUUUACCUUUUUUAGGGUAAAGAAAUAGGCUACAAAGCUCGUGGGCACUAGGGAAGUCUGCAUAACUCUUUUUCACACCUGCUUGGAUUCUGGCAGUGGUAUUUGCUAAGUGGGGAUGAAGGCUGGUUUGUCAUGUGUUCUCGCAGAGCACUGAUGGCUGCAGGCCAACCCAUUUAGCCUUUGUUUUUUUUUCUUGCAUAAAACUGCCUAUUUUUCACUUCAGAUGGGGGUGUUAGGCACUUGAGAGAUGUUUGUUCUUGUCACAUGCACGCCAUCUGUGAUCUCCUGGCAUCCUACGCAGGUUCCCAAGUUGGCCAGAGUGUCCGCGGGUCAGUGCACCGGAUGGUCAGGGUCCUAGCCUAUGUGUGUUGGUGGAAGCAGUGCUACUGAACACACUCAAGUAUCCGACUGGGGCUGUGGACUCAGUUUUGGAAAGUUCGAAGAAGCCCUUUAUGUAGAAUAAUUUCGGCCUUGAAGAAAAGUCACAAAGAUAGUACAGAGAGCUCCCAUAUGCCCCUCACCCCAUUACCCCAACUGCUGCUUCUUACAUUAUCCUGCGACAUCUGUCACAAUUAAAGAGCAAGCGUUGCUACGUUACAAUUAACUAAAACCUGCACUUUGUCCACAUUUCACUGGUUUUUCCCUAACGUCGUUUUCCUGUUCUGGGAUCCACAUUCCAUUUUAUUGUCCUGUCUACUUCACUUCUUCUGGUCUGUGACAGUUUCUCAGACUCUCCUUGUGUCUGAUGACAUUGUCAGUUUGGGGAGUACUGGUCAGAUACCUUGUAGAAUUUCCCUCAGUUUGGGUUUUUCUCAUGUUUUUCCUGAUUGGACUGGAGUGAUGGGCUUUUGAGAGGAAGACCACAGAAGCGAAGUGAUAUUCCUGCCACAUUGUAUGAAGGGGACAUGCCUUGUCCCUCAUGAUGUUGACCUUGAUCACCCGGCCAGGGUAGUGUUGCCAGGUGUAAAUUUCUUUCCCACCUUCUUCCAUUCUCUGCUCUUUGGAAGUGAGUCACUAAGCACAGCGUAGACUCAAUUUAAGAGUUUCGUUAACUGUCUCAUCUAUCUGUGUCCUAUUAUGUCUAAGCCACAUCUAUUAUUUUGUUGUACUCCAAAUGCAUAGAUUUUGUGUUUAAAGCCUUAAGAAUAAAUAAAAGUUUCCUAGGCUUAAGUGGGAUUUGAAGUAUCUAGUAGCUGUAUUGAGUCUUCAUUCCAUUCCUUUUAUGUUUGGUUUAUUGGUUUUAUUAAAAAAAUCUUCAUACCCUGGGGGCACCUGACUGGCUCAGUCUGUGAGCGAGUGACUCUUGAUUUCAGGUUGUGAGUUCGAGCCCCACAUGAGGCAUAGAGCUUACUUUAAAAAAAAAAUUGUAAAAAUCUUCAUACCCUGUAUGCUAUCUCCUGUACCACACAGCCUACUUUGUUCUGCUCAGAUGGUUGCACAGCCUGUACUUUAUUCUUCUAGCACAAGGAAGCCUCGUGUCUCUCUUACUGUUGGGAAAAAAAGUUUAGCAUAAGAACAUUUUUAUCCAUACUGAAGCUUAUCUAGUAAACACUGCAAGAUACUUAAUUCUACUUAAUGUGAUGGAAAUCUUUCUAUUAUAAAAUUGUGUUAAACAUUUAUGAGUUUUAAUGCUCUCUGACACCUGUCCUAAUAUCAUAAUAGGCUAGCCUACCACACGCCUUGGCCCCCUGGAAAGCAGCUGAACCUUAGGAGUUGAGAUUACAGAUCACUUGUUGUGUUGUUUGUGGGGUAAAUUUCUUGAUGACUUUGAUUUUUUUUGUGUCUGAUUACUCCUUUCGGACACAACUCAAAUGACUUUAUUUACGUUUCAAGUCAGUUUCUAAGAAUUUAAAAAGGAAAAAAGAAUUUAAAAAGAAUGAUGUAUUAUUGGUUUAGCAUCUGACAGGAAUGUUCUUGAAAUGAUCUAUAAAUUGGGUUUUUGUUCAUUGAAUCAACAUUUUAUGUGCUCUAAGGGAACUUACUGUUUCAGAAAAUCUUGUGAGAAAUUUGUGAUGCUCCAGAAUGAUCAGUUUUGCAAAUCCACAUCUGCAGACCCUUAAUUUCAUCAACAGGUGUGGAUGUUUCAUUUAGCUGGACUGGUUAGAGUGUGUUUCCAGAACAUUAGACCUUCAUGUUCCUACUUAUUGUGAGCUUAUUUUUAAGAAACCAUUUUGAGUAUGUUCUAGUAUUUUGUCUUUCAGUCAGUCUUAGAGUUCAGUACUGGGGGAGGGGGGAGAGUUCAAAAAAUACAUUUUAAGAGAGUUUUUGCUCACUUCAUGGUUAUUUGGUAUGACGACUCAGAAACAGAAUAACGUUUUGAAUCGACCACAGGGGAAAUCCUUUCCCUGGCCCCUCAAGUCUACUUUCAGUCCAGUCAGAAGAUUCUUAAAUUCAUGUGGGGGAUUCCCACGUGCUCUAUUAUAAGUCUCCCUGAAAGUUUUCAUAGAUGUGUAGAAUGUCGGCUCGUAUCACAUACGUUUUAUGUCUCAGUGUGCGAGGGCCGUUCAGUGUACCGUUCCUUUGUUUUAAUAUUACUCAUUCUUUUUUCUAAGUGUGGAUGUGCAAGAGUGAGAAAGGCUGAGUGGUAUAAAAUGAAAUAUAAAAAAAAUGAAUUCACUUGUUCUCAGGUAGGCUAAAGAUCUAUUAAAUGUAAGAUCUUUGGGUGAAUACUAGCUCUUCUGUAGUGAGUAAAGAGAACUCGAGAACUUUGGAGACGGGAGCCCCCUUGCCUGCCUUCCACGGCACUAACUGUGUCCUCCCUGGCUAGCCGUGGUUGUCCUGUCCUUUGUACUCAGAGUAAGGCAUAUUUUUACUGCUUAGAUCUGGCAGAUGGGCUUCCCGCAGUUACUAUUCAGGUCAGUGUCUAAGGUCUUGAAGCGAUCUUCAAAAAAAUGAUAAACACUGAGCCCUUUUUGGGAGAAUAUACUGGAUGAAGAGCCAUGACAUAUUGUGAGAAAGUCAGCCAGAAAAAGUGUGUGUGGACCACCUGUGCCGUGCCCUGUACUUGCCUGAGCUUGUGUGAGGGGACCCCAUGGCUUGUGUAGGGACAGCAUUAUGUUUACCCUUCUGUCCGUUCAGUCACCCUGCCCCCCCCAGGAUCAUGUGUGACAACCCCCAGCAGUAGACAGGAGCCUGCCAUCAACCCUACCAUCUACUAACAAACUAUAGAAACGAUCCCUGAAAGUGUAGUCUUCAACCCUACCAUCUACAAGCACACUUGGGAGGUUUUCCUCCAUGAGAGGAAGACUCGCAUCUGUGUGCAGAAAGCAGCCCCUGGGCCUGGUCUGCCCUGUCCUGCAGCACCUGCACAGGCCUCAGCGGGUUUGUUCUCAGGGAGGGUGCUCCAGAGGGAGGAAAGGUUGGGGGAAGUGGGUGGGCGACAGAGACUGCCUUUCCCCUACGGCAUUGAAAAGUCCUCCCAGCCCUGUUCCAAAGCCAGCAAACGGUAAAAUAGAAUUCCUCCUGAAUUGUCAUGGUUCAUUCUCCACCUUUACAUCCCCAAAACUUACCUAACAUGUUUUCAUGGAAAACUAAAUUUUUACGUUCUUGUGCCAAGAAGACUCAGAUCUGGGAGGAUGCUUUAACAUUGUUAUCCAUCUUUAAUUUCCCCCUUUUACAUUUUACUUCUCCUCUAAAACCCCCUGUAUUUUUCCUCUAGUUGUAAAAUUUCAGGAAAUCUCCCAUUUAAGUCAGCUGCUGUUGGCCUGUCUGUGCUCUUUUUAGUGGCUUUGGUGGCGUUCAGGUUUAAGUGGCCCUGUGUGACAGGUGUGCGAGAUUGUGCUGCCCGGGCUGCCUCGUGGAUUCCCGUUCCACCCCGGUGCAGAGGGAGGCCGUCUUCAGAACCAGCGUGCCUCUCAGGCAUGGUUUCUUAAGCUGCACAGUCAUUACCUCUUUCAGUGAAUUUUUUUCAGCUUCAUCUCUCUCCUUAACACUAAGAUGCAGAAACGUCAGUCUUACUUAACGUCAAGUUAUCCAUCUGAUUUUAACUUGAUCCAAACUCAGAGCAUCUAAAAGUGGGUUGCACCGGAGGAUGUAACACCUUUGCCCGGAAGGUUGACUCCUGCCCUGGGCUGUUAGCAUUCAUUCAUUCAACAGACGUUUAGGACGUGCUCAUUUGGAGCCAGGCUCUGCGAUGAGGCGGGUGUACAGAAACAAAAAGCUCCAGUGCUGUCUUCAGUAAGCUUCCAGUCUAGUGAGAGGAAUGGAGUGCAGUGUGAUAACAGCACUGGGGAGGGUGUGCAGUCCAGACACGCAGGACAUCCUUCUGCAGAACCUGACAUGAGACACCCAGGUUUGGGAGGAUGGAUACGAGUAAACUGGGAGAAGAUGAGGGUUAUGAUACACUGGGAGAAGACAGAGAGCCAGGGGAAAUGUCAGACUCUGGUGGUGCUCCUGGGGGGAGGUUGCUGUGUAUUUAAAGGCCUACAAAGGCUAGAGACUAAGGAACAUGCUGGAAACUGCAGGACAUUAAGACCUGCUUGAGGUCAGGGUUUGUUAAAACUCCUCAGAUAGUUUAGUUAAGAACACGUGCCAACAUUGUAUUAAUAACAGUUUUGCAGUGCAAGGAAGAGGCCCCUGGUAGGUGGACUCAAAGAUUCACUCUUAGUAGGGGUGGGGGUCUGUUAUAGGAGGAAUGAUUGAAUCAUCAUUGGGAAGAAUAUCUGGUGAAAAAUCUUUAGACUCUAACUAGUCUAGUUGAUAAUUGAUAGCCAUCUAGGUGAAUGGCAAUGAGUUCGCCAGAACAAGCCUUAAUCUUGAAGUUCAUUUUAAAAUUGCCUUAGAGGGGCGCCUGGGUGGCGCAGUCGGUUAAGCGUCCGACUUCAGCCAGGUCACGAUCUCGCGGUCCGUGAGUUUGAGCCCCGCGUCAGGCUCUGGGCUGAUGGCUCGGAGCCUGGAGCCUGUUUCCGAUUCUGUGUCUCCCUCUCUCUCUGCCCCUCCCCCGUUCAUGCUCUGUCUCUCUCUGUCCCAAAAAUAAAUAAAAAGCAUUGAAAAAAAAAAAAAAUUUAAAAAAAAAAAAAAUAAAAUUGCCUUAGAAAAAAGGAUUUAUCUGGAAAGCUGUUGAUUUCUUCCCACUAGGAUGUUAUGCGUUAUAUAGUAAGCAACUUGGUUCUGUUCCAGAUCGGGUUUGGGGCAGUUUUUCUUUAAUAGGUUCAAGGUCACAGUGGAGUGCAGUCCAGUUUUCAGGGUGCUGCUGGUGAAGAGCUUUUUUAACCUACCUUGAGGAGAGUUUGGAUUUUUAUCCUGAGGGCAAUAGGGAGCCAUUGCCUGUGAGAGGAGUUUAAACCCCAGCCAUCAGCGUGGGUGUGGAUUAGCUGCAGCGUGAGGCAGGAGCAGCAGGAGAGAAGCUAGCAGAAGGCUUUAAUGUUCCCUCGAAAAACUGACGAGCUUUGAGUUCAGGCGUGUCUCCCCCUUGGCCUUCCACACCUCUCCGCCUGGAGCAGCUCUGAGACCGCCUCGUGUGGUAGUUGGGGAGUAGAAGUUAGUAGUUGGUUUUCCUCCAGAAGAGUUGGUUUUAACUUAUUCAGUUUAAAAAAAAAAAAAAUUUUUUUUAACGUUUGUUCAUUUUUGAGAGACAGAGUGGAACGGAGGAGGGGCAGAGAGAGAGGGAGACACAGAAUCUGAAGCGGGCUCCAGGCUCCGAACUGUCAGCACAGAGUCUGACGCGGGGCUCGAACCUCAAGAUCAUGACCGGAGCUGAAGUCGGAUGCUUAACCGACUGAACCACCCAGGUGCCCCUAACUUACUCAAUUUUAAAUGGUGACUGCUCUCGUCACAGUGAAAGAAAAUGUGAUACUGUGAAGAAGAUGCUGAGAAGGUUCUGGAAGCAGCAGCCAGGUUGAGGUAAGAGUUCAGAGAAAGGGGUCCAAGACCCUUGUGGACCUUGUGGCUCCGCCUCCAGGCCUGGGCCCCGUCGCCUGCCCUUCCCCCUCCAAGGAUUUGGUCCCAUCUCUGUCCUGAGACAGUUUCAGAACCUCGCUAUCAUCUGGCCUUGGCCUUGAGGCUGUUAGCGUAUUCCUACUACAGUUUGCUGUGAUUACAAAGGAUUCUGCCCUUCCUCAGAAGUCUGUAGGCAGAACCUCCUUCAGUGCGUCUGCUGUGGUUAAAAUAGAACCUUCAGAGAUGCCCUUGCCCCAGGCCGCAGAUCCGUUGGCACGGGGUGACCUGUGCUGUGUUUUCUUGUCACUAUUUCCUGAAGUUGUGGUGUCAUUCUGGGCAGAGGUGUAGACGCUUUGCAAGCAACAUCAGGGAACCUGACCUGGGGGUAGUUCUUCAGUGUUUUUGGUGGUGGUGGUGGUGGUGGCAGGUCACAUCCCUCUGCCUGUCCUCUCCUUUGUUGUGUCCGUGGCCUUACUGUUCCAGCGUCUUUUCUGGUCUCUUUCAUGACCACGUUUAAUCGUUUUCAUGUCAACAUAUUGCUGUGAAAAUAAUACUGCAUAAUUACUUGAUGUAGAUUGAAUGGGCAUAUUUGAGAAUCUACAAUUCUCUCCUAAAGUUGAUGUGAACAGGAACCUAUUCUUAGCUUUUAUUCCCAUUAGAAAUCUGUAUUCAAAAUACAUAAUUAUUCUCCUUUUGUUUUUUAAAUGUUAUCCAGAUUGCAAAAAUACCUGCCUCUAAGAACUCAAGAGGACUUACUCUGUGGGAACAAGAGGUAGUGAGUCAUACCUGCAAGCCCGGAAAUGAGUUUAUUUGAGCCUCUUUGAGGAGGUUUCCUAGGCAAGCAUGGAUGCAGUAAUUAAAGGAUGAGGAACUAGGGGGUGCGUACUUGGAGGUUUAAUCCUCAGGUGAUGUGCUCCUCGUCAGAUUGAGACCUCAGUUUUUGUUUUGUUCAUUAAAAAUAAUAAAAAAGCUUACUGCUUAAUUACAGAAAAACACACUAUUAUUAGGGUGUGGGUGUGGGGGUGUGUGGGUGUGGUGCUUUAACCUUACCUUUUAAACACUUUCUCUGAUGAGAAUGUUCAUAUGUGUUAAUGCUGGCUUAUUUGGGAAAGUAGGAGAGAAGUUACUGCUUCAAGUGAUUUCAGUUAGCCGUGAAGUUAUUUGGAAAAGCAGAUGAUGUUUUCGUGUGCCUGUAUUUGAGUUGGUUACCAUCAGAACUUGCAGCAUGUGGAGAAGAGAAGCUUGCUAAUCAUUUGUUUCUUCUUUGUUCAUGCUUGUAUUUGUAUGUGUCUGAUGCUGGAGUUGCAUCAGUCCACCUUGGGUUGUGCUGGCACAUUCCGCCCUGGGACGUGAGGGCGAGAGUGGAAGGGCCAUCCGUGAAUUGGAUUGGGACUCUUCCAGCACGUAGACAUAGCCCUGGCUUGCUAGAGAUUUCCCUCUAACUCUUCACUCUCAUCCUUUUUGUGUGGCUUUCUUCUUAGAUGGCCAUGAGGAUAAGAUAAACAUUUCUCUUCCACUGUGAAACCCUAAUGCUCCCAGACUUUACUUAACAUGGACUUUCAUUGAAUUCCAUUUUAACAAAUACGGUGGCUUUUUGCAUGGACCAGUGAAAGAGGAAAAGUCCUGCUAUGUGACAGACUCAUUUUCAGUAGUGUUAGAAAUAAUCUGAAAAGCACCAGAAUAUUUAAAUAUUAGCAGUGCUCAGUUUAAGUAGGGUUAUGUUAUGAUCCUAGAUCAGGUAUUUUCUAGAAAUGUUGACAAGAUGAAAUGUAGAAGAUGGCCCUUUUCUGCUGGGCACUGAGAAGAGCCACUUCUCUGAGUACCCGUGGGCUUUAUGAACAUCUUGAGCUUUUUGUCACAAUAAUGUGUAUUUUCUUUUGGAUGCAGUGGAUACCCUUCUAUCAGCAAAAGCUCUGAGACACCGCUCUUGCACACAUGUGACAGAUGAAGUAGGUGAACUUUGUCGCUACGGCUUUUUCCUCUCCCGUAGUUCCUGGAUCUGUGGAAGAAGUUAGGAGUAGCAAAUCCUGGGGCGCCUGGGUGGCUCAGUCGGUUGAGCGUCUGACUUCGGCUCAGGUCAUGAUCUCACGGUUUGUGGGUUCGAGCCCCACAUCAGGCUCUGUGCUGACAGCUCGGAGCCUGGAGCCUGCUUCAGAUUCUAUCUUCCUCUCUCUCUGCCCCUCCUCCACUUGAGCUCUGUCUCUCUCUCAAAAAUAAACAAAAACAAAAACAAAACAAAAACCAGGGUGCCUGGCUGGCCUGGAGCCUGCUUCGGAUUCUGUGUAUCCUUCUCUCUCUGCCCUUCCCCUGCUUGCACUCUGUGUCUCUCUCAAAAAUAAAUAAAACAUUUAAAAACAUUAAAAAACAAACAAACAUGGAAUAGCAAAUCCUGGUCUGGAGUCAAGGCUUUGGCCCCCCACCCCCACAACAUAAGGGAAAAAUUUCUAAUUCUUAGAGUCAAAAUGUAUGUAAGUGUACUUAAUUCUUAAGAAAUCCACCAACUUCUGGGGCACCAGGGUGGCUCAGUCAGUAGAGUGUCUGACUUCAUCUCAGGUCAUAAUCUCACAUUUGUGAGUUUGAGCCCCGCAUGGGGCUCUCUGCUGUCAGUGCGGAGCCUGCUUCGGACCCUCUGUCCCCCUCUCUCUCUGCCCCUCCCUGGCUCAUGCUCUCUCUCUCUCUCUCAAAAAUAAACACUGAAUAAAAGAAGUCCACUGACUUUUUAGUGGUAUUGAUAAUAGAGUUCUACCCUUAAUUUUAACUUGUUUCCUUUACCUAUUUGAAAUGUCAGGCUGUAGUUUAUGACCUGCCUUAACUUAUUUUUAAACAAGGCAGGUUAUAAAGAAGGUAAUCCUUCAAUUUGUUAUUUUUAAUAUCUACAUUUUCACAUUUUUUGUGAGAUAGAAAUUGACCUAUUGAUCGAUUCAUGCAUUCAUCUGCUGAAUGUCUCUGAUUUGCCAGUCACCGUACUAGGCAUUGGGGAUAGAGAUUAAGACUUGGUCUCUAUUUUAAAGGUGCUGGGGGCACCUGGGUUGCUCAGUGGAUUGAGCAUCAGACUCUUGGUUUUGGCUCAGGUGAUGAUCUUACGUUCAUGGGUUCCAGCCCCACAUCAAGCCCGUGUUGAGCCCGGCUUGACAGCAUGGGACCUGCUUGGGAUUCUCUCUCCCUCUCUGCCUCUGCCCAUCCCACGUUCUCUCUCGCCAUCUCUCUGUCUGUCUCUGUCUCUCUCUCAAAAUAAAUAAACUUAACGGUGCUAAUAAGUCCACAAAUAGAGACAUACAAAUAAAUAUUCUUAUGAGAAUAGAAAACACUUCUGUAGUAUUUACUAUAUGUAGGUACUGUUGUAAGUGCUUUCUAGGCAUUAGCUUUAACUCAUGAAUUGAUACAAAAUCCUUUUGAAGUUCUUAACUAUUAUUUUCUCUGUUUUACACAUGAAAAAGUUCAGAGGUUAGGUACUUGUCCCAAGGUCAUAAAGCUUGUUUUGUUUGACAGUCAGAUGUAUUGAGUGCGAUAACAGACCUGCUCAUGGAGUGCCCUGGAAGGACAGGGUAGUGUCUAGUUGGGAAAAUGGGGACUAGAAGUGUGAGUAUCCAUGAAAUUUUCCCAAAGGAAGCAGUACCUGAACAAAUGUAUUCAGAGGAGUGGAAGAGCCACGAAAUACUUCUUUAGGAACAUAAAAUACUACCUCAUAAAUGAGUUCGUAGGUUGAAUCCGUGACAGAAUAUUGGAAGACUGGGAGGGGCGCCUGGGUGGCUCAGUCUGUUAAGUGUCCGACUUCGGCUCGGGUCAUGAUCUCACGGCUCAUGGGUUUGAGCCCCCUAUUGGGCUCUGUGGUGACAGCUCAGAGCCUGGAGCCUGCUUCAUAUUCUGUGUCUCCUCCUCUUCUCCGCCUCUCUCCCCUAUUCACCCUUUGUCUCUCUCUGUCUCUCAAAAAUAAACAUUAAAAAAAAGAAAGAAUAUCGGAAGACAGGGGGAUAGUAAAAAUAUACCAGAUCCCUGCAGUCUUCAAUGUAAAUGACAAGGAAAUAGAUUUCAAUGUUGAGGCAAACCUUUGUUUCCAGUUAGUGUAAGGUAUGGUAAAAACUUGGCAUUUAAAAAAAAAACCUAAUGAAAGUAUUAAUUUCCUUAUACUCUGUCAGCAUGUGGGUAAAUGUGUGACCCCUUCGAACGUUCUAAGAUGAAUUUCCCAACACUGGAUAUUUUAUCUUAGGAAACCUCUGGUAACCUGUAGAAAUAGUCUACUGGUAUAUAUUUUGAAUAAAUGCAGAGAAAGAUUGAUUUCUUUCAGAAUAAAAGUUGGCAGGAACUGCCAAGUUAGGUAGGUUAAUUUUAUCAUUGCACAGUUACAAAGCUGUUCAGAAGGUGGGGUUGGCGGGCCCCAUGCUUGGCUCGGCAGCACUGGGUUGUCGCUUUUUUACCUUUCUGUAACCACUCCUGGCUUUUUUGAGCAUCAAGCCAUGUGGAUAAUCGUCCUUUGUCCCCUUGUAACCACUGCAGUAUGCUGACUUUGUCAUGACUCCCACUCCUCGCUCGAGACUGCCUCACUGUUUUCCACCUUGCCUCGGCUUCAUUGGAUGACCCACCUAUUUUCCUUGGCUGCAUGGGUCUUGUUUUGGAGCUUCUCAUCGCCAGCGAUCUCCCCAACUUCUCCCCAGCUUCCUCCAUCUCCCCACUCUCUAGGCCUUGUCUACUCGGGGCUCAGACCGUUAGUCAGAGAUGUCCUUUUGGACCACACCCUCCUGUCCGUCCACCUUGGACCCUACCUCUCGUUUGAUCCUACUGAGACCUCUAGUUUGCAGACACUUUUGCUCUGUACCUUUCCAUCUUUAUUUUCUUCCUGAUUCAACUUAGAAACCAUAGUCCAUGUAUUAAAUCACGGUCUUGCCCAAACCCUAUACUCCUGACCAUUUUGUCCUUUGGCUUGCACAUGGGCUCCUGAGUAGUGCCAGAGAAAGCCAUAUAGCUGGGCAGAUUGGCACCUGGUCGCAUAAAUUCAGGUGGUGGCUCAGCACCGUGUGGCCGUUGCUUCUUGUUCUUCGGGGCAGCUGUCUGCCACUCUGAUUCUUCAUGGUGACUAUUCCUAAGCUCUCUUCCAACUUCUGACUGCUCCUCCUCCCCACUUACUCUGCUCAGAUGAUGCACUCCUGCAGUAGGACUGUCAGUCCUACCUGCCCCUGAGCCUCCUCCUUUCCCCUUGGUGUCCGUGAGCUGACAGCCUCUUGCUUUUUCUUCUGCUUUUCAUACUGUCUGAGUCAUCUUUGUGGUUUCAUCUCUUGUCAAACUGGCUUCUGUCAAAAGGCAACUACAAGAUGUCUGUUUCCUUUUUCAAGUACAGUAAAACAUUUUCACACUGCUGUCCUUUGCCUUCUGCUGGAGAAAGCUGGGAUUUACUGUAGGGGGGCAGGCCCCUAGUGCACUCAUGCUGUGUACCUGUGUGUGUGCGUGCUUGUGUGGCCAUGGGGCUCGGCUCUGUGAUCUGGCUACCGUGUGCUGAGCCGUGUUCAGUAGCCAUCUCCCUUGGCUGCUGAAUGAUUCUGCCCUCUGCAGAAAUAGUCCCCCAGGGUUUAUCCUGCAUGCACGUGGGGGAGAGUGUGAUUGACAUCUUUCAGGUUAGAAAUAGGCAGGAGUUUCCCAGAUAGAUGGGUUUUGCUACUAUUACAGUGUGCUACAUGUGUCAUCUUCGGUGGCUCCCCGGUGCCUUUGCAGAUUAUCGAGGUGCAGUGAGGCGAGCGUUUUGGCUCCUGCUUCUGCCGAGUGGACUCCAGACCUUUUUUUUUUUUUAAUGUUUAUGUAUUUUUUGAGAGAGACAGAGGUAGAGUGCAAGCGGGGUAGGGGCAGAGAGAGAGGGAGACACAGAAUCCGAAGCAGGCUCCAGUCUCUGAGCUAUCAGCACAGAGCCCGACACAGGGCUCGAACCCACAAACCGUGAGAUCACGUCCUGAGCCGAAGUCUAGUGCUUAACCAGCUGAGCCACCCAGGCACCCCCCCAGACCUUCUUCUUUACACUUCUUUGUACUCAUUCUCUGACCUGCUCUGGAGGGCUGCUGCCCACUCCCCUGUUGCUCCUUCUAAUUGCUGCCUCUGCAUGGUGCCUUACUCCCUCAUUCCACGCCCCCUUCCCUUGUUUUGUAUCAUUUCUUCGUAAAGAUAGGAACAUUUAGUAGACACUGAUCAUCGGUUAAUUCACUAUUUAGUUCCAGAGCUGGUCCCUUGGGGAGGCUGUAAGCACUAGGACAAUGACAGAGCUGCCUUUCUGGUGAUCAUAGGAGAGAAACAUUGAGAUGUGUCAUUCCAGUGUAUUGUGACGAAGACUGUUAAAGUGUAGGCUGAGCAUUUCAUUUACAUCGCUUCAUAUAAUCUUUAAAAAAAUCCUGUGAAGUUGCUCUUUUUUUUUUUUUUUUUUGCCUUUAUUUUAUGGAGCUGAAAACUGAGGUUCUGAGAGGUGACAUCAUUUGGUCAAGGUCACUUAAACAGCAAGUUACCCAGUGGGAAAGACAGCCCAACAUUUGAGCUGCAAAAGCUCAUGCUCUUCACUGUGAAUACAGUUUUCCUCCUCUGCCACAUUGCCUCUGUUGGAGGGCUGACCCUGAACAGUAGAAUUCAAGGUCUAAUAAUAGACUCUCAACACAUUGAAUAUUAGGCAUGGGGAGAACUCUAACUAGCUAGAAACCAUUAGUUGUAGUGUUUUUAUUCUUCUGUUGUUUCAGUGGCAUUGCCUGAAAUUAUAUUACCUUAUUUAGUUUAUUAUAUUACCUUAUUUAGUGCAUUUGUUAUCACUAGGAUUCUGAUGCAUAACAUAUUCUUUUUUUAAAAUUUUUUUUUUUCAACGUUUAUUUAUUUUUGGGACAGAGAGAGACAGAACAUGAACGGGGGAGGGGCAGAGAGAGAGGGAGACACAGAAUCGGAAACAGGCUCCAGGCUCUGAGCCAUCAUCAGCCCAGAGCCCGACGCGGGGCUCGAACUCACGGACCGCGAGAUCGUGACCUGGCUGAAGUCGGACGCUUAACCGACUGCGCCACCCAGCCGCCCCGAUGCAUAACAUAUUCUUACAAGAAUAUCUUACAUGCCUCCCUGUUGACUUCCUUUUUUUUUUAAUUUUUUUUAACGUUUAUUUUUGAGAGAGAGAGAGAGAGAGAGAGAGAGACAAAGCACGAGUGGGGCAAGGGUGGGGGAGGGGGAGAGAGAGAGAGAGAGACAGAGAAUCUGAAGCAGGCUACAGGCUCUUAGCUGUCAGCACAGAGCCUGAUGCGGGACUCGAACUCACGAACAGCAAGAUCAUGAUCUGAGCCGAAGUUGGAUGCUUAACCCACUGAGCCCCCCAGGCGCCCCUCUGAUACCUUCUUAAGAGCCAGAUUCAAACUUCUACUUCACUAUAGGUUUGAAAUUUUAAGUACUUUACAGCCAAAAGAGAAAAAAAAUAGGGUUAUGUGUCACAGAGGGUAUAAAGGAACUACUUUCUGGAUCACUGAAGAUAACAGUGUUACUGCUAAUGGUACAGUUUCAUCUCUUGCAGUUAGCCCGAGACCAGCACCUGUGUUCACCCUUCCUGGGAGCCUAAACUGCUCACAUCCUGGGCUGGGCCUGGGGUGCUGACAUGAACCAGGCCUCGGUUCUUUCUAAGGGACUAGCUUCAGUUUCCUAUGUUCUGAUCAAUAUAGUUCCCACCCUCUCUCCCAUUUUGACUUCUUUUGCUUUUAUUGCUUCACUCCAGACAGCCGGUUCACAGAUUAUUCUAAGAAAUGGUUCUGUGAGAACUACUUAGUGAAUUUAUUCAGUGGUUUAUUCAGCAUCGCUGCCCACUAGGCACUGCUCUGAGUGCUGGACAUGGGAUAGAACAGGGCACCAAACAGCACCUCUGCCCACUUUUUUUUUUUUCACUUUUAAACUGGAGUUGGUGAGUGAAUUAUGCACCACUGUUAGCAUCUUGCCAGCAGAAUCUGUGACUAUAUAUUUGCCAUUACCAGUGAGGAUUACACUACCUUUUUGUGUUGUUUUUUUUUGUUGGUAUUAAUUAGCAUUCUUUUCCUUUCACUCAAAGCAUUGCCUUUAGCAUUUCUUGGAAGGCAGGUCUGGUGGUAAUGAACUCCUUCAGCUUUUGUUCGUUCUGGAAAGUGUUCCUCCAUUUCUGAAGGACAGCUUUGCCAGGUACAGAAUUCUUGGUUGAUAGUUAUUUUCUUUCAGUAUUUUUAAUAUACUAUACUCUUCUGGCCUGAAAAGUUUCUGUUCAGAGAUUCACUGAUAGUCUUAUGGGAGUUCCUUUUUUAUUUUUUAAAGUAGACUUCAUGUCCCAUGCAGAACCCAACUCAGGGCUUGAACUCACAACCCUGAGAUGAAGACCUGAGCUGAGACCAAGAGUUGGACACUUAACCAACUGAGCCACCCAGGAGCCCCUUUGGGGGUUCCCUUGUAUGUACCUUCUCUCUUUCCUCUUGCUGCUCUUAAAAUCCUUUCCUUGUCUUCCCAUAGGCUUUCUUCAGUCUUCUUUAUGUUUUUUCUUUUUGUUCCUCUGACUGCAUAAUUUCCAGUGCCCUAUCCUCCAGGUUACGGAUUCUUCUUUCUGUGUGGUUGAGUCUACUUUCAAAACUGAAUUCUUUUGUUCAGUUAUGUGUUUUUCUUUUUUUUUUAAUGUUCAUUUAUUAUUUAUUUUGAGAGAAAGAAAGAGUGAGCAAGGGAGGGGCAGAGAGAGAGGGAGACAGAGAACCCCAAGCAGGCUCCACACUGUCAGUGAGGAGCCUGACGUGGGGCUCGAACUCAUGAACUGUGAGAUCAUGACCUGAGCGGAAACCAAGAGUUGGAAGCCCAACUGACUGAGCCACCCAGGCACCCCCAGUUAGGUAUUUUUUAACUCUAGGUUUUGGGUUUUUUAUUUUAUUUUUUUGGUGGUUGCUAUUUUCUUCUUUUUUGUUAUUAUUAUUAUUUUUAAUGUUCAUGUAUUUUUUGAGAGAGAGAUAGAGUGGCAAGUGGGGUAGGGGCAGAGAGAGAGGGAGACACAGAAUCUGAAGCAGGCUCCAGGCUCCGAGCUGUCAGCACAGAGCCCGACACGGGGCUCGAACCCACGAACCGUGAGAUCAUGACCUGUGCCGAAGCCGGAUGCUCAACUGACUGAGCCACCCAGGCGCUCCCCCGAUAGUUGCUAUUUUAUCAAAAUUCUCAUUUUGUUCAUGUGGUGUUUUCCUAAUUUUGUGUAGCUGUCUGUAUUUUCUUGAAGUUCACUAAACUUCAAGACAGUUACUCUGAAUUCUUUGGCUAACAGUUCAUAGAUCUCUGUUUCUUUAGGGUAAGUAAUGGGAGCUUAUUAUUUAUCUUUCAUGGUGUCAUAUUUACCUGAUUUUUCAUGAUCAUCGAUUCCUUGUGUUGAUAUCAGCAUAUUUAAAUAAUGGGGCUCCUCUUCCAGACUUUUCAGAUUUGCUUUGGCAGAGAGAAUUCUUCACCAGUCACCUCAAUUUGAGUUACUGGGUGUGUCUGCUGGUAAUACCUCGGGGCAGGUGGGACCUGCUCUUAUGGUAUGUUUUGGGGGGAGGCAGCUGUUUGAGCUCUGAGAAUGUGGGUCGGGGGUGUCUGUCACUGGCUGAGAACAGUUGGGUGGGACUGCUGGCUUAGUUCCCGUGCAAGAGAAGCCGUAGGACGGUUUCUUUUACUGCCUGGAUUCUCUGGUCACAAAUGGUCAGAAUUGGGUACUGUAUUGAGUCUUAGAUGGGUCUGUGAACUAGCUUCCCUGCCCUGGCAGGGCAGCAGGAAGGGCCCCAGGGCCCGUAUACCUCAUUGCCUGGAGACCUAAAUCAGCCCAGAGUGUGCCUGAAUUCGCUGCCUAGGUGAGGCCACCUGUCUUGCUCUACCAACAGGAGAAGCCAUGGGCUUUGCUCUCUGUUCAGGUGGUGUUGUAUGUAGAGCUGUUGAAUGGGCUUUGAAGCUUCCCAGGUGCUCCCGUUAGGUUCCCUGGUGGGACGGCCUGAGGGCUGUAUUCAGCCAUGAGCAGGGCUGUGAAUUCCCUGCCUGGGCACAGUGGGAGAAGUAAAUGUAAAACCAGUCAGGCUCUGUUUGUUGUCUUCACUGGAGCUGAUCUGUACCCCAAGUUCCCUGGCCGAAUAGGGUCUCUGACUUUGCUCUGCAAACUGUUGACUCCGAGUGCUCUUCUCUUGGCCUGAGCUGUGCUGGGCUGUACAGCUUCCAGGAGUUAUCACCAGCCCUUCUGGUCAGAUGGGGCCAGAAGACCGUCUUCACAGUGUGGGAAGCUAUGCCCCAGCCCCCUUGCCUGGGCAGGAGCGGGAAGGUCCACUCUAGACUAAUUCAGUUUCCCCAGACAGGCGCUCUGGUUGGGAGGGGCCACAAGCUACAUUCAGCCUUGGCUCUGAAUUAAUCCCCCUGCCCUCAUACCUGGUACUGGCUUUGCUCUGGGGGUGAGCCUCUCAGAACCUCUGCCUCUCAGCCAGAGUGUUGCUGGGCUACACAGCUUCCAGGAGUUGUCCCCAGCACUCUGGUCACAACUCUGGUCCAGGGGCUGGAAGACCCUUUCCACAGGUCCCUGGGUGUGAGCAAACUGGGCUCUUGGGGUGGAAAGAUUCCUCAUCUGGGGAUCCGAGUCAGGCAGAUCUGCACCCUGCCAAGUUCCCCAGUCAGGGUGCGCCCCCAACUUGGUUUUGCGGAUGAGCAAAGCCACUGGUUGGGAUUACUCUUAGGACCCUGCAGGUAUGAACUUCCAUCUGUCAAGAUCCUUGUGCUGGUUGUUGGAAGCCCCUCCCCUAGCCUCCAUCACAGUCGGAGUCCCGGUGUUUGAGCCCCUCAGAUUCCCCUGCGAUCCCCGUGGUGGGAGAUCACGGUAGGGGGCUCCUAAAAGUGACCCACAGGGCCGGGCGUGCUGUUUGUCCCUCCUGGGUUCUCUUUUCCCACUGGAGGAACUGGUGGCCCAUAGGAGACCUCUCUGUGGGCUGCACUGGCCCGGGGGCGGGGCAGCGUGGUCAACAUGUGGCUGCUUCUCUUCUCCUUCUGAUGCAGUCUGGCUUGGUCUCCGAGGUGCAGGGGGCACUUCAGCCUCACCCCUGUGUUCCGGGAUUCUCUCAGUGGUGUCUUGUUCUUGAACAGAUGUUAGUUGUUGUCAUGGGGUGUGAAGUCAGGAACAACCUAUGUCUCCAUCUUGCUGGCAUCACUCAGCUCUCUGCCCGCUUUGAACUUUUGUUCUGGUGUGGGAGGCACCCGGUAAGGCAGUAAACAUGGGAUGUGUUGUCAGAUGAUGAUAAAUGCCGUGAGGAAGGUAAAGCUGAAUAAAGGGGUAGGGAGCGAUGGGGUGAGGGUAUGUUGCUGUUUAGCUAAGUCAUCAGGUCUUACGGGGGAGGUCAUAUUUAACCAGAGACCUGAGUGUCUUGCUCAGUUUGGGCUGCUGUGACAAUAGCAUCAACUGGGUGGCCUAACAAUAGAGUUUUAUGUCUCACAGUUUUGGAUACUGGAAAUCUGAGACCAGGGAGCCAGCAGGGUAGGCUUCUUGGUGAGAACGCCCUUCCCCGUUUCAGACAACUGCCUUCUUUUUUUUUUUUUUUUUUCAACGUUUUUAUUUAUUUUUUGGGACAGAGAGAGACAGAGCAUGAACGGGGGUGGGGCAGAGAGAGAGGGAGACACAGAAUCGGAAACAGGCUCCAGGCUCCGAGCCAUCAGCCCAGAGCCUGACGCGGGGCUCGAACUCACAGACCGCGAGAUCAUGACCUGGCUGAAGUCGGACGCUUAACCGACUGUGCCACCCAGGCGCCCCAACUGCCUUCUUGCUACGUCCUCACAUGGCAGGGGGUGGGGUGGGGGGGAGCGGGGAGAGAUCAUUUCUCGUGUGUCUUCUCUUGCAAGGGCACUAAUUCUCUACCCUCGUGACCAAAUCACUCCCAAAAGGGCCCAUUUACAAAUACUGUCACAUUGGGAAUUAGGGUUUCAACACAGAAGUCCUGGGGGAACACGAACGUUCAGUCUGUAGCACUGAAUGAAGUAAGGAAGGGCCUUCCAGGCACCGGGAACUGCACUUUCGGAGACCUAACGUGAGCCAUGUCAGAGGAACAGCUCUGUUGGCUGCAGGGUUGAUGCUGGAGCAGAGCAGGCAGCGAAGGAAAGAGCGUUCAGAAAUGAAGUGGGAGAGGUACCACCGAAGGCCUACGUGGUUGGCCACUUUGGAUUUGAUUCCCAGUGGCACGGGGGAGCCUGUCUCCAGAGGGAAAGAUGUGCUAGGACUUUUCAUUCCUAAAAGGUCACUUUGGAUGCCGUGGGGCUGGGGUUGGGGGCUAGGAGUGGAUGUGUGCCAUGGUCUAGGUGAGAGGUGAUGGCUGAGAAGACUGGGUUGGUAGCGGUGGGGGUUGUAAGAGGUGGUUGGAUUGGGGACACUGAAGGUAGAGCUGGUACCUUUUGCUGAGAGAUCAGUUGUGGGGUGUGACCUAACCCCAAUGUUACAGGGUUACGAGGUGGGCCUUUGGGUGAUUCGGCUUCUAUCUGAGGGUCAUAAGGGUGGGGUCCUCGUGAUGGGAUUGGUGUCCAUGUAAGAAGAGGAGUGACCAGAGCUCUCUCCCCUCGUGCCCCGUGAGGACACAGUGAGAAGGCGGCCACCCGCACAAGAAGAGAGCGCUCACCAGAGCCCAACACUGCUGGCACCCUGAUCUUGGACUCCAUGCCUCCAGAACUGUGAGAAAUAAGUUCAUGUUGUUUAAGCUAGCCAGGCUGCGGUCUUCCGUUACAGCAGCCCAAGAUGAAACACCUUCCCUUCCGAUUUAUUUCUUUCGUGAGCUAUGCAUGCCAGGUGUACAAAACUAAAUAAUUAAAUUCAAACACUACAGCGGUGUGUAAGGUUUAAGUAAAAGUUUACUUUCCUCCCUCCAGAAGUAACCCCUUUGAGGUAUCCAUUUGAAAGCUUGGGUUUUAUUCUACUAGACCCGUGCUUUCUUUUUAAAAAAAAUUUUUUUUUACGUUUAUUUUUUCAUUUUGAGAGAGAGACAACAGCAGAGGGGCAGAGAGGGAGAGGAAGAGAGAGAAGCCCAAGCAGGCUCCGCGCUGUCGGCACAGAGCCUGACAUGGGGCUCAGACUCACAAACUGUGAGGUCAUGACGUGAGCCGAAACCAAGAGUUGGACGCUUAACCAGCUGAGCCACCCAGGCGCCCCUAGACCUGUGCCGUCUAAUGAGGCAGCCAUUUGCCACUUGUGGCUAUUCAAAUUUACUUAAUUACAAUUAAGUACAACUAAACAUUCAAUUCCUCAGUCACACAUACUGGCUAUGUUUCGGGUGUUCAGGAGCCAUGACUAGCUGCAACCGUGUUGGACAGAAUAAACAGCAUUUCCAUCAUCACAGAAUGUGCUAUCGAAUGGCACUGUUUUCGAUGAAUUCUAUUCAUAUACAAAUGUGUGUGUGUGUUAUAUAUACGUGCAUGCACACACACAUACACAUAUCUGUGCAGUUGGCAUAAUAUUGUACAUACUCUUCUGCAAUUUGUUUUUUCCACCUAACAGAGAAACUGUUAAUUUGGUGUGAUCCACACACAGCAUCAUGCCAGGAAAAUUUUAAAACAGGGUGCAUAAUCAAACAUAGAGUUUUAGUGCAUUAAAAAUCUUUUAAUUUCAGAUUUUAGAGGUAAUCGCAACACAUCCUAAUGCUUGUUCCAAUUUUAACUAAACAAAUUAAUUUUGGAAAUCGUCCACUCAGCCUUGGGUAUGUAAAGAAAGAAGGUUCAGGAGCUGUAGUUUGAGCUUAAUCUACCGUGUAGAUUGACAUACACACCUGCGUGCACAUGCACACAGACACACACACACUUCCUGUUAUUUCUGUUUUGUAACAGGGAUUGUAACCUUCUCCUGUUUAGUAUGCUCACUAUUCAGUAGACCAGCACUGUCCAAAAUGGUAGCCACUAGGCACAUGUGGUUAUUUAAAUUGAAAUUAAACAUUUAGUUCCUCAGUUGUACUAGCCACAUUUCACAUGUCCAUUAACCACGUGUGGCUGGUGGAUAGCAUGGAUCUGGAAUGUUGUCAUUUCACGGAAGGUUCUGUUGGGCAGCUCUGUACUAGAAACUUUCUUCAAGGGGUGCCUGGGUGGCUCAGUCAGUUAAGCGUCCGACUUCACCUCAGGUCAUGAUCUCGCGGUCCGUGAGUUCGAGCCCCGCGUCGGGCUCUGUGCUGACAGCUCAGAGCCUGGAGCCUGUUUCAGAUUCUGUGUCUCCCUCUCUCUGACCCUCCCCUGUUCAUGCUCUGUCUCUCACUGUCUCAAAAAUAAAUAAAAAGGUUAAAAAAAAUUAAAAAAAAAAAAAGAAACUUUCUUCAAGUCCAUUUCUCAUUUAAAUGCAGUGAUUUUUCCACAGGUAGAGGGUGGGGGACUCUGUCCAGGAGGAUGUCUGAGAAUCUGUGGGAGUGACUGGAGAGCUCGCACUUCCAUGCCCUUCCCGGUCAAGAUUCUCAUCCUCCCCUUUGAAGACGCAUGUCCUCCUACUAUCUUUGAGAAUUAGUGUUCCAUAGUAAGUUAAUUGUGGGAAAGAAUAUUGGUACUGAUAGCAUUGCAAGGUUAGAAUAUUAUUUUGAUAAUUGGCAACGCGUAUACGCUAUUAAACUGCAUCUAUACAUACAGUAGGUGUCACUGCUCAACUUGCAAUAGAAAGUGUUUAGUAACAAACUGUUUAGUUACUGUGGGUGCUGACAACGUAUUAUGUUUAAACUUUUUAAAUUGAGAAAAGAAUAGACUAUUGGAAAUGCACCUUUUUGUGGAAAAUAGAUGUAUUUAUGUUGACAUUUAUGUUAGGAAAUAUGUAAUCUGGACAGAUUCAUAGGGAACAGGAAGAAUAGUUCCCUGUGGGAAUGGAGAUGGUGUAAGAGGGAGACAGGUAUGAUAGAAUGACUUUUUUGCUCUCUGCCCUUUGUUUAUGUACCUUGUGACUAUGUGCUUAUGUUAAUACAAAAAUUAAUAAAUAAAAUGAAGAAAAAAACCAAAAUACAUCCUUAAAAUGUGCAGGAUACAGAAUAGAUGGUUUAGGAGGUAAGGGUCACUUAGGACAGAAGGAAUUACAUAGAUUUAUAGGAGCAGAGGGCUGGUCUGAAGUUUCACGUGACCAUCAGAUGAAACCUCGUGAGGCCUCCUGGCAUGCCAGGACCUGGGCUAGGCAGACCAUUUCUCACAGGCUGGUUAUUUUGCAGUAAUUAAAGCUGUUUGCAACUGUUUUAUUACAUGUAACUUAAUACAUUUUAGGAGAAAAAAAUACUCAUAGUACUGAACUAUUUUUUUUCCACGCGACCUUUCUUAACUCUCAUGGAACACGGCUUAGGAAAUGCUGAUUUAAACUCGUGGAAAUAAUUAUCCCAGAAAGAUGAGGUUGAAAAGAAGUUGUUCCAGGUCUGGGGCACCCUGCUUCAUUUACAGUCUUUCAGGAAGAUGAAUACUGGUGUUAAUUGAGUUUAAUUUGAAUAGGGACAUACCACAGAUUAUUCGGCACACGGCGCCCACGUAAAAGUCACACACACACUGAACAUGGACUUGGUCAUUGACACUGCCCGGUGUCCUCCCCCAUCCUUUGCUUACAGCCACUGUCAGGGACCAAGAGGUGGGACAGUCCAACAAUGUGGGGCGUGGGCACAAGGGACAAACCUCCUUUCCUCCACCAUCACGUCUCCAUAUUUCAGCUUCCAGGCGACUGUGACAUCAAAAAUGGAGUGCCCAGAUAGUCAAAACCAAGUGUUAGGUUUUGAAAACAGAAUCCUGUAGUUCAGCAGAAUUGAUCUUCUUCUAUGAAAGCAAGUGGCUGGGAUUUGUGCUUUUUCAGGAAAGCAAACUAAGGGAAAACUAGUUAAGGAAAAAUCAUGCCCUAAACUACAAGCGUUACAAAGGAAAUCUUGUUGGGGGCACCUGGGUGGCUCAGUCGGUUGAGCGUCUGACUUCCGCUCGGGUCAUGGUCUCACAGUCUGUGAGUUCGAGCCCCGCGUCUGGCUCUGUACUGACAGCUCGGAUCCUGGAGCUUGCUUCAGAUUCUGUGUCUCCUUCUCUCUCUCCCCUCCCCCGCUCAUGCUCUGUCUCUCUGUCAAAAAUAAAUAAACAUUAAAAAAAAUUAAAAACAAAAAAAAAAACCCAAAAAACCAAAGGAAAUCUUGUUUGUGGUGGGAGUUCGAGGCAAUGACUUCCCAAAGGCAAGGAUAAUUUUCAAAAUACUGAAUGACCGGCACAGCACAGGAGUUCACACAUUCAGAAUAGAUGCCAGCCUUGCACAACUGGUGUGGCCGUACCAGCGUGUACAGGCUGAGUGUCAUUCCUGCCGGACAACAAAGCCAUUCAAGACGAGAAAUGAGCCAUUACUGGGUUUUGCGGCCAAGCCUGCGGGUUGUCCCCUCAGUGUCCAUAACACCCAUCUUUAUAGAGUCACUAGUUGAUAUUGGGGUGCUUGGCUGCUUUAUGGCCAUAUGACUAAAUUCUGGUCAGUGGGAGGCAUAUUAUCAUGUGGUCUUUUCUAGAACCUUCCUUAAGGGACAGUAUGUGUUCCCCCCUCUGCCCUCUCUUUAUUUAUGCCUUUCCCAUUCCGCUUCCUAGAAUGUGGAUGCCGCCAUCUUGAGCCACGGAGUUGACGUCACUGUGGUGGAGCAGUAAAAUAAGUAGAGGGCCACACUCGCCUGAGAAAGAAAGAAACUUCUCCUGUUUAGGUCACAACGACUUUGGGCUUGAAGACACCCUCAGCCAAACCUAAUUCUAACUAUUGUGGGUCCCUAAUCUCCUAGGCAAAUUCAAUUUUAUUUAAACUCUUAACACUCCUGUGAACUUGGUAUUCUUGUUCCUUGGUAAGGGAUUAGGAGACGGAGGUUGAAUAAAAAUGAAGCAACUUGCCCACGUAUCAGAGCCAGCAUUUGAAUCCAUGUCUGAUCUUUCUGACUUCAGAUCGCCAGGAGCUUAAUCCUUGCUUUAGUAAUUAAUGUGGAACAUAAAGGGCAUGUGGCACAUGGUUUUGUAACAUUCGUGCUUUGGCAGAGCCCCAAUUUUGUGGAUUUUUUUCAAAAAGACGUUGGGUUUUUCAGAGAAAUUCAUUUGUGGCUUUUUGAAAGUGACAAACAUGUUAACUGUUUCUCAGUCAAUAAUACUUAUCAGAAAAGCGUUUUUCUUAAUUUCAAAGAAAGCCGUGUUGUUCCUCUCAUUUCCAGUGUUUGCUUCAUUGUCAUUUGCUAAUUAGGACAUUUCUAUGAAAAGAGGAUAUUUCGAAGAGAAACUGUGUGAUUCAGUUUCUUCAGUUCUAUCUACACCGAAGGAAAUUUCAAGAAAAUUUGGGAUUUUUUUUUCUAGAAUUCUCCUCACUGUGCAGCAACUGCAGAACAUUCCCCACCCCCAUUUCUGUUACGUGAUAAUGUAGAAAUUAGGAUGUUAGUGGGAUGAAGGUUAUGAAUUACUCGGAUUGUCACACGGGGGCAGCCUCCACAGCCAGCCUUUCCGCACAAUUUAGACAGGAGAACAGAGACGCGAGGUGGCUGUGUGCCAUGCGCGGGGCGAGGGUGGAGUGGGCAGGCUGGCAGCCGACGCCCGGAGCGCAGGGGCGAACCAGCAGGUCUGGGGAGGCUGGUAAAGCAGGUGCGGUGCAAACAAUGAGUUGGCAGCAGAGCCUGCAGUAGGUGGGGGACCUUGACCUGCUGCCGGGGCUCCCGGUGGUGCCCUGGGCGAGGCUUCAAGUCCAUUCAUUUUUACGGUCUCACAGUGGACACUUAAUUGGUCAGAACAGCAGUGUCUUGAGUGCAUUCCUGGGAACCCUGUACCUGCAGGAUUUGCCGUGUAAAAAAGAAUUCUGGGAAAACGCCGUGUUCUAAUACCUCUCUCGGAAAUUCACAGCAUGCUUUUAGCGUUUUAAAAGUCUAAGGUGAGAAAUCUAUUCUACUUGAUUUAACCCAGUUUCUGAAACUUCCUUGAAAAUAGAAAUUGUACUUUUUUUUUUUUUUUUUUUUUUUUUUUUUUUAAUACAGCAUCCUGUGGAGACUGCUUCAUGAUUCUUUCAGUAAGCGGUUAGCAGUGGCCUUGGAAGUGGCUGCUUGGGCGGGUUGAAUUCCUGCGAAAAUGUAGGAUUUGCAUCUAACCACAUGGGACUUUUCUUGGCAUCCUCUUUGCUCUUAUUUGCUGGUCCAUAUUCUCGAAAGCGUCGUGCAUCUCUGCUGGUAUCGAGUUCAUGGCAGCAAAACUCUAGUGCUUGAAAGGCCCGUUUAGGUCAUGUAAUCGUGCCUCUUCAUUUGCUGCCUCAGAAGAGGUUAAGUCAUUUGCCAGAGUCCGAAACAGCUAGUAAGUGAGCAUGGGGCCAGGGUCUCUUCAUGUGCCAUUACUUGGUUCCUAGUGGAAAUUACUGGACUUAGUUCCUUACUUUCAAGCCUUUUUUUUAGUGCUUCCUCCUGAUGGGGAUGGAUAAGAGCAAAAGAACUGACGUUUGAUGCCUGUCAAGGUUUGGCAUUGGAAUAAAAAUGAGCAGAAGAGGGAGCACCUGGGGGGGGAGGCACGGAUGCUGCUCAGUAAAAGAAGUGUCACAGAGGAAACCCCAAAACCCGGAUCAGGACUGCUGUGAAUGAUCAUUUUAUUUGUGUGGCUAAGAACGACUUACACCAAGCUCUGUCUGCAAGAGAAUGCGGAAAGUGGAUUACUUCUGGGUGGCCCCGAAGCGAGAACAAAUGAACAGCUGAACAGACAGUGCUGCAGCUGUCGCCAUACUUUACAGAUCGGCAGCGCCUUGAGCCCAUCGGGCGCUGCUCAUUAACCGCCAUGUUUCUCAUGGCGUGAAGGGUUUGGAAAGAAUGAUUUUUGAAAUUUCUCUUCCUAAGGCCAAGAGGAUUGACAUCAUUAGGGCCCACAUUAUGAUUUUGCUUUAAUUUAGAUUUUCUUUCUUUCAUGGUGAACUUAUUAGACCCUUAUUCAUUAAUUGCUAUAUGAAAUUGGAUUCUUUUAUUAUACAAGAGGUUCUUUUUUUAUUUAUUGUCAUAAUUUCACCUGUCACAAGUUUUUGUGGCAUUAGUUUUGAGUGUUCUCUUUUUUUUAAAUGUUUAUUUUGAGAGAGAGAGAGCGAGCGAGCAUACACUCGUGCACAUGUAAGGGAGGGGCAGAGAGGGAGGAAGAGAGAGAACCUCAAGCAGGCUUCAUGCUGUCAGCACAGAGCCCAAUGCAGGGCUCGAUCUCAAACCUUUCGUGAGAUCGUGACCAGAGCCGAAAUCAAGAGUUAGACGCUUAACCAAUGGAACCACCCAGGCGCCCCAAUUUUGAGUAUUAUGUUUUUAUGAACCACUGUCUACAGUCUUAAGUUUUAGAGAAAAAUAAUAAAGCCACAGUAUUUUCUCCUGUUUGAACUGGAGUAAUUCUUCUGUCAGAAGGGAGAAGGUUAAUGAAAGAUCAUUUUGAUUGAGUAGGCCUGACAACUCUUGCUUGAACUUUGUUACUUAACUGCUCCUCUGUCUUUGAAUUGCUCUGAUUAUUAUUAGGUUCUUUUUUAUUCGGGUGGACAUCUGCCUUACGACGAGUUUGGCCUGUGUUCUUGGUUUUGUCCUAUAGCCCUAUUCAGGGAGAGAGGUCAGAAACCCUACUGCAUAUGUAUAUUCUAUACAUUGUGGUUUCUAAAAAAAUUUUUUUAGUGUUUAUUUUUUGAGAGAGAGAGACAGAAUUCGAGUAGGGGAGGGGUAGAGAGAGAGGGAGACACAGAAUCUGAAGCAGGCUCCAGGCUCCAAGCUGUCGGCACAGAGCCCCACGUAGGGCUCAAACCUACGAACUGUGAGAUCAUGACCUCAGCCAAAGUUGGAUGUUUGACUGAGACACCCAGGACCCCCUGUAUAUUCUAUACAUUCUGACUUAAUUUUAUAACAAGGCUGGCAGGUGGGUAUCUUUCACCUCCCUUUUACAGAUAAAGUAACAGAUUCAGAGACUGAAGAUUCUGAAUGAUUUUAGAGACCAAAUGAGUUGCCAGGGCCAUGACAAAACAAGUAAUAGCUGACUCUCUGUCAGUAGUGGCCCCUCAAGUGGGAGAAGGGGGCAGGAUGAUACCUGAUGGAACAAGGUUCAUGUUCCUCCUUGCUAUGCAGAAAAUCUCUUCAUCUCCCAAAUCUAGCCUACACCUGAAAUAGGGUGGAUGGUAGGGACAGGAAGGUUGCCUGCUUGUCUUGUGCACACCUGUUUCCUUUAUCCUCUUGCCUGGAAAUGUUACCAGACUUCACAGGGGUUUCCGAUGACAGCUGGUUAAUUGUAAUGUUAAUUGAAGCCUUUUAAUGUAAUAGCACUCAUUGAGUCUAUAUAGGGAAAUCAAAUGAUAUUCAGACUCUGCAAGUACUUGCCAGGUCUCAGUAAAUACUUGUUGAAGUAUCAAGUGGUGGCCUUUGAAAUCGGAAGAUACGGGUAUCUGUGGGAAUGCCAUCUCCUAUACCAGGCACAGCCGGCAUGCAUCUGUCUACCUGAAGAGCUCCUGAGGCUGGGGUUGGAUUGAGGCAGCAUGGCUGGAGUAGUACCUAAUGAUCCCUAAUCAAAAAGUGGGGGAAGCAAAGUCACACAGUAAAAGCUGGGUUGAGUGUAAAGUUGGAAGGAAAAAAUUCCACAUGGAUCAGAAUCAGUAGGAAUUGGAAUUAAGAAUAAAUUCCAAUGCGAGAAGCUGUGGUGGGUGAGUAACGCGGGUCUGAAGGUGUGUAGAUGGGUUUAAUGUGAGCAGACCGUCCUUCUAGGUGUAUCCCCUAGAGAAACUUUGGAACACGUACCUAAAGAGACAAGUUCAGGAAGACCCCAUCCUUUAGCCUUUAUUGAUGCAGACAUAAGUAUAAAAAUGUGAAGAUAUCCAUGGGAUGGGUAAAUACUAAAAAGUUAGGAUAGUGGUUUGAGCUGAGCCCUCCAUUUGUUGUUGUUGUUGUUGUUAAUGCAUAAUUUAAUUGUCCUAAGCAUCUAGAAUCCUGUACUCGGCAGAUAGGUGUUUUGUGUGUGUGUUUGUUCUCUUAGCUGAUGAGGCUGAUAGAAACACAGAGUAGGAAGGAGUCAGAGAGAACAUCAGGUCUCUCCUUUUGUAGAUGAUGAAGCAGAGAUGCAGGGAUGAACAUUCCAGGUUGCUAGUGGUAGGACUGGGAAUAAGAGCCAGGCUUUUCUGACUGCUAUCCAGGCCCCUCUGCACCACACCAUACAUGGUCUCUUAAUGAAGGCUCUUUUCUGUAAAGCCAUGUCCUGGUAUCAUGCCCCUAACCCUUCGUAGUCCUCCAUUAGAGCACGUUUGUGGACUCUGGUGUUUCAAGGUAUAAGUUUCUAAAUUAAUAGCAACUUGCAUAGCCCACCAAGCCCUGAGUGCGUUUUUCUUCUGUGAAAAUGUCUUAGGGUCUAUCCACAUUUCAUUUUUUCCUCCAAGAUGUUUUAUAUUUUUUUAAUUAGAAACAAACAACUUUUUAAUAAAAAAAUCUUAUAAGCCCCAACUUUACAUGGAUUAUUUGUCCUAAAAAAGCUUUGUAGGACAAAUUCUUAAAAGUUGUCAAUAAUUAAAUAAUUUCAACAGGAAAAAUCUUAGGGAUUCUCAGCCCUCAAGCUGACAUUCAUUUGUAGUAACACAACAUUAAGUUCAGUUAGAAAUUGACAUAAUUGCUUCAAGGAGUAGCAUAGUUACCACAACAUGACCUAAAAAGGCAUUGUAUGUUCUCUAUAAUAUGGUUCUUUGUCAGCUUUUCUUGAACUCCUUUGUAGCUAUUGCACACCAAGAGUCUAAGGCCACAGUAAAACACAAAACUGCCUAAUUCGGCAACAAAAUAUCAACCUUUCUUAAAUUCUGUUUAAUGCAAAAACAAUGGAGUAUAUAGACAAAAUAAAUCAGUGAAAACAGGGGCGCCUGGGUGGCUCAGUCAGUUAAGUGUCUUGACUUGGGCUCGGGUCAUGAUCUCACAGCUUGUGAGUUCGAGCCCCAUGUUGGGCUCUGUGCUGACAUUUCAGAGCCUGGAGCCUGCUUUGGAUUCUGUGUCUCCCUCUCUCUGCUCCUCUCCCGCUCACGCUGUCUCUUCUCUCCUUCAAAAAUGAAUGAACAUGAAAAAAAAUUAAAAAUAAAUCAAUGAAAACAAUGUAUUGCAGGUUAAGUGUAGGUUAAAUGCCAGGGACUAGUGUUGUGAACUAAUGAGCCCCAAGUGCUGUGGAAUGAGAACUUCCGUACCACAUGCUCCACUUCUAAAGUCACAGUGAUGUUCACUAAUGACUUAGGUCCUGUGGCGCCCAGCUGGUCCUCAGGUGCUGCAUACACAAGUCAUUCUUCUUAAAUGCUAAGAGAAGUGCCAUAUACCGAAAAUUGCAUUAUUAAAGAAAGCUGCCUGUAAAGCAGCUCUCAACCCAAGGGAAUAUAUGGGUGUGUUAGAAAUGGAAACAGGUGCACGUGCAUGUGUGUGCGUGUGUGGUGGGGCUGGGUCGAUGGAAAAAAAGAAAAGAAAACCAGUGUGUUAACAACUUCUUAAAGAUGGGCACGCAAGUAAACCCCUCUCUCCCUUUCCUCUGCCUUUGUCCUCAGCCCUGAGAUUUAUCAGUUUGAUUUCAUUCACAGUCACUGAAGGUUUUUCCUUCUGAUAAGCAUUGAUGCCUUUUUGUAGCGUAGAAUGAGUGACUGAUGCAUUGUUUGGCCAGCUCGUAAUCAGUGGUGAGUAGUGUCCAACAUCGUAUUUCUAAAUAACGAUCCUCCUUCAGUAUUCUGUAGUCUUUUUCUGUCCCAGGUUCACUUAAAAUUUCGAUGACUGACUGCUUCUAGCCAAAGAAAUCAUCCCUCAGCUGGUUCUGCCUGGGUAAACUGAAGUAUCAUUGGGAUAUUUCUGUUUUAUUCAGUGUGAUACUACUCUGAUGCUUAAAAUAGUUUGGGUGUAAUUCUUUCUGCACUUGGGGAAUGGUGGUGGUCUUUAUUUUGAUUCAAGUAGCAAUAGUAAUUUUCAGGACAUGAGAUACACAAAAGUGAAACAGUGUAUUUCACAUAUUUUCAUAGUAAAAUGUUGUUUUGUGAAGGUGAAUGACAAGCUGAUUUGUUGCAUUUCCUCAAGCACAUUAGUCUGAAGGCUGUGCUCUCAGAUGUCUCCUCUUUUUUCUCUCCCUUUUGUCAGCAGAUGGCGUAUUACCGUUCCCUCUCACUUCUGUUUUCUUCGCCUUUUUAUUCCUCUCUUUCCUCCUCCUCUUCCUCCCUUGCCAACCCCCCCCACCUUGGCAAACAUUUGUCACAAGAAUGGAUGCUGUUAUGAAAAAAAAAUAAAGUCUGGCUGUGACAUGUUGUCUUUUCAAAAGUACAAGAAAGAAAGGAGGAAACAGGUUUUCAUUGCUUCGGGCAUAAUACAGCUGGCUAAUUUUCUCUGCUAACACUUUAUUAGAGGAACACUUGUUCCCCUUUAGAGCGGAUCUGACAUUUUUUUGUAACAGUUAUGUUUGCUUUUAUAUUUCUAUCCUGUUGUUUUGCAUGCAGAUAGCUCCUCUUUUCCCUUUUAGGUGGAUGGGCCCUUUCAUUAAUAUUACGUGUUUUUACUUAUUUAUUUAGUAAUUUUUUAGUGUUUUAUUAUUGUGAGAGAAAGAGAGUGCGCACGCUCGCACAAGUGGGGGAGGGGCAGAGAGAGGGAGACACAGAAUACGAAGCCAGCUCCAGGCUCCGAGCUGUCAGCGCAGCUUGAACGGACGCGGAUGCAGGGCUUGAACCCACGGACUGCGAGAUUAUGACCCGAACUGAAGUUGGGUGCUUAACCGACUGAGCCACCCAGGCACCCCAAUUUUAUGUGUUUUUAAAUACAGAACUUUUUCCAAAGGAAAAUCCUUUGAUGUACAGAUAAAUAGAUUAAAAUACAUUUGCACUUAAUUUUGGGAGUAAAACUCCUGUGACAGUGAUUGGGGCUGUCGUGAACAUGAGGUACACAUGAAGAUGUGAUUGGGUGGAGAAUACGUACAACUUAAUGAGAGGCUGUUAAUGACUGGAAGAGGGUUCAUUAAUAUGCGUUGUAAAACUAGGCUGUACGUGGAAUGUGUGAGGGAGCUAAUUAAAUAUUCUAAGGAAUCCUACGAACCCCAUAUUCCUUCUAUUCUUUUCUUAUUCUUUCUGCCAACAGUAAAUAUCAAAUGUUUCCAGAAUGGAUACUGCAUAAAGAGCAGGUACACGGAAUUGUCUGUGCUCUCAAAGGAUGUAGUCUUCCUGAAUGUAAUUUGGGAGUCCACUUUCCUGCUUUAGGAAGAAUGGUAGAGUGAGCCCAGUUUAAUCUUUAACGUAUUAUUACCACCGUCUCUGCUUGCGUAAAUCCCAGUUGCAACACAGCGCCUUCUUUCUGAUAUCUUCAUUCUAUUCCUACCCCUCUUCACUCACCCACCUACCUCCAAAGCAAAGUGAUCUCCGGCUCCUCUGAACACCCGGAGCAUUUGUGCAUACCUGCUUUUUGACCUCGUCACUUCCUACUUUGUAGCAUAGUUACUAACAGCUGUUGGACGGAAAGCAUCUUGAUCCCCAGUAGUUCUGAGCACAAUGCCCUGAACAGAAAUGCUGCCCACUAUUUGACUUAUUGAAUGCGUAUUGGAUAUUAACUUUACAAGUGCAUUGGCUCCUAGAAUCAGUCAGACCUGGGUUUGAAACUCAGCUCUGCGAGUCUGGCCAAGCCUUAACUGCUCUGAAUUUCAGUUUCCUAAUCUGCAAAGUAUAUGUGAUAAUGACUGCUUGGUAGAGAUGUUGUAGGGAUAGAAAGCAGUGGUGUAGGUAAAACACAGUGCUUGGGGCAUAGUAGAUGCGCAGUUUUCUAGAUGUGUACCCACAUGUCCUCCCCGGACACAACACGCACACACACACGCAUACACACACACACAGUGUAUGUGUGCAUGUGCAAGAUGCUAGGCCCUCAGAGACCAAACCACACAAGUCCUGUGCUCAUGUUGCUUAAAGAAGAAAUGAAACCAUACAGGGUGCAGAAUUGUGGUUCUGUUGGGGCAGUGGAGAGGGUGUACCAUGGGAGUUCAUGUGUUUCUCCCAGAGAAAGGAUGGAUAUGGUUUAGGGAAAGUGUUAAUGCAAAAGAUGGCAAUUGUGCAGAAGGUAGGAGAAUGGGUAGGGCUUGAAUGAAUGUUACUGAAGGCUAGAGAGGAAGAUACGUACUUUAAAAGAUUUGUCUCUUCAAAAACUAUAGUUGUGCAGUAGAACUUCCUGGUCGAGGACUGAGAUUGGAGAUGAAUGUCUCUACUCAUCUGCCAGUAUUUUUCUCAGAAACUUGCAUGCCUAUAUGGGCUUUCCUAUGACCUACCUACUCCUUUUGGUCCAAGUGUGGUAGUUGCCACCAGGCAUGUUGGAAAUGAUAAAAUAGUUCGGUAGCAACUUUGCCAGCGUUCUAAAUUUGGUAGUUGAUAGCACUGUAUUGGGUGCCUUUCCCAUGGGCAUGGAGAAGGGGAGAAUUAACUUGGUAACUGCCUGUAAAAAUACAUCAGCAGGAAGGUUUUCAGCUUAAUGGUGAUAAAAUAAAAUAUAAUACAGAAUAGCUCCCUAGUCCUUUCCAUACACAGAUUUUUCUAAAUGCUUUGAAGUAGAUGGGGGAUAAAAGAAGCCUGUAAUACUAAACCAUCCAAAAAUGAAAUCAAAUGCUUUAUGCCUGUUGGGUAUUGUUAUCACCCAAAUUCAAGUGUGGACCUUAAUGUAGAGUCUAUAGUCGAUAAAGUUAACACUAGUGAUCCCAGUUGGCACAGAGAACUACCGCUCAGACUGCUGAAUCCAUUAAGUAAUGGAAUCGGGUUUAACUGUUCCCCUCAGAGGUUGAAAAUCUUCACAAUGAGGAAAAACCACCCAUACGCCCAAUAGGAAUGUAUUUGAGUCCUUACCUAGGGGCACUGUGACUGCAGUCUCCUUGGAAAAAUUUUAGGAGUGGUCUGAGCUCAGUUGAGUUGUGUUGUUCGCCCUCUGCUUUUCCUCAGCCACAGCUGGGCUGUGCUGCUGCAGGGAGGGCUGGAGGAGCUGGAGAGGGAUGCAAGAGAGCGUCUCAUAGACCUGUCUACUUUAGAGCUAGAAAACCGGUGACACGUUGCUAUAUAGAAGUCUGUUUAGCAGCAACUGCAUUUGAGUUCAGGUACUUCUUUGAUGUUGGGAGAUGUCCAGUAUAUGUUACAGCAGUGAGGUUCCACCGACCCCAUUACUGAUCCUGUAGCCAGGAAGGGGCUGAUCUCUCCUGGCUAUUCGCCCUCUUUGCCCCACCUUCAAAUGCCUCUCCAUUUCUUAGACUGUUUAAAUCGGACAUUGGGAAGAAUUUAUUUUUCCUCAGCCUUCGCAAUCCUGUUUUGGUUGUAAAACAAAGUCAGAAACAAGAGCCUGGAGGUGUAUGCUCUAGGGUUAUGGUGCUGUUCCUGUCAAUUACUUGCUGUAUGAUUGUAGGUAACUCAGUUUCUAAAUACUUGUGUUUGCUCAUUAGUGAAAUGAACCUAUCUCGCUAGAGAACAUAGAUUUGUAACCUGGAAUCCAUAGAUGGCCUUCUGUGAAACUACAUAUGUAGUUACAUAUUUUUGAAGCCCUUACCCUUGUUUUGGAUUCUCAGAGGAGUCUGUGAACUCCUCUUCCCCACAUUAAUCUCUCUGCCUUGGAAGUUAUUGUGAAUUUGGUAAAAGAUAAUAGGUAAAAAGAGCUUUAGUAAUAUGAAAAACAUCAUUUCAAGUAGAUUAGAAUCACUCUCUGCUGAGACCAUCUAAUUCAUAUUUCCUCUCUUUUGGAACUCCUCAAUAAACACAUCUGUUUUCUUGUAGUACCUCCCUUCUUCCCUCCUCAUCUCUUCCAUCUUUCCAGUUGUGGAAGAUCUAGAAUGGAAAUCUGAGUACAGUUUUCCAGGCUUCAACACUUGUCAGACCUUUAGUUCAGUCUCAGACUGACUUUCCCCGACUGUGCUGUUUCAGCUUCUGCCAGUGCUUUGGUGUGCUGAAAACUGGCUUUAGCGUCUUCGGUUUCCAUAAUAUUCUUCUGGUUGCUUCUGCAUUGGUGGUACUUCAGCCCCACAUUGAUAUAGAGAAAAGACUAAUUUUCUUUUAUUUAAUCCUUUGAAAAAGACACCUUCAGCUGCUUACCCCAUUUGAACUUACUACAUAUUCUCUUAAGUAUAUGAGCUUAUCUUUUGUCAGCCAGAAACAGAAAGUAGAAAAAAAUCACCCUAGAUUUCUUUCAUAAGACUCUUGCAUUCUAACCCAGAUAUAGGGGGAGAUAUAGGGGUGUCUGGGUUGAACAUCGACUCUUGAUUUUGGCUCAGGUCACGCUCUCACGGUCAUGAGAUUGAGCCAUGUGUCAGAGUCUGUGCUGAUAGCACAGCUCUCUCUCUGUCUCUGCCCCUCCCCCACUUGCAUGAGCGGGCUCUUGCUCUCUCUCAAAAUAAAUAAACUUAAAAAAAUAAUAAAAUGAUAGAUCACAUAAAUUUCCUAGUUCUUGGGGCGCCUGGGUGGCGCAGUCGGUUAAGCGUCCGACUUCAGCCAGGUCACGAUCUCGCGUUCCGUGAGUUCGAGCCCCGCGUCAGGCUCUGGGCUGAUGGCUCAGAGCCUGGAGCCUGUUUCCGAUUCUGUGUCUCCCUCUCUCUCUGCCCCUCGCCCGUUCAUGCUCUGUCUCUCUCUGUCCCAAAAAUAAAUAAACGUUGAAAAAAAAAAAUUAAAAAAAAAAAUUUCCUAGUUCUUUGAGUCAUCUAUAAUUACAUAACAAACCAUUCCAAAACUUACUGGAUUAACACAAUUAUUUUACUUGCUCAUGACUCUGUGAGUUGGCUGGGGCUCAGUUGGGUGGUUCUUCUGCUGGUCUCUCUGAUGACCGAGAGUGGUUGCAACAAGAUGAUGGCUGGGGCUGGAAUAUCCAAGACACCUUGGCUCAUGUCCAACCACCUUAAUAGGAUCAUCUGGUAGGUUUUGAUCUCUUUCUCCCUGGCUUGCUUGGUCUUCUGUAUAUGAGAGCCGCCUAUUGGUAGAUAUUUGAGAGGGCAAGCCCCACUGUGCAAAUAUUUACCAAGCUUCUGCUUGCGUCAUGCCUGCACGUACACCCCAUCAGCCCAGCCCAGAGUUGUGUGGGAGGGCACGACACAGGAUGUGAGUACCACAAGUCCCAUGGUUCAUGGGGAGCUGCUAAGAUAACAUGCCACAUUAGCAUAUAGGAGUAGCUCAUUUCCUAUUUUUAUGAAAUGAGUGAUUCAGGUUUUCAACCAGGAUAGUUCACAACUCCAGCGAAAGGGGAAGUAUGUCCUUUGCUCUAAGGAAGCUCAGAUUUAGAAAUCUAAACUAAACAACAAGAUGAAUUUACAGAGCUUGAGGCAAUUGAGUAAGGGAUAAGAUUUUGUUAGAAAUGUUUGUUUUGCAAGUGGUAUUCAUCUAGAACUCCUCAUUAAUAUAUUUUAAGAAUUCAUUAUAAUACACCAUUAAUGGCUUGAUAAAAAGAAAUAGAAAGGGUGGCAAGGGAGGAAAGGGAAUUAAAAAAAAAUUUUUUUUAAGUUUAGGACGUUUUUUUUUAAAUUUCUGGGAGUUGUUGUCAUUUCAGGACAAUCAGAAAUCAAAACUUAAAGCGUCUAUGGUAUUAAAAUCUAUGAAGGAAAACCACUGUGACAUAGUUCGUGUGGAAUCAGUCGUACAGAUUGAUGAAUGUCAGGUCAUUUUCUCAAGGAGAGUCAUAGCCUUUCUCUUCCUUUGAAAUAUCUAAGGAGCAUUUUAAUUUAUGAGAAAGACCUGACAGAUUAGGAGAAAGAUCUGGUUACAGUUAGAGCACAGAAAGCUCACUGUACUGAAGUAUAGUAUUUCUGAUUGUACUUAAGUAGGUUACUUAUGUGUAGUACUUUACUUCGUUUUUAUUUUUUUAAUGUUUAUUUAUUUUUAAGAGAGAGAGAGAGAGGGUGAGCACCAGCAUGCGUGAGGGGAGAGGAGCAGAGAGAAAGGAAGACAGAGGAUCCAGACCAGGCUCUGUGCUGACAGCAGAGAGCCCAACGUCGGGCUCAAACUCAUGAACUACAAGAUCAUAACCUGAGCUAAAGUCGGACGGUUAACUGACUGAGCCACCCAGGCGCUCCCUUCCCCCCCCCCCCGCCACCAUAUAGUACUUCUUAAACUUACAUGUGCAAGCAAAUCUUGGGGAACUUACUACAGUGCACGUUCUGAUUCGGUAGUUCUGGGGUGUUGUACAUUUCUGCUGAGCUUCGGGGUGAUUCGGUAGUGCUCGUCCAACAAGGCUUUAGUAGACCUAACCCUUCUGAGGUUCCUAUCCUGGCCAGGCCUCUCAGGUAAACCCCCUUAAUUCUCAUACACACUGGUAUGUGACUUUUUACUUCUGUCAUUGACCCCCAGCAGGACAAACAGAAGUCCUUUUAGUGUCUUAUCACACAUGCUCAAGCCAUGUAUUUCACAACUAAGGAAUAGGUAUUAAUUUAAAACUACAGUUGGCCCUGGAACAACCUGGCUUUGAACUUUGCAGAUCCACUUAUAUGUAUUUUCUUAUGAUUUUCUUUUUUUUUUUUUAUGAUUUUUUUUUUUUUUUUGGGACAGAGAGAGACAGAGCAUGAACGGGGGAGGGGCAGAGAGAGAGGGAGACACAGAAUCGGAAACAGGCUCCAGGCUCCGAGCCAUCAGCCCAGAGCCUGACGCGGGGCUCGAACUCACGGACCGCGAGAUCGUGACCUGGCUGAAGUCGGACGCUUAACCGACUGCGCCACCCAGGCGCCCCUAUGAUUUUAUUUUUUAAGUAAUCUCUGUACCCAACGUGGGGCUCAAACCCAAGACCCCAGGAUCAAGAGUCACAUGCUCUUCUGACUGAACCAGCCAGGAACCCCCUCUUCCUACUGAUUUUUUUUUUAAUAACAUUUUCUUUUCUGUAGCUUGCUUUAUUUAGGAAUACAGUAUGUAAUGCAUAUAACCUACAAAGUACGUAUGAAUCGAUAGGUGCUUGUUAUCCAUAAGGCUUCCGGUCAGUAGUAGGCUAUUAGUAGUUAAGUUUUGGGAGAGUCAGAAGUUAUGUACAGACUUUUGACUAUUUGGUAUGGGGGGUGGUUACCCCUCAAGUUGUUCAAGGGUCGAUUUUUAGUUCCUUUGGCAUAUGGCAUUAAGUCAUUUGUAUAAAUCUGGCCUUUGUUAAUGGCUGUAACCCGAAAAAAGAAAAUUCUUGGUUUAAAUUGAAUUGAUUAGUCCCUCAGGGAUUUCUUAACCACAACCCUCAUAUCUGGCUAUCAACAAGACUUUUGCUUGUCUCAGAUUCUUCUUGAAAGCCAAGGUAUAUAGAGGGCCAGACACUCUGGUCUGCCAACUUUUGUCAAGUGCUAGCUGGUAAAAUGGGAUCAAAGUGUAUUCACCAGCACUCCCAAGACUCCACGUGAGCCACCGGACCUAGAGGUGUGGCCAUCCUUCCUCACUGUGGUGCGUUCAGUUCUCCAGAACUCUGUUUCUUAUUCUGGGCUUACACAUGUCUCUGGAGGUACUCCAGUCCAACCUGCCUUUUCCUGUGCAGUUUUCAAAGUAUAUCCUUUCUUCCGACCUUCCUCUUCGCAGAGGGAAGCAGUGCAGCCUCAGAGAUCUAGCCCAUCCAAAUAGUCCUACCCAGAAAUUUGUCUUCCAGUUAAAAAAUAUUUUUAAUUGGAAAAUUACGUACUAAUCUUCACCUCAGAAGACACUAAUAGUGGAACUCACUCUUUGAACAAAGGCAAUGUGGGUAAUAGGAGAGGGCUUUGGAACCGGACAAACUUGGAUUUGCACCCUAGCUCAGCUGUUACUAGCCUGAUCUAAAUCAUUUUUCUAAAUCAAAUGAAAUCUGGUGAGGGUUCCCACUUCUCAGGGUGUGUGGGAAAUCCACUCUCAAGUUGUUGUUGGGACCCCUCACUUUCCAGAAUGCGAGCAGGACUUCCAGUCCUCAUCUGUUCAUGGUUGCCACCGUUCAUGCACCUGGCCUGGACCCUUGUCGUCACUCGGAAGGGAGGCUCGUCCGUGUCUCUGCUUCCCUCACGGCUUUGUACAACACCCCAAACCGUGUGUUUACUACAGUGUCCACAAAUACUGUGUCAACAUCUUUAUCUGAAAUCUUGCCCCCGGCAGUGCGUAAAUGGGUCAGGGCUUUGCUCUUCAUGGGACCCUAACCUUCUCCUCUCCCAGUUUGGGGAAAAUCAGGCCUACGGGUUGAAUAACUCACUUUUUCAAUCCCACAAGCCCACAGCCUUCAUACCCAUAGCUUUGGGGGAUUCUAGCACUUUAAUUCCUUUGGCCUCCACCUUUAAAACUCAGAGGUCCCCAGGUUAGUCCACCCAUCCAGAGAAUUUCCCUUUUUGUUAUAAACACCACCAAAGGUAAAAAAAAAAAAAAGUGUGUGUGUGNNNNNNNNNNNNNNNNNNNNNNNNNNNNNNNNNNNNNNNNNNNNNNNNNNNNNNNNNNNNNNNNNNNNNNNNNNNNNNNNNNNNNNNNNNNNNNNNNNNNNNNNNNNNNNNNNNNNNNNNNNNNNNNNNNNNNNNNNNNNNNNNNNNNNNNNNNNNNNNNNNNNNNNNNNNNNNNNNNNNNNNNNNNNNNNNNNNNNNNNNNNNNNNNNNNNNNNNNNNNNNNNNNNNNNNNNNNNNNNNNNNUUUAUAAUAUAUAUAAUAUAUACAUUUGUAAUUAAAAUUUUAAUAUUUAUAUAUUUAUAUAUAAAUAUAUAUAUUUAUAAAAUAUAUGUUAUAUAUAAAUUUAUAUAAACUUAUAAUUAAAAAUUUAAAUAAUACAUAAAUUUAUUAAAUUCAUUUUUAUUUAUUGUUAGAUAAUAAUAUUAUUUUAAUUUAUCUAACAACUCUAAUGGUAUUCCUAUUUUUACAUGGAAGGAAAUUGUGGCUUACGGGAUUUGACCAAGCACCUGUGGCUAGUGAGUGGAAGAAUCUCAGUGUGAGCGGAGAUCUUUGGUUACGAAACCCUGGAAACACGGUGGUUGGGCUCUCACAUUGCCAGUGACUCUUUGAGCUUGCGUAUAUUUGUUAAACGUAUUUCCCUUACCUGAAGACAUUGGCGUCGGGUGGUUGCACUCCAUAGCAUCCUUCCAUCUAAACAGUCUGUGACUCUGCGUAACUGCCGUUUUACUUCCCCUCUUUUUCAGCCAGAAAAGUGACUUUUUACACUGUAAGGUAUACACGGCUGCCGUAGUUCCUCGGGGAAGGGCAGCUCAGUGGGGGAGGUACCCAGGGACUACAGUUACAAAUUAGUGGCUCUGAGCAACUAGUUUGUUGAAGGAGCUUUUGCAGGUAACCUCAGAAGGCCCCAAUGUUGACCGCCUUUGAACAAUCACAGCGAAUUUGAAAGGGGUCAAAUACAGAAGAAAAACCACUUUUGUCCAAAUUUUAAAUGAAGCAAGAGAAUCCGGAAGCUCAGUGGAUCCUUUGACUGUGGCUCACCAGUGGAACAUAGAGUCAGAGAGGUGAUUUAUAAACCUUUAUAAAAAAAGAGGUAUUUAUAAAAUACUUUAGAAAAGUACGCAGUGUUAGGAGGUCCAGCAUGAGCUCACUAGAGGACAGAUAUUAAACUGACUUUGUUUCCUGUUUUGAAAGAGUCCACAUAUUAAGGGUAUGUGGUUGAUGUAUUUUGUCUUGAUUUUACUAAAGCAUUUCACAGAGAAUUCUAUGAAGAUGGUGACAUGUUGAUUAGAUCAGUAGUUUCCUUUUUUUUUUUUUUUUUUUGCUCCCUCCUAAGAACUAGAUUCUCAUCUGUACUCCACACCUAUUGGAAGAAAAUUAUUGAGAAAAGGGCCCAAGAAUCCAUAUGUUAGAAAAGCUUAUCCAGGUCCACUGCUGCCAUUCCAUAGACUGGCAUUUGAGAAACACCAUAGAAGUUUUCAAAUUUGGGGAGAGGGGCAGGGAAUCCCCUGCUCAAAUAAAAUUUUUUAUGAAACUCUACCAUAUAAAACAGAUAAAGUGACAUAUGAUCCUAGUAUAAAUUUUUUUUUUUUUUUGAAAUUUACACUUACAAUUUUUUUUUAAGUUUAUUUAUUUUGAGAGAGAGAGAGAGAGAGAGUGUGCACACCCAAGUUGGGGAAUGGAAAACAAAGAGAGAAUCCCAAGCAGGCUCUGUGCUGUCAGCGUGGAGCCCGAUUCAGGGCUCAAACUCACAAACCGUGAGAUCAUGAGCGGAGCCAAAACCAAGAGUCGGACACUUAACCGACUGAGCUUCCCAGGUGCCCCUGUGUUCAUAAUGUUUACUGAAGAGUCAGAACAAUGAGGCUGUUAAUGAAAAAGUUUAAAUCAGGUGCUGAUAAUCACUGUGUUAUAACUGUGUAUUCACAUCAGCUUCUGUGUUUCAUGAGAUUGUAUACUUUGCUUUAAAUGCAUAAUAUUUAAGAAAUCUGCUCUUACAAUUACUCACAAAUUAUAACCGGGUUUUUUUGGUGUGUGUUUGCUUCGUUUUUAAAUGACUUGCCAUGGAAUCCCAGGAUACUUUUCAAUUCCCCUAACCUAAGGUAGGGAAUAUUUGUUUCAGAACUGUAACCCUGUAAUGAAACCUAUGGAAACAAUUGCUCGCAUUCCUUAUCAUAAAUCUAAAGUCAUACAGGAAACAUCUAACUCCUAGAAUAAAUAUUUAUUCUCUCUCAAAUAGGAUAUUAUCACAAAGGACUUUUUACUGUGAUGAAAGCAAGGCCGUAUAGGUGCCCCUGAGCCUCGCCUGGCAUUUAAUGGAAGCCCACACUUGGGCGUGGUUUUGUGUGUGUGUGCUUACUUGAACAACUUCACGAGAGCGGACUGUGCAUACUGGUGUUUUUCCUAAGACCAAGGGAGGCCUACAACUUCCCUUACCAGUGUCACACUUACAAGAAGCCCAUGUGUGCACAUAGAGGUCCCCCAGCCAGGGUCAUGAGGCAUGACCUGUGUAUCUGCAGUGGGUGACGAGUUUGUAUAUAAGCCAUUUCGGUGUCAUUUAAAACAACUACAGCUUUGAAAAUAUAUAAAAUACAUUCGAACAUUAGGAACAGAGGGUGGUGUCCUCGGAGCACCUCCACCGGAGUGCUCUUUUUGAAAACACGGAUCUAAUAUUGACUGAUUCAUGUUGAGGAAGAUCCUUGAUUUUCUGCAGAAUACACAGAUAAAGUUGGGGACAGCUAGGUAGUUGCAGAUGAGAAAAAUACCACAGUUGAGAAAGUGGAUUUGUGUACACAAAGAAUAGAGUACUGUUGAGUGCAAAUGGGGAAGUGAUCUCUCUUCUGGCCAGAAAAUCAGGGAAGGCUUCCUGGAAGAGAAGACAUCUGACGAGGCCUUUGAGGAUGUUUAGGUCUUGGGUAUGAGAAUUAUGAGGGAGAAGAAAUGAUGUUGUAGGGCAGUUCACCUUUUUGGAGAGUAUGAUUUUAGGCAAAAAUAAUGUACAUGUCACUAUUCUCUUACACAGAUAACCUUCUUCACUAGUAAAUGAGCUGUAUGUGCAUUCAAAGGUAGAAUCCAUUCAGAAUCUGAAAAAAGGACCAUUUUCAUACAUUUACACGUGCCUCAAGUUUCCUUCAAAGUUAUCACUGUCAGACAGUGAUUCACUUGUUCAGAUUUAGACCUUUCCAGUGAUACUUUGCCCAACUUGGCUGCCCCUUUAAUACCUCCAUGCAUCAUAAAUGGACCCUAAACCUGGCCUCUGCAAGAGUUCUAGCCAUUCAUUUAUCCAGCUAUUCGCCCACGCUGGCAUAUUGAGCACCUAUAUAUGUGUAGGUCUUGGUGAGUUCUAGGCACCCAGCAGUGAACAAGUCAGCACUGGAGGGUGAAGUGGGUGCCUGGAAACCACCUAAAGUUCUUAUCGCUGAACUGCAUUUAAGAAGAUAACAAUGCAACUUUUCCCACAAACUGAUAACAGCAUAAAGUGUACACAUGCCAGAGCGUUUACAUUUUAACAAGGAUCAAAGCUUCGCCUCAAACUACUUCUAAUCAGGAGGCGUGUGAGGGGAAUUGUGGUUUGAGCCUUGGGUCUUUUCCAGCUUAUACGGCUUCUUAGGCAGCAGGAUUGGUACUGUCCUAUCUGUACUUUAAGGUGGAGACUGGCUCUGGUAAUAUUCCUCUCAGCAAAGUAGCCUAAAGACAACUCUACAGCAGGAGGGAAAUCAGUUAGAUAGUCCAUAAUGGCAAAGACUCUUUCUGAGGGGCAGGAUUGCAGAGCAUGGAGAGAGGGGGUGUAGCACGGUGGCAGGUGCACAGAGCCCGCUGGUGCAUAGCCCGGCUCUUGGUGGCUGGGUGAGCCAUCCAACCCCUCUGUGCAUCUGGAAAUACAGAUGAUAAUGGUAAUUACCCACCUCAAAGGAUUGCUGAGGGUCAAAUAAGUUAGUAUAGAAAGAGCAUUUAGAAUUGUGCCUGCCGUAGAGUAACUGCAUUAGGUUAAAUUAGCUAUUAUUUCUUUCAGCCAUGUGUUUUUCCAGUUUGCCCAUUUUCUGAGAACAUAGAGUAGCUAUAGAGGAAGAGUGCAUAAUUGGGUGAUGAGUAAUUCCUUCUUUCACCUCUUCACACCCCCCACACUCCUGCUCCACAGACCCCAGAGUUAACUUGUUUUGUAAGGCUAUAACAUCAUAUUUGAAUGUAUGACCUUGAAAUUUUCUGAUUAAGUAGUUCUGGGCAAAGCUCUAAUGGUUGGAAAAUAAAUCAGGCCUCCCACACAUACCUGCUCAGCCAAGAAUUUGUUUGCCCCAGGAACCGUGGGUGGGCGGGAGUGGAAGCAAGUCCACACCCAGGCUUAUGUGAACUCUCUGUUCCUGCUGGAGACUGGGGUCAUCCUUCUCCCUUUGCUUACCAAUGCUUCCUGGUCAUUUCUUUUCAACCUCAGUUGAAGAAAUAGAGAAACAAAUAUUUUCCUUUCUCAUUUUCUCUCUCCCCAGCUCCAGGGGAACACUCCCCCCAUCCCUGCUUGUGUGUUUUCUCUAGUUUGGCUUUGUAUUUGCCCCUUGGUAUUGCACUUGUGCAAAUUUCUCCCAAGCCCAGGGAGACAGCAUACCGUGUCUGAUGAUGGACUGUAGGGGUCCCUGCAUGGUUCCCCAGUUUCAGGGUCUGCGGCAGGGCCCUCCCGGAAGUGCCCUGGAACUUUCUGUUGGUUCUUGUAGCCAGGGAUAGAGAACCCCGCCCCUGCCUUUGCACUGGGACGAGUCACAGGUGCUCCUGCCUUCCGGGAGUGUCUGGGGGACACCUGCUGUCUGCGUCCUGGGGAGACGGGUGAGGGCUCCUCGGAAAUGUGCCAUGUUGAGACCUGUGGUCUGUGUGACCCUCGGGUACUGGUUCCUGGCUUGUUUUGUUUUUCUUUUUGGUCCAUCGUCCUAGUGAAGUCCUCUCGUUAGAGCAGGUAUGCUCUUUUCUGAGCCUGAGAACAGGUGUGUACCAGUCCCUGUCCUGAGGGAGGCAGUCUGGGAUGAGGUGGAAGGAGGGCUUCUCAGACCCGGGGAAAUCUCUUUGGGCAGAGCGAAGCUUAGAAAGUCAUGUGACCUUUCUGAGCCUGUGUGAUCACUCCUUGCCCAUCCGGUGAAUGGGAAGCCAUGCGGGAUGUGGAGAGCUCCCAGGAAUGCGUCCUUCCUUUUCCUCUGUUUCCUUCUCAAAUGGUGGAAUGCAGGCUUAUGGUAGGGAUAGGUAGGUACUGGGUCAAUUUUUUUCUAAUAACCUAAUGGGCUUCAGCAUGGGGGACUGGUAUUUGGGGGCCUUUGCCCUGUAGUCAGACUCCAGAUGAGCCCAUCUCAGGAGAAGCAUCCUUCGCCCUCCUGGCUGGCCGAGGACUCGGAGAAGCAGCAGAAACUCCUUUGGAAUUUUGCCACUUUAUAUCCCCUCUAGUUUGCUCGACUAUAAGGAAGAACUGGCAAAAUUAAAAAUGAAAAAUUGUUUUGAAAAUUACACCCUGUCUACAAACAGCCGCAGAUCAAGAGUAACCACCAGACAUCCUGUUGCUCAGCAUGCUGGCUGGUCGGGGGUUGCUGGGUUCGGGGCUCUGCCUCGGCGUUGGGCCCUGAAACAGGCCCGUGUUCUGGAUCAGUUGGCACAGGCCACCUCUUAACCGCCACUGUAAAACCUGUCGGAUAAAAAGAAGUCAGCACGAUAAAAUCUGCAUCUGGACAGUGUGCUGUGCCUUCCUGCUCAUUUCCAUUUUCCAAAUCUAGGAUAUUUUUUUGUUUUAAAAGAGGUGCUGAAAGAAGUUUAUCUGAUUGUGUGACUUGGUGUGAGGCCAGAAAACUUCUGCUAACGUCUCUGAAAUAUCUCUUUUAAAGCUGUUUUUUAAACCUCCUGAAGUGAACUAAAGACCUUCACUAACUCCUAGACUCUAAAGUUCUCAUUAUGGAGAAGGUCCACCCUGCUUCCUGCUAGAAUAAGGAAAGGGGGUGACAGUUCAUAUGCAAAUGGCCCCACCACCCGCUAGGAGGUGGCCGAAGUGGCUUCCUCAGGCCUUGUCCCAGAGCCACCGGAUUGGAUUGUCUGUGUGGCACCCACAGAGCCCAGGGCAGCUCCACAGGAAACAGUGGGACUACUGGGCGAAGGCUGUCGGGGAGGUAAGGGUGGGGAUGUGUUUACAGUCCCCUGUGAGCAGAAAGUGGGGAGAGGGGAGAAGGCACUCAGUCCGGGCCACCAGUCCUGAUGCGGGACCAGGCUUUGUGGGACAGUUUUCUGGUUUCAGGUGUGGGUUCACCUGUCAACUCUUCUUUCAGAAAGGUGUGGUGAGGUCUGUGGAAAUCCUUCCAAAUAAUAAUUACCAUUAUUAGCGAUGGUUCUGCAGUUGCCCGGUUUAUUCACCUGUCCGUCCCUCCCCUGAGAAAUCCCAGUCAGAAUGGCCCUCCAUCUGAGUGACCACAGAGCAUGUACUUGUCAUGAUUUGAGUGUUGCCAGUGGUCCGAUAAGAAGCAGAUUAACUUGGGUGAAGAUUCUUAAGAAAACAAGAACAAGAGGUGAAAUGUAAUUCCCUUUAUUGGUAUUAAUUAGUAAUUAGGGUAAAGGCUAAUUUCGGGAAAAGUUUGGUGACACCAUUGGCAUUUCUGGUAUGCAGAGUUUUAGCACAAAGGCUCAUAAAUAUUUUUUUUAAUUAGUUUUGAGAGAGAGACAGAGGGAGAGGUGGAGAACACAAGUGGGGAAAGGGCAGAGAGAGAACGAGACAGAAUCCAAAGCUGGCUCCGGGCUCUGAGCUGUCAGCACAGAGCCCAAGGCGGGGCUCGAACCCACUUCGUAAAUAUAAAGUAUUGCCAAGGUGUUUUGCCAGUAGUGGCCUCCGUACCUGCUUUAAUGAUAUACUUACUCCAAACUUUAGGGAAAUGCCAUGGGCAUAUUUUCUGCAAGUUUCCCAGUAACUGUGAAAGAUCGUUUCUUGUGUACAAAUUAAUAGGGAAAACCAUUUGUAUUACUAAGUAAUAAGUAUAUAUGGGUAUUUAUAUGCACAAGCAAAAGCAAAAUUUGGGGAUUGUUUCUAAGCAAUUACUAGAUUAAACAAUAAUUAGAUUAAAACAUGCAUGAAAUGAUAUACCUUAAUGAAUGUUGCAGUACUUUCUGUCUCUCUACAUAGGGUAGGUUCAUUCAGACUACCUUCCCUCUCAGUACCAGAAGUCCCUCUAUGAUAAACAUGACAGAUAAUAAUUUAGGCAUCAGAUCCCCUCUCUUCACUUCCCUCCCAUUCUCUUCCUCCUUCUCUCCCUCCCUCCACUUUUCAUCUUAUACUGGGCCCAGGUCACUGUGGUUGGCACUGCAGAGACACAGGUAAGUAGCCAGGAUGCUGCCCUCGGAGGCCUCACUGUAGAGAGUGUGUAGAGCAGAGUGAGUUUGCACGGGCUGGUGUGUGAUGCUCUCUGCACAAGGGGCGGGCUCUGGACCUGCUCUCAGAAGAGAGACCGCACGGGACUCAGAGGUUAUGCGGAAGCUAAAGUCUCCAGACCGAAGAGGUGGCCUGGGAACGAAGAGCCAUUCUAGGCACAGCGCUUGUGAUGCCCAGUGUCGUGAAACCGUGUUUGGGGACCGGCGUGCAGCCUGGCUCCGUUGUGACGAGUGAUACCUGGGAGGGGCAGGGCGGCAGAAAGAGGCUGGCUCAGUGAUGAUGGGAGCUCACUACUUGGCAAACAACAACAACAGAACAAAACACAAAAAAGGUGCUGUGACUGAGGAAGUGUAUUGUGUUAGAAAGUUUUACCUUAUAUUGUGCCGAAUUUGUCCCCUUUUCUAUUUUACUGUUGGGUUAGAACCUCAGGAGCCAGCACAGAAUGAACCUGUCCACUCUUUGCCACACGCCUUUAUGUGUAGGUGAUGUUUCGCUUCUUUAAGUCUUGCCCCAAGCUGUGUCUGCUACCUUCAUUUAUCCUUUUAAAUAGGUUUUGGUCGGGGAGCCUUGGUGGCUCAGUUGGUUGAGUGUCUGACUCUUGGUUUCGGCUCAGGUCACGAUCUCACAGUUCAUGAGUUUGAGCCCCACAUCAUGCUCUGCGCUGGCAUUGCGGAACGUGCUUGGGAUUCUCUGUCUCCCUCUCUGUCUCCACUCCUCCCCUGCUUGUGCUCUCUCUCUCUCUCUAAGUAAAUGAAUAAAAAACUUAAAAAAUAUAUAAAUAGGUUUUGGUUAAUAGUUUGUUUCUUUAACAUAAGCCAGCAGUAAUUCUAGUUGGUUCUUUCAGAGUCUGCGAACAAGUGAUUAUGAUCUCCUGCAUUGAUCUACAUCUCCAAAACAGUUUCUGCCGCUACACCCUUUUGUCAGUUGGCACCUUUCUGCCGGGUUCCUCCCCCUGUGGUUUUACAGGAUCCCUGAGCAGGGAAGCAGUCAGGGAUUGUGGGUCCGGCCUCUCGUCUGCGUCCUUAACAGUCUCCUCUUUCCGCCACCUGAUUUCCUUUUGUCAUCUUAGGGCUNNNNNNNNNNNNNNNNNNNNNNNNNNNNNNNNNNNNNNNNNNNNNNNNNNNNNNNNNNCCGUCUCACCACUUUUAUCUUCUACUUCAGAAGGAAACUAACAAAUACAUACCUGUGAAAUGGUGAUAAAAAUUAUUGAGGAUGAACUAAAAUAUUAGCACAGGGCUGAGGGCUGAGAGAGGUAUGCCAUAGCUCAGGUUACAUUUUCACACGAAUUAUCUGGAAUUAGAAAAUACCAGCUAUAUUCUGAAGGAGAGAUUUGGCCAUGUGUGUAAUAUGGGACCCAUCUGCUUGACAGGGUAGGGGUCGGCUCCAACGAAGGGCUCUCUAGGGCUGAUUGUUGAUAGAAGCCAGUAGUGCUGGUGCCUGAAGCAAUCAGUUGGCCAUCCACUUUCCCUCUUGAUAAACAUGGCAUGCUUUCCCAGCCUUCCCAGCCAUACCACAGUUACCUGUGGCUUAGCUUCUUUGCAAAAAAAGGAGGAGAUGGAAAAUGUUGAGUGACUUCGGUUCUCUCACACCCUCACCUCAUGCUGAAGCUGGGAGCUUACCUAUAGCAAUGGUCCUUUUUGGGGACCAUUCUUCCCCAUGGGGAGGGGAUGAGUGAAGAGAAAGACAGCCUUAUGUGUUUGGUCAAGUGGGAAUUUCAGAUUGAAUCUGUUAGCCAAGGAGGCCCCAGAAAAGACUGGGAUGUUGCUGGGAUUUAAUUAUCCUAUACCACGGAGGGCAGAUUCUUAUUUUUGGCCCAGAGUGAAACAGUCUUAAAUGCCGAUGUCUCAGUCUCUGCCCCUGGUACUUCAAAGGGAAUAGAAGGGAGAGGGGAAGGAGACAGGACAAUAACACUCUGCUGUGUACUCGGAUUGUGGUCCACUGACCAGCAGCAUCAGCUUCACCAGAGAGCCUUCUAGAAAUGCCGACUUUCAAGCCCCAACCCAGAGGUACCAAGUCAGAACCUGCAUUUUGCAGGGUACCUGCGAUUCCUGGGGACCUUGAAGUUUUGGAAAAAACACGGCUUUAGGAGGCAGUGACCGUAGUCGAUUGACAGACCAUGAGCAAUGUACCUGUCUUCGCACACUUGGAGAAAUACUGAACAAAUGUGGCGUAUCAACUAUGGGUAUUAAAUGCUGACAAUCAAAGUUUAAUUUUGUUUGCAGCUAGAGACCAGGCCCACUGAUCCUGUUUGACUAAACAGCAGCAUUCUGUUCAGGGAAAGACAGGGGUUUGUUUAGGACACAGAUGACUGCCCCUGGCUUGCUGAUAGCAAGUGAAGAGUUGCUUCCUUGCCCUGGGGCAGAAUGGUUUCCGGGACAACAGUGAAGCCACGCUCUCCUCCCCCCACCCCCUCCCCCCACAUUAACCGUAGAGCAGAGAAUAAAAAGAGCACUUAAUUUUUUUUUUUUUUUCCACAUCACGUUAUUAUCAUGGGUUUCUCAGGGAGAAAAUUUGCAAGAAAGAAAAUCUGCACAUUCUUUAGUGAUGUGCCAAGCAUUUUUUUUUUUUUUCUGGUUUGAACUCAAACUGAUACACCUGACACACGUCAGGGUUAGAUUAUAUUGAUCUAAGUCUGAUUUUAAAACUGUAUCUGUUUGUAAUUCUUCCACACUGUGAUGCAAAGAUUUUUUUGUGUGUUGGUUUUUUCCACUCUCUGUGAUGAUCAUAUGUUACUUCGCUAUAGAUAACAAUCCACUAAGUUUUCUUUUAUAAAAGUAAGAAUUAAGACCAAAAAAACCCCAAAACCCUGUUAUCGAUAAAAGGAUUAAGACUACUAGAAUCAGUCAAGUUGAGGGAGUUAGGGUUAAUCCCAGGGCAUUUCCUUCAAGUGCCAUGAAGAACCCAUCAGCUUGUUAGAAGCCCGUCCACGGCUGUACUCUAGUUGUAGCAGCUGUACUGUCUGGCCUGGGUUAUUUCUGUAGCCCACUAACUGGUCUUGCUCUCUCUUCAGUCUGUUCUCAGCCCAGCCAGAGCAUAUUUGCCUCUGCCCAAAACAGUUGGCUUCCAGGGCUCUCAGAAGAAAACCCAAAGGCCUCAUAGUGUCCUAAGAGGCCCAUCGCUUACCUCUCUGACCCCAUAUCCUAUUACCAUCUCCCUUGCAUAUCCCAGUUAGCAGGCCACACUUCUGCCUCAGGGCCUUUGCACUUACUGAUCCCUCUGUCCGGAACUGUCUUUCUCCAUAUAUUUACAUAACUGUAUCCCAAACUUUCUUUAGGUCUUUGUUCAUAUGUCAGUUUCUCAGCGAGGCUUUUUUUGACUAAUAUAUGUGUUCAUUGUUUGUCUCCUUCUAGAAUAUUACUUCGUUGAGAAGAAGGGAUUUUGUCUUGUUCGUCUUGUGUUCACAGCACUUAAAAUGAUGCCUGGCUUAUUCAAGGUGCAUUGUGUUUGUGGUUUGAAUGAGUGAAGUUGCCCCUUUCCAGCUCCCUGACUAGACAUGAAUUUAGAUCCGAGGGCAUUGUGGGACUUCUUGCUCCCAGUUCUGUUCUCAUUCACGUCACAUAAGAGGGCUAAAACGUUAGGAGAACAUCUUUAAAAUAUUAACCACAGCUGUGAGCCAUUGAAAGCAUUCUACACAGUGAGGAAAUGGCAGCUAAUUGUUGAUUUGUAAGGCAAAUGGGAGAAUAACCCAGCACCAUCCAGGUCCCCUGUGUGCCCGCACCUGGGGAAUAGGAGGGAGGAGCAGUGUCUGGGGCCUCGGUCAGGAGUCGUCACACUUUCUUGCAUGGGCCCUUUGCUUGUGCCUUAUCCCACUCAGUCUCUCGCGUCCCCUCCUCCGAGGAUUAGGCUUUGGGUGUUUGUGUGCACGCGGGUGUGUAUGUACAUUUGUUUGCCAGUGCUGUCUCAUCAGGGGCUUCCUUUGGCCACAGUUUAUGUUUUCCUUUUUGUUUACAGCGUUUCUUAGUAACUCGCUGCCACAAGUCCUCUGCACAGAGUUGCUACCCAAACGUAUCUUGAACUUCGUGCUAUUUCUCUUCUAGUAUCUUAAGAUUUAUUGUGGCCAUGGAAGUCUAGGAAACCGUAAUGUUACAGAAGUGAAUGUAGACAGUGCCCAUAUGACUGUCAUCAUCACAGGGGUAGGAGGACAUCUGGGGAGGACGGAACCCAAACGGGGAAGCCGUAUGGUCUACCUGACAGAAUGGUUCCUGUUUCGGUGAUGGAUGCAGCAGCUUCUAACAGCCCAAAGCCAUCCUUCCUUCGACAAAAUAUCUCUUGAAUGUCCGUGCUUGUGGAAUGUGCUAAUAAAAUGAGCACAGCAUCCACCCGCAUGGAGCUUCUCAUACUCUAAUGAGAGGAAUAAACAAAAUCACGUCACUGUGUAAUUGUAAACUGUGAUAAAUGCUGUGAAGGAGAAAAUCACGGUGCUAUGGGAGCUUAAAAUAGGGGCAUUUGUCCCAGUCUUGGGGUCAGGUCACAUUCGAGCCCAGACUCGCAGGUUACUAGGCACGUGUGUGCUUUGGCAAGGUGGGGGGGGGGGGGGGCAGAAUAUUGUGCCUUAAUUUCCAGGCAGAGGAAAUGAGGUGUGCAAAAUCUCCGAGGUGUUGAGGGUUUUUAUGUAUUGGAGAGAUUGAAAGGAGACCAGCAUGGCUGAAGUGGUUGUGAGGAUGACGGGGACGGUGGUGCCGGAGGAGGCCGGGCAGGUCAGCCAGGGACAGGCGAGGCUUUGGCGUGCACUUUCGGGUCUUUAUCAUGAGCUCAGUGUACAGCCCUAAAGGGGUUUAAGUAAGGCUGAGCCAUGACCUAUUUUCUGUCUUUGAAGGUAUACUCUGUACACAGGGUGGAUCGUGGACUGGAAAAGGAAGAGAGUGGAAGCUGGGCAAAUACCUGCAAGUAUCCUGCGUUUCUCCAGGAGAAGGAUGAUAGGGCGAGAAUGGUGGUGGCACGGUAGCUAGGAACACUUGUCCGGAGGGAGAAUGUUGGAGGCCAGCGGCAUCGAGAUUGUGAUUGCUCUCAUUUGCUCACUGAACAAUCUUCUGUUCGUUUGGCUUGAUCUUAACCUGCCUGUAAGGUGCCGAUACCUGGGAUUUCAGGAAAUACUUGUUGGCUAAAGAAAUGUGAAUACAUUGGUCAAGCUGGACGUAGCAGGUGUCCAGAUUGUCUGGCAAUUACGCUUUUCAUUGUAAAUGAAUAUAAAGGCAGUAUAGCUUUAUGUAUCAGUCUCUUCUGAGCUUUCUUAGCAUGCAUCAGUACUGAUAAACGUAAUCAUUUCUGGAACCUCACUGAGAUAGACUUUUGGAGCCAAGAAAUUUGAAAGACAGUCCUGAAUUACCCGUCAGUCCUGAAUUCUCCGAGGUGAACGUCACCCUGUGGAGACUCUCUGAACAGCUACCUUUCCCUGGCAGUAUCGUCUAUUUUGAUCAAUGCUUUUCCAUUGUCCUUUUUAAAAAAUUUAAGUAAGCCCAAGAUAGUUAUAUCCACGAAUUGUUUCUGUCUCUAGAAUAGCAAUUAUUCCACCCAGUGUGGGAAGGUGCUGCCCACCUAUAAAAAAAGAACUAUAGAAUUUGAUUGUUUAAAAGGCAUAUUAAAUGUAGAAAGAUUGAGAGUCAAGGAGAACCUUGUUCUAAAUUGUUUCCCUGUGCACCUAACUUUUUAUUAUGGCACGUUGAUUUCCUAUGAAACUUAAAGUUUUUGUUUUUCAAAUCAUCUGUUAUCGAGACAUCCGGUGAUACUUGUCUGAAUGGCUCUACCUAGGAACUCUGGGAAGUUGGGCAGCUGAAAUAAUUGUCUAAGGUUUAAUGAAGCCCUUUUGGAGCUCCUGAGUUCAGAAGAUGUCAAAGAAUGGUAUAAAACACAUGUGCACAUUUAUGGCUGACUAUAUUUUCCUCAUCUUUUGCAGGACAAAAAUGGAAGAAACAGAGGUCCUUUUAGAUGGAGCAAAGUGAGCCACUGAACAGGUAGAUAAUUGAAAAUAGCAGGGUGUGUGUAUGCAUUAGCUCAAUGAAUUAGUAUUUGUGAAGUCCUUGGUAGAGUACCCAGUGCAUAGUAAAUACUGUAUGGAAGUAUUUGCUCUUAUGAAAUUCUUUCAAAUGUAACUGAGCCCAAAACAAACCAGUUGUGCAACCAAGAAAGUACCCCACAAAAGCAAGCCUUUGCUCCUAAAGCAACUGAGAACAUCGUCGGUAAAUUCUUUUUUUUAAUCAUUGGUAAAUUCUGACAUGGUCUCUGUGUGACCUGUCAUGCUGGCCUGAGAGACUUAUGGUCUUCUUAAUCUUGGAACACCCAAAGUGUUUGAACACUCAUCCAUUUUUGAAUUUGAGCAUUCGUUCAUCAUGGAUGACCUAUUAAGUGUCAGGUCCAUUUCACUUUUGAAACAAAACAAACUUUUAAAAAAAUUCUUGAAGUAGUUCCUUACCGUUUGGGGAAUGAGAUCACGGAAUUUGAACUGUCCCCUUCCUUGGCCCCUGUGCCUACUUCUCUGGAUCUGCACAGUUCCUGCCUUCUUGCCUCGCUGUGGGGAGACCUGGGUGUCCUGGUGCUCUAGAAUCCCACCUUCCCUCUCAUUUCAGCUCCUCUGUUCCCCUGCCUCCUCAAUAGGUCAGCUCCGUUCAGGACAGGGAGGAAACGCUGGGAGUGGGGCCCACAGUCUGAUUAGGUAGAGCUAGACAUUUCUCUAGAUGGCAUUCAUAUUGCACCUCCUCUCCCCCUGCCCCAGCUUCUGUUUUACAAUUUCUGUAGUUUAUUCUUUUUUUUUUUUUUAAAUUUUUAAUGCUUAUUUAUUUUUGAGAGAGAGAGAGAGAGAGAGAGAGAGAGACAGAAUGUGAGUGGGGGAGGGGCAGAGAGAGAGGGAGACACAGAAUCCGAAACAGGCUUCAGUCCCCGAGCUGUCAGCACAGAGCCCGAUGCGGGGCUCCAAACUCACGAACUGUGAGAUCAUGACCUGAGCCCAAGUCGGAUGCUUAACCGACUGAGCCACCCCGACGCCUUGUAGUUUACUCUAAAUAUUCUGUUGUUUUAUGUUUUGUCAUGUCUCCCUUCUGCGAUUUUUGGAUAUUACCUUUGGAAAUUAACUCUUCUGUUUGGAGAUGUUCCCGAUGACAUUGUUUACUUGUGAGAGCUGGGCGCUGGUGGAGCACUCGGUAUGUCCGUGGCUUUCAGACCUUUAUGUUGGAAGCCCACAGGAAGGGACCACGUGCUGCACCAGGAGCCAGUGCACACCUUCGUGCACGUGGCUGUACGGUUUCCCGAAGUCAUACCUUCGCUGUUUGUGAAUUGUGAUAGAAUGUCCUAGUCUGUUGUAUUUGAUCCCUUUUUUUUUUUUUUUCUCUUUUUUCUCACGUCUUUUCUCUUUAAUGCUUUGCAUAACCUACAACUGCUGGUCAGUUGUACUCUGACAGGCUUGCAGUAUUUUUAGGUGGUGGCAGGGGCACAUGCUUUCUUCCUGGCCAUAUUCUGUAGUAAUGUGCACAGGUCUCUUUUACCCCUACGCACUCCUUCAGACUUGCCUUAUUUUCAUUCCUUAUGUGCAAACCUUCUCUUUCCUUUUGUAACUAAGCUUCUGUUUCUAUUCCACGUACUCCUCACUUCUCAGCUUUCUUUCUGUUUGAACUUUGAUUUCCUCUCCUGACCGAUAGCCAAGAAUCAUUUUACCACUUUUUAAAAAAUCUUAUUUUUUAUUUUUUAAUUUUUUUUUCAACGUUUAUUUAUUUUUGGGACAGAGAGAGACAGAGCAUGAACGGGGGAGGGGCAGAGAGAGAGGGAGACACAGAAUCGGAAACAGGCUCCAGGCUCUGAGCCAUCAGCCCAGAGCCCGACGCGGGGCUCGAACUCACGGACCGCGAGAUCGUGACCUGGCUGAAGUCGGACGUUUAACCUUAAGACUGCGCCACCCAGGCGCCCCAAAAAAUCUUAUUUUUAAGUAAUCUCUACAUGGAGCUUGAAUUCAACAACCCCGAGAUCAAGAGUCGCACACUCCACUGACAGAGCCAGCCAGGCACCCCUCAUUUUACCAUUUUGAAUGAAACAGAUUCCUAUGUACUAUUAGGUCUUGCAUAUUAAAUGUAAUUUUCAAAAAGUAACACUUAUUUUUCAUUAAUUCCUGUAUUUGCUUAUAUCCCCAUAUGCAGUUUUUCAGAAGCCUUACUUUUCUGACGGUCUGCUCUCACAAUUCAUGCCCUUGCACGGUCCAGGGAUCACAGAAGUCUAGUAAUGCGGGAGUCUUCUCUACCCUGUUAUCUUUUGGGUUGGUGUCAUGGGUUACAGAGAGACAUCUGCUGGCUCAAAUGUAGUGUUGCAUUGUUUUUCUAUCCUGAAGUUUAGUGUAUUGUCAUUUUUAGGACCUUAAAGUUUCAUAGUGCGCAGGUAAGCUUUUCCAUUGGAAUGCAUUGAAGUCAUUCACCUAAUCCCUUCAAGCGUUUUUUUUAGGAUUUCCAGCUCAGCAUGUAAUGAACUGAAAAGUACUGGUAUCAUACCACCCAGUCAAGAAGCUGACACCUAAUGGGGAAAAGGAUUUCAUGGCCAAACUAGAUUCCUUCCCUUCAUGUGCUCUUAGUGGGACCACAAAAUGAUAGUUUAGUAAAACACCCAGUAAGCCAAGAUCCAUUUAAAACUUCUGGAAAUGAGAAUUCACUUUUCCAAGAUAGUUAAGACCUUAAGUUUUACACGGUUUAGGUUUGCAGCUUGGUUGUAUACGAGUGGUACAUUUGGUUCUGGUUAUAGGACUAGUGCUGGAAAGCAGGAAUCUAAAAUCUAUUGCUUAUUUAUUUGGAAGCUGUAAUUGGAAUAUUGUAAUGGCUUCUGUGCAGCGCUUGUAGCAAAAUUUUUGUUCAUUUCAGAGGCGAGUUUAUUUCUCUAGGAAUCAUAAUUAUAUACACCUAAGAUUACUCAGUGCACACAACAGCUUUUAAAGAUUAUAGUGUGCAAAGUGGUUCUUUUGAACAAAAGUAGUAUUCACCUGUCUUUGAGGAAUAUUUCUAAGGUUUUGUAGGCAAUAAAGGAGGCAGCAUGCUCCAGUUUUCUGUCCUUGUUUACUCCUGGUACACAAUCCAUGCCUGGAAGCCAGUGAAAAAACACCAGAAUUUGUGUGUCCGUUCCUUUAAUCAAGGGCUUUGAGAGCGUACAGGAGAGAGAGCUAAAACCGUGCCCUGCCAUGGCUCCAGCUCACAGCAGUUGUCUCUUCUCCCGUCCAUUUCAAAAGAUAAACUAAGUGUCAUCGAACAAGAUCAUACCGGCUUCGGGGAAAGGCAGAAAAGGAUGUUAUUAAUCGUCCAAGAGGACAAAUUACGGCAGAAAUCUAAACAGUAUCUGGGAACAUCAAAUACUGUGUUUGAAUUUAACAACCCCACACAAGAAGAACGACACGCAUUUUUUAAAGUAUUUCAUACUUGGGGCGCCUGGGUGGCGCAGUCGGUUAAGCGUCCGACUUCAGCCAGGUCACGAUCUCGCGGUCCGUGAGUUCGAGCCCCGCGUCGGGCUCUGGGCUGAUGGCUCAGAGCCUGGAGCCUGUUUCCGAUUCUGUGUCUCCCUCUCUCUCUGCCCCUCCCCCGUUCAUGCUCUGUCUCUCUCUGUCCCAAAAAUAAAUAAACGUUGAAAAAAAAAAUUUUUUUUUAAAGUAUUUCAUACUUGCCUAAUUUUUCUGGCCAUCUUCCUUUAUGCCUGUUCGGAGAGGGGAACCUGAGAAGAAAAUAGAAACUAUUUUUCCCUUAAUCAAGGCACCUAGAUUGUCAUGAGAAGUGGGAGAAGUCACAUCAGGUAGCCAAGCACUUCUUCUAAAAGCAUGAAGGAAAGAAACAAGACAGCAAACAACAAGAUCUGAAACAAAGUGUGUUAUGGGUUGUGAGUUUUGAACUUCAGUGCUAAAGUUGGCUUAUGGUAUUGUCAUGAAACAAGAUGCGUGAAAUGCUUGGAACACGGUCAGCGCUCAGUGGGUAGCAGCCGCUGUUGCAGUGCACGAAGGUACUCCGUGGCACCCUCCGUAAAUUCUUCUAGUUGUGUUUCUUCUAGGCAGGGAUGGAUUUGUUUUGAUCCAGCCUAUAUUUUUCGUGAUGGUGUGUAUGGCAAAGGAAACAAUAAUGUUAAUGGCAUUUAUUAUUUUCCCACAUUCUAAGCCUUGCGUGAAGAGCGUGAGGGAAGAUAGUGCGCCAUCCCGGUUUUACAGAAUGUGCGUGUUAUAAGAAGGCUUAGUUAGACUAGCGUGUGGAAGAACUCUGUUACCUAGCCCCUGUUGGGAAUCAGCACUAGCCAGUCUCAUCAGAACCAUAUGCUGGUUGGCUCUGAAUAAUGUUGCAGCUGUAUAUAAGCUUUAAAAAAAACUUUGUUUUACAUUGUUCAUUAGCUGUGAUAGCCAGAAGGGAAAGUACCAGUUACUGAAAGAAAGUGGGGUUUAAUAACAGAAUUAAAAAGUAACUCAGAGGGGCGCCUGGGUGGCUCGGUCGGUUAAGCAUCUGACUUCAGCUCAGGUCAUGAUCUCGUGGUCCGUGAGUUCGAGCCCCGUGUCGGGCUCUGUGCUAACUGCUCAGAGCCUGGAGCCUGUUUCAGAUUCUGUGUCUCCCUCUCUCUCUGCCCCUCCCCUGUUCAUGCUCUGUCUCUCUCUGUCUCAAAAAUAAAUAAAUGUUUAAAAAAAAAAAAAGUAACUCAGAGGGGCGCCUGCCUGGCUCAGUUGGUUAAGCAUCUGACUUCAGCUCAGGUCGUGAUCUCAUGGUCCGUGAGUUCGAGCCCCGCAUCAGGCUCUUUGCUGACAGCUCAGAGCCUGGAGCCUGUUUCAGAUUCUGUGUCUCUCUCUCUCUGCCCCUUCCCCGCUCAUGCCCUGUCUCUCUCUGUCUCUCAAAAAUGAAUAAACAUUAAAAAAAAUAAAAAAGUAACUCAGUUUUCUAAGUUUGGAGCAUUGCUUUUUACAGUCUACUGGUUAGUCCUCAGGGAUAGAGUAGUGGUAAUAUUUUCUAAAAAGUUAAAAGUAGCCUCUUUUAAAAUGUGCGUAAUCAGAAUAUCCUCGUGUUUUCAGAUGUACUUAGUAUAUCUUGCUAUUUCAGUAGGAAAUGGUCUUUUUAAGGUAGACAGAUUCCAAAGGAUUUCAGUAUUUUGGGUAUGUCUACAUCAAUAAUGGGAAGAAAAUAAAUCCAGGACCUCUGAUUGAAGAGGCAAAUAACUAUGUAUCUAUAACCAAUUUUCAGUUUACCGCCUUCAUAGCAUGAGUAAUCAAAAAUUCCCUUUUCGCGAUAACUUACUUUCUUGUUUAGUUUUUGCUUUGGGGUUCUUUGUUUUCUGGAGUGCAGAGGAACUGCCAGUGGGUUCAGAAGUGGCUUGUAUAGGGGCGCCUGGGUGGCUCAGUCGGUUGAGCGUCCGACUUCGGCUCAGGUCACGAUCUCAUGGUUUGUGAGUUCGAGCCCCGCGUGGGGCUCUGUGCUGACAGCUCAGAGCCUGGAGCCUGCUUCCGAUUCUGUGUCUCCCUCGCCCACUUGCACUCUGUCUCUGUCUCUGUCUCUCUCUCAAAAAUAGAUAAAUGUAUAAAAAAAUUUAAAAAAAAAGAAGUGGCUCAUAUGUAUCUGUGGAAGAGAGGAAUAUCCCUGUAACUUAAAAUAUAUCGCAGAUAUUGCCAGGUGUCAGAAGUAAUGCAUUGGGAGUUUAUUACAUUUCAUAUUCAUUUGCCUAAUCCUAAAACUAUGAAAGUCUAGGGCAAAGCAGGAGUUUAACGAGACAAUCUGCUUGAGGAGCUCUCUUGGCCCCCCUCCCCUCCUCUUCCCAUCUUUUUUUUUCUUUUCUUUUAAGAUGAAAUUAAUGUAGGAUUAAGAUCAAAGAUACUUGAAGGGGAAAAUAAGUUGCAAAAUAAAUUAAGCUUGUGAAUUUGGAAUUGAAAGGUAGGUUAGAGGAUGUUUACCUUAACGUUUUCAAUUUGCAGGUAAGGAAAGUGAGUUUCCCAGAGCUCCUGGGGCUCGCACAAGGCCACGGAGCUAAUAAGAGGUGAAACUGAUCCUGACACAUAGAUAGGACUUAUUCAACCAGAAACUUCAAUGGGAUUUUUUUUUCACCUUUAUUGAGGUAUAGUUGACAAAUAAUAUGGUAAAACAAAGCGUACAACAGCGAUUUGACAGAUGUAUACCUGGUCAAAGGAUUUCUUUCACUUGAAUAAUUUUCAAAAACGGCUAUUUAACUCAGCCUCCUUUUGCCUUUUGUUUUUUGUUCUUUAACAUACUAUUUGGAAAGUAUGGGUCUUAGCAGAAUGUCCUGGAAAGCAGAGCCUACUCAUAUACCCAGUGCUGUUUUUUCCACUCUGCUACAUUGAGGGUGGCCUGACAUGUGCACAGACAGGAGAGGAAGAGAGAAGCCCAAUCUUUGCCUCAGUGACCAUGACGCUGGUGUGGGAUAACUUGUAAACCUGGAACCACUUCCUUUUCUAACAGUGGUUGCUCCCUGGGAAGUUCUGUGUCUCUCUCAGCUGGUGUACCCCUAUUCAGCCUAGAAAACAACACCCCUAAUUCCUGUAAUCUAGGGAGGCAUCCAGCAGAUCCCCUCAAUAAACAAAAUGCUCCUGUUUGGAAGGUUCUUAUCCAUAUUAUUUUUUACUGGUGUAGAAGCAUCUGGAUGGCUGUCUUAAAAUGAAAGUGCUCUUGGUCCCAAGUAAUGAAACAGAGUAAUUGGGCAGCAAAAUGAGCAUCACCACCAAGAAAAGUCCCACUAUGUAAUACCACUAGUAAAAAGUGUCAUAUUCUACCCACAGGCUGUAUCUUUUUUAGAAACUGCUCAACUAGAUUGGUACAUACUUGAAUCAUCCUUUUUUUUUUAACUAUAGAAAAUGUACCCUAACCCAUGUGAAAAGUAUUGGUUUUAGAUGCAGUGAAUACCUGUUAGAAAUCUAAUCUGACCUAGAAAAGAAGUACCUUUGAAUAUACCUAAAAAUAACCUAAAAUUAUUAUAGUGAUAAAUAGUAAAAUCCUAUUUCUGGCUUUUGCUAUGACUUUGACACAGGCAUCCACACAGUUACUAUUCAAUUAGAAAUUUUAUUUUGACAGAACUCUACCUUAUAUGUAUUUUUAAAAGUGUUACAUUGCCUUACUUUUUUUCUUUGGUUGACUGAUUGGUAAGUAAUCUUCUAAACCCAGUGUGGGCCUGAAUUCACAACCCCCAGAUCAAGAGUCAUAUGCUCUUGCCACUGAGCCAGUCAGUACCUCCACCAUUGUGUUACUUUUUUCUUUUUAAGUUUAUUUAUUUUGGGAGGCGGAGGGGCCAAGAGAGGGAGAGAGAGAAUCCCAAGCAGCCUCUGCACUGACAACUCAGGUUCGAUCUCAUGACCUGUGAGCUCUUGACCUGAGCCAAAAUCAAGAGCCCGUCACUUAACCCACUGAGUCACCCAGUUGACCCCGUUGUUUUACUUUCAAUAGACUUUUUGGAGUAUGUAAUAUGUAAACAGAGUAUGAGAAAGCGUUGUCACAAUACACUUAGGCCUCAGAUUUUAACUUUGUUAUCGGAGUAUUUCAUUGCAUUUUGAAAGAAUCCUGAAUUACUUGAAUAAUUGAAUUCUCCACAUACAGUACAUUAUUAUGCAUUAAUUUUUUAAUAGCUUUUUUAAGUUUGAAAGAUAAUCCUGUUUGGCCACAAGGCAUUUUUAUGAGGAAAGUUUCAGAUUAUGUGGCCGAGGUGUGGGGGUCAGAUGAAGAUCCAAACAUGGUUUCCCUUUGGUUCUGGGAUUCAUUUGCAUGGGCCGUUUUAAUUCAGAUGGUAUAGGAAGAGGAACAGUACUUUUCUUCUGCUUCCAGUGUGGAGAAGCACAUUGUGUUUGCUCAGCACUUAAACAGUGCUGUGUCAGUUUCUUACUCGUGAACCUGGUAGCUGGGAAUGCUAACCUUGCUACCGAGGAUAGUGUCGAUUUUUAUUUAUUUUACUGUCUGUCUAGGCUCCGCGUGCACAGCUUACUCUAUUUACCUGAUGGCAAAGCUGGGUAGAUUGGAGGAAAAAGAAAGCUUUGGUUUAUAAUGCUUUCAUACUUUUCUGAAAGAUGAUGGUGCACCUGUCACGGUGUGUAUUAUACCUGCGAUAUCUUUGGAUCUUGUUUGAAACCCGUGUGUAGAAUAACAUAAGUGGAUGCAAAGAAGGAAGCACUCCUCAGAGCUCUGUGUAACCCAGACUGGCAGUAAACACAAGGGCUGCCGGCUGCCCGCUGGUUUGUGGAGAUAAGACACGGAAGGAAUGUGUUAGAAAUGAUUGGCUAGGGGGCGCCGGGGUUGGCUCCGUUGGGUAAGUGUCCGACCUCAGGUCAGGUCGUGAUCUCAUGGUUCGUGGGUUCGGGCCCUGCGUCGGGCUCUGUGCUGACAGCUUAGACCCUGGAGCCUGCUUCAAAUUCUGUGUGUGUGUCUCUCUCUCUGCCCCCACCCCCCCGCCUCUGUCAAACAUAAAUAAAUAUUAAAAAAAAAAAAUGAUUGGCUAAUAGGAAAGUUUAAGCAUCCAAUAAUGAAUUCUUUUUAACUUUAAAUAAAUAAAGGAAGCUCGAGGCGCCUGGGUGGCUCAGUCGGUUGAGCGUCCGACUUCAUCUCAGGUCAUGAUCUCACAGUCCGGGAGUUUGAGCCCCUCGUCGGGCUCCGUGCUGACAGCUUGGAGCCUGGAACCUGCUUCGGAUUCUGUGUCUCCCUCUCUCUCUGCCCCUCCCCAGCUCAUGCUCUGUCUCUCUCUCUCUGUCAAAAGUAGAUAAACAUUAAAAAAAAAUUUUUUUUUAAAUAAAUAAGAGCUCAACUCAUUACCGAAAAGCAGGGACACACUCAGUUGCAUUUUUACAUGUUUUCUCAGGAGGGAAAGAAGAGAUGGAGUUUGAACUAAUUUGUUGGGAAGCGUGUUCAGAUGCAUCAGGGUAUCAGAGUGUAAAAGAGGCUAACUCUCUGUGGCAUAGAUGAUGGACUUGAACCGCAGGAGAAAGAAGCAGGACAUCGAAGCCCAGGCAGUAGUGUUAGGAGCAUAAGUUUGCCUUUGGGUGUAUUUAUUCCCUGCUUCCUCCCUGUCACAGACUUACCUCUAUUAGGGAUGACUGUGGAAUGAACUGUUAAGGAUGCCAUACAACAAAGAGGGAAGGCUCGAGAUCCAGACUUCUGGGUUGAGAUAUGGCUCUGCCUCAAAGGCAGAUAACUUAAUUCUCAGUCUCCUCAUCCGUAAAACAUGGAGAGCAUUAGUAUUUACCUUUGUGGGGUUCUUGGGAGGAUCAAAUGAGUUAAUGACAUGUGAAGUGCUUAGAACCCUGUCGGGCGUGUAAUAAGCAUUGGGCGUGUGUUAACUAUUCCUAUACGAUGUGACCUUACUUAAUUUUUUAAAAUAAUUUCACCCUCUCUCCAUAGCCUCUGCCUAGAGAGAAUAGACACUAAACUGAUGAAUGAGUGGAUAAUGACUUGAAUGGUAUCUUUACGGUGGUUGACUGGUAAUGUAAAUGCAUCUUCCGUUGUGGGUCACUUUCCAAGAUGAGGCCAUGUAAGCACAGCACGGAUUAAGUUAAAUCCACACAUGUAUCCCUCCCACCUGUUUUCAAACAUGAUCUUUAAUCUUCUUUGCUAAUAAACCAUUUUCUUUCCUAGGACUCAAAGAAAGGAUUAUGUUUGUGAAAAAGUAGCACAUAACACACACACACACACACUAAAGUAACAACUAUUUUAUGAAACAGUAAUUACACUAAGUGUGAAAAACUCUUUUCUGUUUUAUUCUAUUCUCUGCUUAUAGUGCAUCUAAUUUAUUUUACAAGCCACUAAUGGAUUACCCUGCAGUUUGAAGAACCCUACAUUAGACAAGUUUGACUCUUGUCCAGAACCAAAUAGGGAUUGUAACCCAUAUUCCCUUCCUUUUCAUUCUCUUUCCAUAAUUGUCCUAUAAUGGAACUGGAAUUCACCAGCUUUAGACAUACACGGUCACACUCACUCAAAAAUGCCGUCCCAUCUAUUCAGUAAGUCCAGAUUUUGUGUUGUCAUAAGAAAGAGCUUUAAAUAUUACUGUAUUUCAGAUUUCCUUUUAGCACGUUUAUAACAUUAAAAAGGCAUAUAGCUUGGGAUACCUGGCUGACUCAGUCGGUGGGGUAUGCAACUCUUGAUCUCAGGGUUGUGAGUUCGAGCCCCACACUGGGCAUAGAGCUUACUUGAAAAAAAUUUCAUGGGGCUCAUAUCACUAUAAGACAGGGUCCAGUAAGCAUUGUCAGGAGACCGUUUAAGGUUAGGUAUGAUAAUAGUAACCGAUGUCUCAGAUAAUGAUAAUAUAACUUCAGUUCCAUCCCACCCUCCCCGAUUAAAUAAGGAAUUAACUGUGUUGUACAGAAAAAUGAUUUUAUUGUUAGAACAGAGCUCCAGAGAGCUGUUAUCCUGUAUGGUCGGUCUAUAGGCUUGGUUUGUUCCUUCUUUUUGGCCAGCAUCGGUUGCUUGGGAGCCUGCUGCUUAGAGCUCUUCAUGCCCCGUGGCCAUGAAGCUGAACACACACCACUCACUACCCCAUGCUGAGCCUUGACUCUAUUCUCAUCGACUGAGUCCCCAGCCAGGCCAAAUAACUGCUUCUUUUGAAAGAUUGACAACCAAAUUCUUACCAGAUUGAAAAUGCGAAGCCUUCCUAGAUUGUAAACACUUGGCUUUGUACACAUUCUGGUCACAUUCAUGACCAUUUGCACGUUGCCUUUGGUCAGUCUUCCGUACGCUCUGCUCCACACAAUAGCCAGACUGUCCUGGCUCAGCUGGAGAAGUCUAAUCCAACAUUUUCCCAUCUUAUUUGGCAGAACUCUAUUAAAUUCUCUUCUUUCCCCAUCCCCUUUUUAGGUUAUAGUCUUCAUUAAUUCCCUCCAUUCAUGCUACCAUGUUUCCCUAUAUUUCAAGUAAAUCUCUCUUUUUCUAAGCUUUUUUUUCUUUCUUCCCUCUGUUAAGUUUUGGAGAGCCCCCAGUGAUGCUAGUCGUAGCUAUAAGCUCAAGGGUAGGGAUAUAAUAGUGGUCAAGAGAGAAGAAUGGAGUAUAUUUGGAGGUACAAUAAGGCAUAGUAACCAAUGUCAUCAACUUUUGAAUGAUUUUAAUUGUCUUAGUGUAGCCAUCCUCUUCUGAUUAAACUUUCUCACACUUGCAUAUAGAAAAAUCAAAAUCAUUCUUAUUUGUAUUAGUUUAUUCCUUAUGUAAUUACUAGUGUUGUUACAUAGUUACAAUAUACAUUUCAUUUCAGGUGCAUAGUAUUACAGAUACCUUAUAAGUGAAAUAAGUUUCUGUGGUGGGAUCUGUGCACUAUCACUAACAGCAUCAUUCCUAAGGGAAAAGUAACACCAGUUCUGAACCCCAACCCUGGUUUGGGUAACAUAACCAGGUAUUUGAGGACUGUUUACUGUCCUUAUUUCUCUUAACCAUGCUUUUUGUUCCUGGAAAGAGGUUGACUAUUUUAAAAUCAUCUAAGUACUACUAGAGUGCUUCCAUAAUUACUUUUAAUAAUCAAUUAAAAUGAAAAUCAUGGGAGAAUUCACAGUAUUUUGAAAUGAGAAAUAUGGUUAAUCAUGGAUUUUGAAAUGACAAGUCGCUUUUAUUCUUUAUAUGUAUGUGAAUGUUUAGGAUACAGUCUCAGACCUAGAGUUUGCUACUUUUAAACACUGUGUUUAUUCUGAGGGACAGAACUUCCCCCCCGAUUCAAGUUACUGGUUCCAGGUGACCCUGGCCAUUUUCUCGCAUGAACACCAGAAAUAUGUUGUCUUUGCCUGAUGAGACACAAUAACCUUUUUAAAUAAGACUGGGGAACAGCAGCCAGAAAAUGCUUAAAAAUAGAAAAGGCUAUUACACUUUCUUGUUAGCAGAAUAUUAGAAGCAUUGACUCUUCAUAAGGGCAUUUCAGUCUUUGUUCUCUGUGCUGAUCUGGUAUUACACUUUUUAAAAUAAUGAUUACCUGGCAACACUUUAAAUCCAUUUUCAUACUAAAUCUCAAGGUAGUAUUUUUUUGUUUUUGGCUUGAGUUUUAUAGUAUAUAGUCUGAAACUUACCGUAUCAUAAGUGGCAAGCUAAUGGUCACUGGUGAAAGUAGGAUCAGAGCAGGGGAUCUUACAUGUCCUGGUGAUGUUCUUACUCAUUUAAAAUGAAUUAUCUUGGGGCACCUGGGUGGCUCAGUUGGUUAAGCAUCUGACUUCAGCUCAGGUCAUGAUCUCAUGGUUUAUGGGUUCAAGCCCUGCAUCAGGCUCUGGGCUGAGAGCUCAGAGCCUGGAGCCUGCUUCAGAUUCUGUCUCUUUCUCUCUGCCCCUCCCGUGCUCACUCUCUGUCUCUCAAAAAUAAACAUUAAAAAAAAAAAACAACCUUUAAAAGAUAAAAUUAAAUUAAAUUAAAUUAAAAUAAAAUAAAAUGCAUUAUCUUGACAAGAUUUUGUGUUUAUAAAAUGACUUUGAACUUGCAAAUAUCCUAAGGAUAUUGUUGCCAAAGAGAUACAAAUAAAGACCAUAAUUUAAGCCAAAUAUGACAUAGAAUUACUGAGUUUAGUGUAGUAAGCAGCAUUUGAAAUGUGAUUUGAUGCUUAAGAAAUUGUGCCCGACUUGGAGACACAAAGGCAUACAUAGAAUAAAAUACAGUAUGAGUUUUAAGAUGGCACCAAGGUAUGGGAUGGGAAGAGAUAAAAUAGAGCCUUUCGGGUUUGGCAGCGUUGCCUCAGUAGCCACCUUGGGGGGGAUAAUGAGUAAAGUGGGCCCAAAAAACCCCCAGGGAGGGACUUUGCACCCUCAGGUCUUCCACAUCUACUAAGGACAUUCCGCUUUCAUCUGGUGCACGGAUGGAGCUUUCUCCUAAGGUUUUAUUUGGGGGAAUAAGAGUAGUUCCAGUGCUCACAUCUAGUUUGAGAACCAUUGUCCUGCCAGGUGUAGAUUUUCCUGUUAGGCAAAAUACUUGGAGCACCAGAUACACCAGACCAGCUCAUCGUAAGGAGGAAAGGUAUAAAGUCAGUGUCCUUAUUGUCAGAUGCCACAUGUGCUGGUCAUCCUGAUGCACAGAGGGGGAGCGAGCACUGGAGAGCUUAUUUUGAAAUGUUUUGCUUUCUAAGUUGGGGUCCCCAUAUCCAGAAAAAUUCCUUAGAAACUUUGUAUGUAUUGGAGGAAAAGGUAAAACCCUUUUUUAUUAAAGUAAGACAUAAUUUUCAUACUUGUUGGUGAUGUUCAAAAAAACAUUUUUUUUUUUUUUUGUUCAUGUUAUAAUGAUAGGGUUUCCCCCCAGCACUUUGCACUGAAGUAAAUUGACUGGACAAAAUGGAGAACAGGUGAUUUGAAAACCAUUGUAAAUAUUCUGAAAGUCCCCACAAUGUUAGGUUGGAUAAAGAAUGUACCAAGAACAAGAAAUAUGGAAGUGUGGCACCAUUUCAGAUACAUUUCUCAGUUUCUUUUUUAAAAAAUCUUUUUUAAACAACAUUUAUUUAUUUAUUUUGAGACGAGGAGGGGCAGAGAGAGAGGAGAGAGAGAGAAUCCCAAGCAGGCCCUUUGCUGUCAAUGCAGAGCCCGAUGCGGGGCUAUGACGCAGGGCUCGAUCUCACAAACCAUGAGAUCGUGCCCCGAGCCGAAAUCAAGAGUUGGAUGCCUAACCGAGACCCCCAGGCGCCCUGAAAAUAUCUUUUAUGUGCAGGGGGUAAUGGGGUGGAAGUAGGCACAGGGGGCCAGUGCAAAGUCAGUCGUAGGCAACGCGCUGCUGGUGUUCCUGCUGUUAGAUGUAGACUCCUGAGCAUAUGUAUUAGUACACUUUUGCAGAAGUUAUUUUUUGUUGAGACUUUUAUGGCAGACAGAACUGGCAGAAAGUUCUUCGUCUGGUGCCUGGAGCAUAGUAAGCAAUCAGUAAACAUUAGUGUCCUCUCUUCUUCUGUUUCUCCCUCUUGUUUUUAGCAGUGUAUUUUAUCUUGUUUUCCAGUGGCAGCGUCUUUUAAUGUAAUGUUCAUUUCACCCUUGAGCACUGCAUUUUUCAGGUUCUGAAGCUCAAGCUUUUCUCCCUUAAUAGAGGGAUAGAGAGGUGGGGGGGGGGCAGCGGCAGGUGGAGGUCAGGUGAACCCAGUCUGGCUCUCCUUUUCCCAGUUAAAGCCACAGAUUGUUCUGGGGAGGCUUUAGUGUUCUUAUUGCUUCUGAUUUCAACAGUAAUCGAAGACAAAACAAUUGAAUAAGAAAGGAAAGUGGCAGCAACUGUUAUCAGUUGUUCAGUCCCAUUGUCAGGAAGACCUACAAUCUACUUGCCAUGCAGAUUCCUGGGUUCUACCCCCAGAGACUCUGAGUCCACUCUCAGGUCAUUCUAACGCGCAUGGUCCAAGGACUACGUGCUGAAAACCUCUUAAUUCUAGAAAGAUCCGUUUACACCAUUGCUCCAUUAUUCUUGUUUUCAUUCCUUGGUUGAUCAUUACUGUAGCACAAAGAUCAGAUUUCUUUUGAGAGUUUUCACCACUCCUUGGUAAUUCUGAGCCUCCAAACCAUGGCUCAGAAUUCUUGGCUUAAAAAUAAUGUGUACCAUGCCUAUACCAAUGCAUAACUCUUACGCCGUCAUAUAACAGGAGAAACUUUGGCGGUGGUUUGAGAUUAAUUUGUAAAUUGCCGGUGUUGACACAAUAAUUCUUUCUUUCAUUGGCAUUGCCUAGUGAAGCAGUCUCACUGUGGUUUGUUCUCCUCGUGGUUUCCGUAGUGUUAGAGAUUCUGCUACAGAAAAACGAACCCUUUCUGGUUUUGAAUCACUCAGGAGUUACUCUUGACUCUUUAUAUAAGAGGCAUGUCCUGGGAGGGGGCAAAUCAGACCUCCACACGCGUUGCCCUCUCCUAGCCAAUAGCUUGCUGAGAACGUGGAUAUUACAACGUGCAGUUUCAUUCAUCAAGGGGAUUUUCAGGCUCUAGCAGCAAACUGCUUUGAGUUUUUGGGUGAAUGCUGGGCUUUUGGGUCUUUGCAUUAACUCUGCCGUAGAAUCAAGCAGGUGCAUCUGGCUGUUAGAAGAAUUAAUGAUCGUGAUUCAGGUAAGGAUAAAUUGGAGAAGUUACUUUCUUUUUUUCCCUUUGGGUGGGUUUGAGAUUUUAGAAGAAUUAGUCCUCUCUUUGAGAAGAGCUCAGAACUAUUUAAGUUAGUCCCUCUGAAUUGCUUUAUAGUGUUACUCAGUGUAUCAUCGUUUUAAUGUGAAAUCCACCCUCUUCAAAAUGUAGUUUCAUUUUCAAACAUUAAAGUGAGGAUUCCGUUUUACUUUCUGUGCAUGAAAUUUUUUAAAUGAAAGAACUAUAGUUGCUAAGAUACUAAUUACACAUAGUUUCCUGGUUUGGAGCUGAAGUCUUAUAAUUUUAGAAAGUAUGCUUUAAAGGUUGGGCAGGGGAAAUCGAUGGGUUUGCAUUUGAUUUAUAAAACAAUGAUGUUACAUGUGUGUCAGACUUUUCCCUAUUAAAGGCCAAAUUUUGAGAUAGACCGCUUAAUCUGUUCUGACGUGAGAUUCCCCCACCCCCCAUCUCUCCUCUCUCCGUGUUUCCUGGUGGUGGGAUCCACUCAGCUCCUCCGCUCAGGCAUGUGGUUUAGUCUGUGUACAUUCAGUGCAGUGGCAUUUUUCUUGAAAAAGUGACUAAGGCUUCUUGGAUGAAUUCUGUCUUUGAAAGAGGUGGUAGAGUUGCAUCAGAAAAGCAUUUACAGUAAAUGGCUCCCCCCCCUUUCCUGUAAUGACCACAUGUGAAAGAAUGCAUUAAUUCUUGUUUUGAGGAAAUGAGAGUUGUAGAAUUCUAUGAAAAACUCCCUUUUUAUCAUUAAUUAACCAGAUUUGAAUGUUAAAAAUUCUAAAAUCUGAACCACUUUCUGCUGUGUAAAUAAAUGUCGCAAAAAUAUCCAGUUUUUCACUCCAUAUUCUAUAUGGAGUAACCACUUAUAUUGAGUUCAAGAAGAGAGGAAAUAAUGUUGACGAUGGCACUAGUUAAAGCAUACGCCUAACCUAAAUUAGUUUCUUCAUAGUCAUUUUCCAUAUUAAAUUAAUAAUUUCUUACGUGUGUUGCUGAUUUGUUUCAGGAUUUGUUUCUCUGUGUGGUAGAAGCUGAAUCUAGAAGGAAACUCCCAUAGCUCAUCUAGCCAGGGGUUCUCUUGGGAAAAGUACCGCCCCCUAGGGGACCUGCUAGGAAUGAGAUAGUGUUUGGUUCUGCAGUGAAGGGCUUUUAAUGGAUGGGAGCCUUGAGAUUUUAGAUGUUCCACCGCGGAAAAGACAGAAAGAGCUGUCCUUUAUCCCCCGUGACUUUCAACUGUCAUUUUGGAUAUAAAAAUAUGUUUAUAAUUACUUGAGCCUUGAGUUAAGUCCAUUUUAUGUAAGGAUGCAGGAUAACAUUUACAUACUUUUAUUUUUUUUUUUUAACGUUUAUUUAUUUUUAAGAGAGAAAGAGACAGAGUGGGAAUGGGGGGGUGGGGGCAGAGAGAGAGGGAGACACAGAAUCUGAAGCAGGCUCCAGGCUCUGAGCUGUCAGCACAGAGCCCAAUGCGGGGUGCGAACUCACAAACUGCAAAAUCAUGAUCUGAGCCGGAAGUCGAAAGCUUAACCGACUGAGCCACCCAGGCACCCCUUGCAUACUUUUAAUAUACACAGAAUAUACUUAUUUUCAUCCUUUGGCCCACCCGUACCUCUCCUAUUUCGUUUUCCAGUACUUUUAAGAUGGAAGGCUUCUGACUUGGCUCCUCUGAAUCCAAGCUGUUCUUUAUAAGUAAGUUGUAAGCAUUUCAUUACAUAGUUAAUUGGACCUAAAAAUUAUUUAUAUAUUAUUUGUAUAUUGGGUAUAUAGUGUUUUAUUAUAAAUUGUUUUUCUUUUACUUUCUCCUUUAUAUUACAUUUAGAGCAUUAUAUUGAUGUUUUAAAGGUUAUAUGUAUGCUAGUUACUAUUUAUUAAUGAAUUUUAUUUCAGAAUAGCAAAUAGGGCGUUACAGAAUUUUUGGUUCUAAAAACAGGGCUUUGGGACUAGUAGGGUUUUGAACCAAUAAUCCAUUCUGUCUCUCUACUUUCAGGAGGGACAGUAUGCAUGCAAGCCACCCAGGUGGGAGGGAUGUUUAUCUUCUCUGUGAAGUUCUCCGAGGAAGACUGCACAUGUACCUCAUUAAUAUGUUUUAGUAUCUUGAAGACUUCAUAUUAAGCUAGUUCUUCCUUAGUAAUAAUUUCCAGGAGUCUUCAUUAUGUCACUGGAAAAACACGACCUUUGGUUUUCCCUCUUUUUGUAGGAAAGGACAGACAGGUAUUGAGAGACGCUUAUAAGUCAUGCUGCAAGCUAGCAGAGGAGUUAAAAACAGACUCAGGUCAGGCCGCCUGGGUGACUCAGUCAUUUAAGCGUCUGACUUCAGCUCAGGUCAUGAUCUCACGGUUUGUGAGUUCGAGCCCCGCGUUGGGGUCUGUGCUGACAGCUCAGAGCCAGGAGCCUGCUUCGGAUUCUGUGUCUCCCUCUCUCUCAGCCCCUUGCCUGCUCACGCUCUAUCUCUGUCUCUCAAAAAUAAAUAAACAUUAAAAAAAAUUUAAAAAGAAAAAACAGACUCAGGUUUUCUUGAACAAUGGUCUUGGCCUCAUUGUCUCCUUACCGUGAACAUGUUCUACAUGUGCGAUUCUGAUUUCUGACUGUGCUGUAAGAAUAGCACAUCAUGGGUAACUGUUGUCAGUGUAGUAGAAUUAAAUCACCAGAAUCAUAGCUGUGAGCUUAUGGUUCCUGGGCACAUGCCCGUGGUGUUCACUCAGACCUGUUGUUUGGGGCCACACUUUUAAUUUGGUAGAUCUUUUUCUUGGAUUGUUAGUCCUUGUGGUAUUUUGUUGUCAUUGUUUUUCUUGUUAUGUCGACGUGAUGUUAAUUAUUGCUUCUCAAUAUUUCUAGGGAAGCUAAUAAUUAAUAAAGUUGUCUUUUGAGUUCUUUAUAAAGUGUCUUCACUCCCUUGAAUUUUCUGUUUCUUCCAGGGUCUUUCUGUUGUUUAUCUUAGUUUUCCGCUUUGCGUCGCAGGCUUUCUUUAAAUGUAUUCCUGCCCUUGACACUUCGUUCACAUAAAGAUGAGGUGGCACGAAGGCUGACCGGGGCUCUGUGCACGUGGGCACGUCUUGCCACUGGCAGCCUCCCCUCUGGUGGCACAGAAGCAGCUCUCAUGUUGGGGAGCCACCAAGCGUCAGAGGAAAGAGGGCUUGACUUUGGGGUUCUCAGAACCACACUAGCGGUUAGUCCUCACCCGACUUUUUGUUUAGUUUCUUUGGAGAGUUAACUUUUCAUUUUGAGUUUUUGCCUGGCGGCCUGUAAGAUUUGUUGUUUUGAGAUAGACCGCUUUUGAGAUAGACCUGAUAAACACAGGAAUUAGGCCUGGGAGGAACGAUUGUUGACACCGGACUUUUCAGUUCAUCUUCUCCUUUCUGCCGUUCUCGAUGUUUCUUUCCCAUAUUGCGUUUGCUUUUUCUUUUCUUUCUUUUUUUUUUUAAUUUAUUUAUUUUGAGAGUGAGUGAGAGAAUGAGCAGGAGAGGGGCAGAGAGAGGGAGAGCAAGAAUCCCAAGCGUGCUCCAAGCUGUCAGCACCCAGAGCCCAGUGUGGGGCUCAAACUCCCAAUCCAUGAGAUCAUGACCUGAGUCGAAGUCAAGAGUCGGAUGCUCAACCGACUGAGCUACCCAGGCACCCCUGUUCUUGCUUUUUCUGGGUCUAGAGCCUCUUUGGGGUUUCACUGGGGAAGUCAGUCCCCACCCCAACCCCCGCCCCGCCGUCUCAGCAGCAACCCUCCGAGAACUCUUUGGGCGGUAAGCUGCCUCUGCUCAACUUUAUCACUCAGUACUUCUCCGUCAUUUUCUGGCUUCCAGACAUUUCUUGAAAUCUCUCAGGCCCCUGAUAGUCUUUUUAUUGUUGUGGGUGUAUAUAAUUUUUGUUUUUAUAACUGCAGUGGGGUCUUUCAUGCGCCCUGACUACUAUUUUGAAAUGGUGUCUUAGUAUAGGUUACUACAACAAAGUACUGUAGACUGGGUGGCUUACAAACAAUGGAAAUUUACUCCUCACAGUCCUGGAGGCUGGCUCAUAGACAGCCAUCUUCUUGCUGUGACCUCCUUUGGUGGAAGGAGGAAGAGAGCUCUCUGGGAUCUCCUUUAUAAGCACACUAAUCCCAUUCCUCAGAGCUCCACCCUCAUGGCCUAAUCACUUCCCAGAGGCCCCACCUCCCAGUGCCAUCAGAUUAGUAUUCUGACUUGGGAAUUUUGGGGCAGACGGGAAGGUCUUUCAUUUGUUGAUUUGUCAGAAGUAUAUCUGAAGAUGGGGCCCUGGGUGGCUCAGUCAGUUAAGAGUCCACCUCUUGAUCUCAGCUCAGAUCUUGAUCUCAGGGUCGUUAGUUCAAGCCCCACGUUGGUCUCCACCCUGGGCGUGAAGCCUACUUAACAAAGAAAAGAAAAGAAGUAUAUUUGAAGAAUUAAAUCAGCCUGGGGAAAGAUUUGAUGGGGGCACAAGAACUGCAGUGAGUAUUGGGUUUGGGGAAACUACUUCUUAGAAUAAGUUGGCUGGGAAGGAACAAUGAGCUGAUGUUGUUAUACAGAUAUGCUUUCCAGCCACGGAGGCUAUCACCAUUAAUCACAGAGCUCUCUCAAGAGGCUCUUCUGGCUCUGUUGCUAGAAGACAAGAUGUGUCUUGUCAAACAUCCAGCUUCGUCGUUAAAAAAAUAUAUAUAUAAAUGUAGUGGUAGUUGUUUCUGAUCAUAAUACAAAUGUAAAUGUGGAUAUGCUUACUUUUCAAUUUCUUCUCUGCCCUUUGGCAUAGGAGUUCCUGAGAGAAUCUACUAUUCCUUCAUUUCUAGAACUUCUAUUCCUUAGGGGAUAGACCCUCCUACUACUUCUCCCCUUUCUUGUAAGAAGCAUCUCAUAUUCUUCCUUCCCAUUUCCUUUGUGGAAAAAAAAAAUCCAAAUUCUUAUCGAUCGUUGUGUUUGUUGUGUAGUACCUGCAAAUGGAUAGCAGAAACAAUGAAGAUGGGAAAAAUUAGGUGUUCGCUGAUUAGUGCUUUAACUUCCCUGACAAAGUGGUAUCCAUUUGUGUCUUAGAAGAAACUCCGAAUUGAUGUUUCCAAUCUUACCAUUAACUCAUUUUACUUGGAAAAAAAAAAUAGCCAUUUUCUUGUGAAAAAUCCUGGAGAUCUUCUCUAGAGGUCCUCCAUAGUUAGGGAUGGUGGCCCUAACAUAAUCUAACCUGAAGCAGAAUCUUCUCAGGCCUGUCUGAUCUCUGGAAGAGUACCAGGAGCCCCAAGUCUACCUCUGGCGUUUGCAAAGUAGUUCAGUUAGAUGCUAAUUAUUCUUUGCGUAGUGGCAUAGAGGCAGUUGAAGAUAGUAAAGGUCCUUACUUACAGGAAACAGUAAGUUGUUCAGCUUAGAGCCUUUGGAGCAGUCCUAGAUCCUAGGGCAGGCCCCCUGAGACCGUGCCCCUGGAAGCGGAUACGGAGAAUACUGAAAUGUCCUGAGCUCCCAGGGAAGCAGGACAUACUUGUAAUUUUACUUCUGGUAUUGGCCAGAAUGAGUAUUAUCAGCCUGUUCUAAGUAACUUUCUUCCCAAAUUUACUUUCUUUUAUCUAUCCCCCUUAACCUGCUGGCGGUGAGGAAUGUGUUGAAUACAGGUUAUCACUUGUAUACUGAAAAAUGGUGAACCUAAAAAGGACCUUCUGUGAGCAUUUAGAACACGCUUACUUUGGUUUUUAGAACCUGGGAUAUUGAUUGGCUUUUACUGUUGGAUGAGAGGAAACCCAGCAAAUUCCUUCUUUUUCCUUUGGAGAAAAUACCGUCUGUAGGUGGUCCCAAAGAAAUGAGACAGCCACAAUAGUUGUCAAACUGGUUGUCUGUUACUCAGAGUAGUUCAGAUAUAGUCUCCCUUUGUUGGGGCCAAGGGAUACAAAUCAAAUCCCAUUCUUCAGGGGGACUUGGGGAUAUAAAGACAUUCAGGGAGCCCUCCCAGCCCUCCUUUUUAAUAGGUGUAAAAUUUACAUGUGGAAAAAUGCACUGAUGUCAAAUGUAGUCCUGUAACCGAACCACAGUUAACAUGUAGAACAUUUCUACCCUCCAGGUUCUCUCAUGCCCCCAUCCAGUCCCUCUCCAUCCCCAUUGACAAAUGCUUUCUGAUUUGUCAUAAUAGAAUUUUUUUCUCCUGUUACUGACCUUUAUAUAGAUGGACUCCACAUGUACUUUUUCAGGCUUGGCCUCUCACCCCAGUUUUAUGUUUUUGUGUGGAUCAGGUGUUCUUUCUUCCUUUAUUGCCAGGUGGUAUUCUGUCAUACGAAUACACCCAAUUUGUCACUCCACUUUCCUAUUGACAGACGUUUGGGUUGUCUUCAUCUUUUCGGCUGUUGGGAAUCUGAAGCUGUUGUGAGAGCUCACUCACCCCUCUUUGUAGAUCCAGGCUUAAUUGCUGGGCCGUACCGUGCACGUAUGUCUUUAUGAGAAACUUCCAAGCAGUUUUGCAAAGUAAUUGUGCCUUUUAUGCCCCAGCCAGCAGUCGACGAGAGUUCCAGGUGUUCUGGUUCCUUUUUAGCAUUUGUAUAUUGUUGGUUCUUCUGAUUUUAGCCAUUCUUCUGGAUAUGAAGUGGUUUCUCAUUGUGGUUUUUAAUUUGUAUUUCCUUGAUGACCAACAUAUUCUUACUGGGCGUUUGUAGACUUUCCUUUUUGGAGUAUCUGUAUAAUAUUUUACCCAUUUUUUUUUAAUUUUUGAAGGGGCCAUUUUAUAUUGUAUGUCUUACUAUUAUAGAUUGGUAAGAGAUUUUAUAUAUAUAUAAAAUCUGGAGAGAUAUAUAUGGAUUAUAUAUAUAUAUAUAUAUAUAUAUGCAUAUGUAUAUAUAUCAGAAAACUGUGAUGCAAAUGUAUUCCAGUCUGUGGCUUACCUUUCAUUGUCUUAAAAAUGUCUUAAGGUAGAAGUGAAGGUUCCUUUUUUUGCACGUUUCUCGAGUUGUUCCAGUACAAUCUAUUGAAAAGACUUUCUUGUCCCCAUUGAAUUGCGUUGGCGCCUUUGUUGCAAAUCCGUUGUCCAUAUAUGUGUUGGUCUUUUCAAAGGAACCUGAAGAAUGUUUGCAUAGACCACGUGUGGCAUGCACUUAAGUCUAGGAAAUGAGUUCACAUUGGCCAACUGUAAUAAGCCUCAAGUGGCUGACUGCCUUAAACUUCUGUAUCAUGGAACAUUUGCGUUAAAGGUCACUGACAGACACAUAUGGGGGGCACUUUUUGCUUGCUAACCCAGCUGAGACUUCCAGAAGUUCCAGUGUUCCCACACUAAAUAUAAGGCUCUUAUCUGCAAAGAGAGAAUACCGUCAAGUCUGUGAGACCCAGCCUCAGCCUGCAGGCAACUUCGCAGAGAACUAAAUAGUAAUUUUUCUUAUUUGAAAACUGGAUAUGCAUGAAUUUAACAUAACUGAUUUGGAACUCAUUAUAGUUAUGUGUGGGUCCGACUAAAAAAAUAUUACUCUUAAGAAGGAGAUUUUUCAUAAUGUAAAGAAGCUUGUGAAGAAAAAUUUGUUCUAAUAACUUGUGCACAUUGUGUGCAGAAAUAGAUUUGCUGACUUUAAACGAGUGUUGCCUAUGAGUAGAAUCUCUACCUGGAAAGGUUUUUGUAAACAGUUUUACAUAGUAUUUUUACUUGAAUAUAGUAAAUAAAAAAAAAUUUAUUUUAAAAGAUGCCUUAAUUUGAAAACCAAAGGAUGAAUAGAGGAAACAUACCAAAGUUACCCAGGUAGAAUAAAUGGUGAUAGUCUCUUUUUUGAUACCUUGAUUUUUAGAAUCUUAGCAUUCGUGUUUUCAUGGUAUGGCACUGGAGCUCAGCGCUUGAGCACAUGACUGACGCUGGCCUGUCUGGGUUGGGCCACCAGCUCUCCUAGUCCUCACAGGCAACGGACUUAAGCCUCUGUGUCUCCCCCCUAAAACUCGGAGAAUAAGAGUGUCUGAAGGAAGUUCAGACUUAGAGCUGAGCAGGCUCAUAGUGAACCCUAUGUAACUUUUGGCCAGUCGUAACAUUAUAUUACUUUCAUGAUAAAAACAUAUGCAGAAAGGAAAUUUUUUUAGAAAGAAAAAGCCAGGAAGCAAAAGUAAAUUACAGUAUCCUAUGGUUCAGACACCUCGCUGUUCAUAGUAGACUUCCCAGUUGGUUGAGUUGGUCAGAUUUUACUGUUAAUUCCCAUUCUCCCCCAGAAGGGGGUAGAACUAAGGGAUUUUCUUUUGAGCUCCUUGGGAGAUGUUUGCCCUGAAAAUACAAGAGGCACUCCAUGCUAAUUGCUAGACUUACUCUUGUCUCCAUAAAAAGAUUUUACAAGGAAAGCUAUUCUUUCAAGCUCAUGUCUUCCUCUCCUCCUGCUUUGCUCAGUUAACUCAAGUAUAACACAUCCACUCACUUGAAAUACCACUUUCCCUAGUCCUGUGUUUGGACUUGCACAGCCGUGCUCAGCUCCUGGCCCCUGUUUUUGCUUUCUCCAGCAAUUUCCCGGUCAGAGCGGGAACUAGAGCCGAGUCUCGGAAAAGUGGCCGCGAUGGGCCUUUUUGCCCGCUCGUCUUCCCCACGGGACGUUGGAAGGGGGGAGGUGUCUGACCCUCACUGUAAUCCUGUGGGCACACGUAGCAGGGUUGAUGAUACCCGGCAGCAAAAUCCAGCUGGGGCUAAACGUGAAGGUUGCUAACGCACUGUUGAUGAUGUAAUUCCAGGUGAGAUACGAUGUUUUUGUCACACGUACAAACCAGGUUUGCCCAUAGAAGGAAGUGUGAGCCUUCUCCACAUGGUCACAGGAUGGCCAUCAUAGUUCCUGUGAAGCAUUUGUCUUUGUUGUGCACAUGUGGUUAAGGCUUGAGGAAAACUGAUACUAUUACGGCUGACUUACCUGAUCUUACGAUAUUGGAGAUGAGACUUCUCAUGAGGUCUGCUCAAUGCAAUCCAGUUCUUGUUUAUGUUCUCGGUGAUUUUUGGUAAAGGCUACAGGUGCAUAGAAUCCUUGCCUGUGGCUCUCCUGAGCUGACAUUCUGCAAGGUGACUUUUCCUCCCUGCUGUCCCCGCCCAUCUCGUCCCCCAGCAGCUCCUGCAAGCACUUGUUAGCUCGCUCCUCCACCUCACUUCCUUCUGCAGCCGCUCCUACGUCACAGGCGAGCUCACUUGGUUGGGUUCUCGCCCUGUCAACAAGCUUCGUCCGCGCCUGCCUCGCCUCUGGUUGCAGCGGAAGAGGAGUCUUUCCUUAUGCCCACAGCUCCAGAUCCCAGCCCCAGCUUCCCGCACCUUCUCAGAGACGUUCUCUCUGACCUGAUACCUGCCAUUCACUUUUUCCUAUGCACAUUUAAGCCUACACAUGUCUCGGGGCGCCUGGGUGGCUCAGUCGGUUGAGCGUCCAACUUCGGCUCAGGUCAUGAUCUCGAGGUUUGUGAGUUCGAGCCCCACGUCGGGCUCUGUGCUGACCGCUCAGAGCCUGGAGCCUGCUUCAGAUUCUGUGUCUCUGUCUCUGUCUGCCCCUUUCCUGCUCACACUCUGUCUCUCUCUCAAAAAUAAACAUGAAAAAAAAAUUUAAACCUACGCAUCUCACUAAACGCACUCGGGCGCGCGCACACACACACACACACACACACACAUACACAGGACUUCAGUAUUGCCUUGCUUUUUGGCUCCCUCUCUGUUUACUUGUCCUGCUAGGGCCAAACUUCUUGGAAGAAUUGCCUCUAUUGCUGCCUCCUCUUUCUCUCACUCCCACCCCCUCCUCCGGGUGCUCCAGGUUGGCUCUCGUAUCUGUGACCAAACUGGUACUGCUCCAGCCAGAGCUGGAGGCGGCCUUCCUAUCCUGCUGUUGCCACGUGGACCAGAUACGUUUGGAUUCUUACCUUCCAGGACCUGACGACAGUGACGGUGUUUGGUGUCCUGUCCUCUUUGGCCUCCAGGACCCCGCCUUGCCCCUUCAGCUUGUUCUCCCUGUUGCCUUCGUUCUUUCCAGCUGUCUCUAAGCUCCAUGCUUUGUGUUCAGAUGCUAAUGGGACAUUUCCACUUUGAUAUCUUGCUGGCAUCUCCUAUCCAGCAGGUUCCAAACGGAUCCAAGUUACCCAGGCUUGAAACCUGCGGCUUCCUGACCCUUCUCUCUCCUCCCCUUCCAAAUCCACAAAGAAACCAAGUCUGGUCAAGUUCUUGAAUCCAUCCGCUUUGUCUGCACUGUGUCCUUCCUGUUUUUCAUCACCUUUGACCACAGUUCUUGCCUUUGCACCUGUCUCCCUGCGAUUGGUAUUCUCUCCCAAUCCACUCUGCAUUUAGGGGUCUUCCUGACUGCAUCCAGAGUGAGGCCUCUAAAAAGCAUCUGUGUUGUGUCACUUCAUUCCCUGAAUUCUUCCCCGUUUCUAUGAUCUCUUCUCCCCAAAUUGACUGGGGCCUCUGCGAGGCUUGCAUCCUCACCCCGUGCAUAAAGAAGUCAUCAAAUCACUUGGGAUUUACUCAGAGAUGGAGAACAGAGUUACUUUCCCCUCCACACAGCAGAAUUUCAUGAAAACCCUCACUGGACGUCAGUCCCUCCACCCUCCAGAAUUCCUAAUUGCUCCCAGCCCUCCACCCUUCCCCCCACUCACCUGUCUGUGCUUCCCAGCCCCGGCCUCCCCCUACCCGUAGUUCUCCUGCCGUUUCCCCACUUCUCUUUUUGUACUCCAAGCAGCUCCGCCCUUUGCUGAACGUUCUGAUCUGAGUUGCAUCCCUGUCUUAGAUUGGGUUCUAAUUAAUUGGUUCAUGGACAGUGCCUAAAACUGUGUGACUCAUAGUAGUGAUCAGUCAGACUUGCCCCAAUGAUAAUAAUAACAUUUGCUAUUGACAGUAUUACUUCCAACAGGUUUCCAGACCUGUAGACCAGAUGGGAGCCCCCUUUGGGUGUGCCAGUAGCGCCUUGUGCCUCCAUUAAAUCAUAAUAGCCAGUUCUCUGAGGGAAGGGUGACGACACCCCGCUCGCCAUCCAGCGCCUAGCCCAGUGCCUGGUGUGGAGUGCACAGUGUGGACUGUGGACGCCAUAAAUACUUCUUGAACAGGUUUAAUAAAAUGACUCACAGAAAGAACAUUCCAGUUCUGUUCUUAUCUUUAAUAAGGCACUCUUUAAAAAAUAAGACUUAACGAACGAAACAUACGUGUGUUCUAGGAGUUUGUCACUAAAUCCCGUGUUACUGAGUGAGCCUGGGCAAACUCUCUGGGUGUCUGUGUCCCCCGAACAGCUUUACCUAAGGGCCUUUGUCCAGCUCCAAAACUCUUCAGGUCUGCAGCUGGAGUUCUCAGUAAGGAUGGAGUACAUUUCUAGGACCCAGAGUUUCCUGUGUUCCUUCCCGUUAGCUGAUGAGAAGACGUCAUUGUGUUGCUUGGGCUUGCAGGUUCUUUCCUAGUUGUGGGGAAUUUUUCAAGCUGGCUGUAAUGAGAGGGUCUCAAAAAACCACAGAGAGGUCUGGUAUGUUCUCUUCAAGUGAAACACGACGUCCCUUCUUAUUUUCAGUUUUGAUCUUCUGUGUUACGGAGCUGACUUCUGUAAUUAUCCCUGAAGAAUCUAGUAUUAGAAAUAAGGUCUAGUUUAUUUCAAUACCUGUGCCUUUGACAUCCUUUAAACUCUUCUUUCAUCGCCAAAUCAGAAGCCUUCUUCGGGACUUCUGAUUCUAACGAUUUUGGUUCUUUCAAGUAUAUAUAUGUAUAAUUAAUUGUAAAAUAUGUACAGCAUAAAAUGCAGUCUUCACAUUUGUAAGUGUGCAGGUCCGGGGCAUCGAGUACAUUCACAUUGUUGAACAGCUGUCAGCAUCAUCUAUCUCCAGAACCCUUUGGUCUUGCAAGACUGAAACUCCACACCCAUUAAGCGCUAACUCCUCUUUUCCCCUCCCCCAGCCCCGGGCAACCACUAUUCUGCUUUCUGUCUAUGGAUUGACUACUGUAGGUACCUCAUUUCAGUGGAGUCACACAGUCCUUGUCCUCUUGCCACUGGCUUAUUUCACUUCGCACAGUAUCCUCAAGGUUCACCCUUAUCGUGGCAGGUGUCAGAGUUGCCUUACUGUCUAGGGCUGAAUAAUAUUCCAUCGCGUUUAUAGACCACAUUGUGUUUAUCCGUUCAUUCGCUGGUGGGCACUUGGGUUGCUUCCAUCUUUUGGCUGUUAGGAGUAAUGCUGCUGUGAACAUAGAUACGCAUGUAUCUCUUCGAGACCCUUCGAAAUAUUUUGGAUAAUGAUUUUUUUGAACCUUCUGUCUUGAUGCUUCUGUUGUUUUCAUGAACUCCUGCCCUUCCUCUUUUGGCCACUAAACUACCCCACUCCCAUCAGCUUUCUUCACUAUUUCCCUAAUAAUGUCCUGCUGUUGGGAUGGAUCCUCAUGCUUCAAGAUGACCCUCACAGAACCACUGCAUGGAGAAACACUGACGUCUGAGAAGUAGGAUUUGUUCGCACCUCCGACAUUCCCAUCGAUUCCUGCUGUUUUCUGAAAGGUGUGCCACUGGUUCUUAAAGUGAAAAAAAUAAAAAUCCCUUAGUCAUGGGGCAGAUUUUUGUGACUAUAGGCCUUCUGUAUUUUGAAAUUUAACUGUUAAUAGUAGUAUCUUCUUGAUAUAUCAAUCUUUUUUUUUUUUUAAUAUGAAAUGUAUUGUCAGAUUGGUUUCCAUACAACACCCAGUGCUCAUCCCCAAAGGUGCCCUCCUCAAUACCCAUCACCCACCCUCCCCUCCCUCCCACCCCCCAUCAACCCUCAGUUUGUUCUGUUUUUAAGAGUCUCUUAUGCUUUGGCUCUCUCCCACUUUAACCUCUUUUUUUUUUCUUCCCCUCCCCCAUAGACUUCUGUUAAGUUUCUCAGGAUCCACAUAAGAUGAAAACAUAUGGUAUCUGUCUUUCUCUGUAUGGCUUAUUUCACUUAACAUAACACUCUCCAGUUCCAUCCACGUUGCUACAAAAGGCCAUAUUGCAUUCUUUCUCGUUGCCAAGUAGUAUUCCAUUGUGUAUAUAAACCACAAUUUCUUUAUCCAUUCGUCAGUUGAUGGACAUUUAGGCUCUUUCCAUAAUUUGGCUAUUGUUGAGAGUGCUGCUAUAAACAUUGGGGUACAAGUGCCCCUAUGCAUCAGCACUCCUGUAUCCCUUGGGUAAAUUCCUAGCAGUGCUAUUGCUGGGUCAUAGGGUAGGUCUAUUUUUAAUUUUCUGAGGAACCUCCACACUGUUUUCCAAAGUGGCUGCACCAGUUUGCAUUCCCACCAACAGUGCAAGAGGGUUCCCAUUUCUCCACAUCCUCUCCAGCAUCUAUGGUCUCCUGAUUUGUUCAUUUUGGCCACUCUGACUGGUGUGAGGUAAUAUCUGAGUGUGGUUUUGAUUUGUAUUUUCCUGAUGAGGAGCAACGUUGAGCAUCUUUUCAUGUGAUAUAUCCGUCUUAUAAUUGUGAUACUGACAUUUAUUUAUUGUCAUGGAAGCAAUAUAUGACAAGGGUAGAGAACAUGUAAGAUACAGAAAAAAAAAAUCACACACAGAAGCACUUACUGAAAGGUGACCAUUAUUAACAUCAUGUUGCAUAUUCUUCUGGUCUUUUUAAUGUGAAUUUUUGCAUAUUUAAGAUCCUACUGUUUUGUAUUUCUUUUUUGCACAUAAUAAUAAGGUAUAAGCAUUCUUUUGUUAAGAAGGUCUUUGUAAAUAAUUACGUUAUGUGACUGAAAAUAUUUAUAGGGUGCUGACUAGCUUACAUAACAUUUUUCCAGUUAUAAAAAUAAGAUUUCCUUUAGAAAAUGUCAUAUAUAAAUAUCUUAAUAUUGUAAAGAAGUAACAAAAAAUCUAAAUUGCCUGCCCCUUCUUAAUCUUCUAAAAUUACUCUUUUCUAGUAUCUUUUUGAGAUUAGCUUUUGUAUACCCCAUUUGUCCGUGCUUCCUUCUCUCUCCGCUUUCCUUUCUUACUAAGCAAUGUUGAUACCAUCUUCAUACACAAUUUUAAUUUCUUUUUAAAUUUUUUUUCAACGUUUAUUUCUGAGAGACAGAGAGAAACAAAGCAUGAGGAGGGGAGGGGCAGAGAGAGAGGGAGACACAGAAUUCGAAGCAGGCUCCAGGCUCUGAGCUGUCAGCACCGAGCCCGAUGCGGGGCUUGAACCCACAAACCAUGAGAUCAUGACCCAGGCUGAAGUCAGACACUUAACUGACUGAGCCACCCAGGCGCCCUCACAAUUUUAAUUUUUUUUUAAUGUUUAUUUAUUUUUGAGAGAGAGAGAUAGAGUGAAAGCAGAGGAGGAGCAGAGAGAGAGGGAGAGACAGAAUCUGAAGCAGGCUCCAGGCUCUGAGCUGUCAGCACAGAGCCCGACGCAGGGCUCGAACCCACGAACCGUGAGAUCAUGACCUGAGCUGAAGUUGGAAGGUUAACUGACUGAGCCACCCAGGUGCCCCCAUACACAGUUUUAUAUCCAGCAGUUUCAUCCAACCUGUAUCCUGCUAUUUCCAAUGUCAUUAAGUACUCUCCAUUAAACACAUGAAUUUACCUACUGAGUCAGAUGCUCCCCUCCAUGUUUAAUAGCAAUUUUAGGUGAUUGUAAGUAUGUCCUUGUACAGUUACCUUCCUGUGUAUCUGUGAUUGUUUCUUGAGGUGGUAUUUAUAGAGCUGUUCUGAGUCAGAACAGUUUUAAGGCUUUAUAAAAAGAUACUGCUUGGUUUCCUGAAAGGAUGCUCUCACCUCACUCUGCCAGCUUAACUCUUUGUUGUCCAUCUUUGUGAAUUUGGUGGUUGUUUGCUAGUGAAAUCCAACUCUGUUUCAUGUUAAUUGGCCAUUUAUAUUUUGGAGUGAAUUGUCUGUUAAUAACUUUUACCUUAUACAUUUAUAAAUGAUAUGAGGUUUAUUGCCCUGUUGCAAGUAUUUUGUUUUUUUCUUUACCUUUCACUUCAGUUGCUUUUGGACUUAUAGGUCAUACAUGUUCACAUAAAUGUGUUUACAUAAACAUUUUAAUGUAGUCAGAUUGAUUUCCCAUUAUAUUGCCUUUUGUUACUUUUUUCGUUACUUCUUUUCCUAUCUCUGAUUCAGAAAUGUCUCCUAAUUGUAUUCUUUUCCCCCUUCCUACAUUUAACUCUUUAAUCUCCACAGAAUUAAUUUUGGUGAAGGUUGUAAAGUAGGAGCUCAUAUUAGUUGUUCUAGAAUAUCCUCUUACUCCCAUGUGUGUCCCAAAAUCCCAGCGAAGCUGCAGCGUGCACCAAAACAUGUGCUUUUUCUUACUUUAGUGUCUUGAUCUUCCCACUGGACAAGAGGAGGAGGCUCUGAUGUAUACCUGUGAAGGGAGGAGCCAGGAAGAGGGCCUGGGACCAGCUCUCAGAGCUCUACCCCCAGUCCAGAACUUGCCCUGUCUCUGUCCAGCUCAGGAAGGUACUCCGCACACACUGCCGGAGGACCGAGAUAACAGUGACAAGGGUCAGGGGGCCCGUGAGUUAGGGACUGAGUGGCCCAGGGUGAGCCCCUCUCAGUCUUGACCCUGCUUCAGUUAUUCACAACUACGAUAAGCAACCAGGACUGUGCUCGUUGGAGACUUUACCUGAACCUCCAACUGUAGAUGGAAGGCAGCACGUGGUGAAGAAGAGCCCUAACCUAGGAAAGCCAGAAAGUUUGGGUCCUGUUGCAGCUGUCAGUCAACGGUGCAACCUAGGAAAGUCUCUGAACUUCUCUAAUUUCCUGACUUACAGAAUUACGGAGCUGAGAUGUAUGUUCUCUGAGGUGUCUUCUCAGUAAAUUAUGGUCUAGGCAAGUGGCAGAGCUAGAUCGUGCUGUGAAUCUGUUGGGGGAUCUUUCUUGAGAACUAAUUCAUCCUUCCUUAAUUCAGCCAACCAGUGUGAUACCGGAGAUUAGGAUCAUUUAACAAUGUCAUUUAGUACUCUACCUUGGAGAAUUUGUGCUUUUUACCUUUCCUAACUUUUCCUUAAUCUACCUCAGGCUUCCUUGCCGAAAGACAUCUGUUUUUCCUAACAAUUUCUUCUUUUGCCCAGCCACAUCUUGUGUUUAGGAAUUAAAGAAAGAUGACCUAGUUAUCAAGUACCCAGAACUGAUUCCUGUCACUGACCUUGCCCUACCACUUGCCCGAAGCCGUGACACACAUUUUUCUAAAAAGCUGAAAUAAAAAUGGGAAAACCAUUUUUGAAAACUGUGAAGCAUUAAUAAGGUGAUAAAAGUAGUAUCUAUGAGACACAAAUACCUGCUCUCAACCAUGUUAAUUGCUUACUAUUGGUAUUCAUAAAUCAUUUAUUAACAUGUCAGUAACUGAAAUUGCAUUGAGAAACAACCAACCACAGGCCAAACCUUUGGAAUUUCACGUAUCUUUAUAUUAACAUACUUUAUUUUAGAGAAGUAGCACAGAGAAUAUGUCUUAAGUAGCUCUUGUAUAAUAGAGUCAUCUGUCAGUCGGUCCAUUGUAGUCAGAUGUGUUUUAACACACAUCUCCCACUUUUUGAUUUCCAGAGCAAGUGAACGUGGUCUGAUAUGUGUGGCAUAACUUAUUUAACACAUAAGGAUAAUUCAGAUUCUAUCUAAUGGUGAUCUUUUUACUAGUUUCGAGGCUGCAGAUGAAAAUUUCAGUGCACUGGCAUUUUCCUCUGGAGGAUGUUAUUUGCUGUACUAAAACACAGUGACCACUUGAAAUCUGUAGAACUUGGGCGGAGACUGGAUGAAUCUAAACAGCUUUCUCCUUUGUGCUCCAGGAACACAGAACACUAUAUAUUAAUACGUAUAUUAUUUCUUUAAUGUAUCCUUUAUGUGUUUAUACACAGCUGCAGCUGAUGUUUUGUUCGAUUACAAUUCUGUAUUGCCUGAUCUUCAGAUAACAUGGAAAAAUAGCCUUCAAAGUAAACCUUGAAUGGAUAUGAUCUUCAGAGAAAACCUUUCCUUUAUUAAUUAAACUUUCACUUCUCACUGUGCAUUGCUUUGAUCUCAUAGUUUUAAAAAUGUCCCGAGGCCUUAUUUUCAAGGCUUCCAAACAGAUUAUUACUUCUCAAAAGCCAUACUAUAUUCAUGGCUCAAUGAAUCCUAAAGACAGUAUUUUUAAAACCCUCUUAAGCUUAUUUUUCUUAUGUGCUCGUCUACUGCAUAAUUUUCGUUGCUAUGGGUCACAUGAUCCUUCCCGUCUGUAACACAGGCACUUAAAAUUUUUACUUCCUGAUUGAGCCAUCAAGAUUACGUAAAAUGUAAAUCGGUCUAAAUACCCCAAAGCAGGAAUUUUAAGGAAAAGAUGUUUUUUUCCUCUGUUUCUUUAUUGACGCCUAAAAAAUCAGAGUGAGCGUGUGCCUGCCUAUCUGUACUUGGAAAUGAGAGACGGUUAGGGAUUUUUUGUGUGUCCCGUCCCCUUUCACAUUGAAUCAGACUUUGCUUUCAUUAUAAAAAUAAUGUAGCAACUAGAUAGACCGUGGGAGUGGUGUAGUUGCAGGGCUGAAAUCAAAAUGGUUCCCAUUACUGAGAGAGCUGUUCAUUUACUUAUUACUCCUUUCAUGAUCUGAGUGAAGGUACAGCAUCUCUCAGAAGGUAACGAUCUGAUGCUUCAGAAUUGUAAAUGGCCAUUUAGUCUUGCUUGCUGCCUGAUAGAAAUGAAAGUAAUUUCCAGAAGGCUGGACGACACUUGUUUUAUCAUGGAUCUUAAAAUCCUUCACAUUUUCUCAGAGCAGCUUUGAAGUUGUCAUAGUAACAGCAUGACAUUUGAAGAGUCUUUUAAGUAGUUCUUUAGCUAGAGUUAAUUAAUUUUAUUAACUCUAGAUGUUUUUCUUCUUACUUCUCUCUGACAAACAGGGGCCGUAAUUGCUCAAAUAUGUAUUUCAUGUUCUUUAUUUCUUGGUGACUACAAUUUGAGAACUUGAUGUUUUGUUAAGCUGUUUCAGGAAAAGAACGAGAAUGUCACCGAUUGACUUCAGAAAGGUUAAACUUGGGGUUUUAGUUACUCGUCUGUAAAAUUGCACUACCACGAUAGGACCAGAACUUGGUUUUAUUUAAAGAGGUGGAUUAUGGGAGAUGUCCCCCCAAAUUUAAUGGUGAUUUGCUCCAGGGAUUAUAGCUAUCCUUUGGUUUGAUUUGGAUAUAUUUAAAAUAAGAAUUGAAGAACACGGAAGGGGGAAUGUGUCAGACUUACAGGAGAAAAUUAUUUCUUUAAAAAUGCAACACUCAGAUACAUCACCAAAAGCAUAUUCCACAAAAGAAAAAAAAAUGGAAUAAUCUGACUUUGUCAAAAUUAAAAAUGUAAUAAUACUCUUUGGGACUCUAAAAUCUGCUAAAAUAAAUGAUCCUCUAGGAAAGUUUGUGGGAACCUUCUACCGGGAGAAAGUAGGUCGGGAUCUUCUGUUUGUAAAGCUCCAUGGCAGAAAUUCUUGCCAUUAUGGUGAUUGGUGAGAAAGGGUCAGGUGGAGGGUCAGAAGAAAUAAUGAUCCGUACUAGGUCUGGAAGCUGGAACUUUAAAAAGUAUCAGGUGGUCGGUGCUUUUGUUUGCUUGUAAGAGUGACCAGAGAGGUGAAUACAGAAGGUAUCAUGUGAGCUCUGGGGGUUUAAUGCUGAGGCCGGUAUCCUUCCUGUCCUGGGGAGUAUUUGUUCAGGCAGGGGCAACUGAAGACCAAGGGGACAGCAGCGUGUGCCCCCGACAGCAGUAAAGGUGCUAAUGCACAUCCAGUGAUGUCAGGAGUUACGAGCCAGUGGUUUCAAAACACUGCAGUAAACAGGGUCAAAGUGUCCCGGUUUUGCUGGAAGAAGGUUUGUUUUUAUGAGCUGGACAGUACGUGGAUGAAGUAAUUUUUCAAAACAAACCAAAUUUAUACGCUUUUUGUUUGUUUGUUUUACUUUGUGGGUUUUAAAAAAAUUAACCAGAUGAGGUUUAGUAAGGGUUACAUUUUUAAACAAAAUUAUACUUUUUCCCUUUUUUAAAAAAAAAAAAACGGUUUUCUAUGGUUUUCACAGAGGAAAUGAAAAUACCUCCGAUCUAGGAUUUUUAAAUGGAGUUUUAGAGAGCAAGCUGGAAGCCAGUGUGCAGCAACCGCCAAUCACAAUCACUAGUAAAAUAUUCCUUGUAAUUUUGUACCUUCUGCUCUUCUUUAGACAGGCAUUUAAGUACCAGAAAGUUAAUGGCACAGAAUACUGCUGACUGCGUGGUUCUCGUCUUAAUGCAUUUUCCAACCUUGAACCUGAGAAUACCAGAGGCUGGGGACUCUGGACACUCCUCUGCGCAGUUUUCUGCCGGUGGCCUGGUUCCUGAGGUAACAAGUGGGUGUCCCGGGCGUGUGUGUGUGUUAACAACAGCAGUGAUGCCACGUGGUGCCCAGAGGUCGCCGCGAUCUGUCCCGGGGGUUCCUGGUCCUCGGGGCUUCUGAGAUGAACUGUGAACUUGGGGCAUCCUGAGAAGUACAGGCGUUUUGGAGUGUGCCACAGCAAAUCUGGAUGUCGGCAUAAACACAGCUCUCAAAGUGAAAGCAGGGGCCUCGAGGAAGGAAUUACCCUCAUCUCAUUCCCGACCUGCUUACUGUGCUGGAAAACAAAGUAAGUUUUGUUUGUUUCUUUGUUAGUCAGUCGCUGCUACAUGUUUUCUCUUGCUAACAUUGUAUUAGACACUCCAUAUCUGGCAAACGCCAAGUUUUUCCCCCCUCAUUGGGAAGUAGGAUAUGAAGUUUGUUAAAUAGCUACUUGCUUCUUUAAUCUUUUCUGUCUCUCUUCCUAUAUCUAGCGUGCUGGCUUCCUUGUUGGAGAUCGUAUGAGACUGAAAUUUAUUAUCAAUGAGAAAACACAAAGUUCUUUUUUUCUUCUUCUUUUUUUAAACAAUCCAAGAACCUUGCUGUUAAUUAAAGGACAGUGACACAGGCAAAACUUUUUUUACGUGGUGCAGCCAGCAGCAUAUCUAGCAAAAGAGCCCCAGUUCACCGUCCUUAUUUCCAUUGGGAAGCAG